rnacentral:lncRNA from 1 species
GCCACACCAGAACCAUCAAAUUCUAAUAAAAUCGAGUAAGCCCAAUUCGCAGAAACCCAUAAAGAUUUGAAUUGAGACCGGUCCACCUCAUCGGAACUGGCCCCCCUCUUCCCCACUAUCUUUCUCUCUCUAUCACUUUGAAUGUUGGAAACGAACUCACGCACGUGCACUGGGGAAGCUCAACGAAGGGAAAUUUGCUGCAUUACAAUUUUUAAUCGCCUCUUGGGUUCAUGACCGAGACCUUCCUGUUAUGAAAUUAGUGUUGGAAAUUAUAUCCAGAGAAAGCACACUGUUUGUUGAAAUCAUAACAUCAAUAUAAAGAAGACGAUAACAGCUAUAUAAUAUUCUUCUUUAUAUGUAAACUUACAACGCUUGGAGAAGAAGAAAAUAAGAUAUAACAUAAAAUUGGAGGUGAGGUACGGAUAACCGAAUCUCCUUAAGGCGAUUAGUUCCUGCCAAUGGUGCUCCGCAGAUUCACGAACUAUGCCUCCCAAGAUACAACACCUCGAACCUGUUUGGAUUAGCACUAUGCAAACAGGACUCAGUCGAACCGUUCAAUUGAACCAGCACACUCAGAAAAAUCAGAAGAGUAGAAAGUAUUUCAAAGCCUUUGGAAUUGAGUCGGAAACACCAAAACCGAAAGACCAAAAAACCCCCCAAUGAAGCUCUAUGCUCAUAUCUAUUUAUAGAGCUUUUUAGUUCAUGUACUAAAGAGAUAUAUGAAUUAAAUAGACGUAUGUAUCCACGAGAUUCAUAAAUAAAGAGAUACGUGAAUCCAAGAGAUUCAUGUAUCCAAAGAUACAUCAAUUCAAGAUAUUCAUGAACUCAAUAAAUACAUAAACUAAAAGAUACAUGAAUCUAGGAAAUUCAUGAAUUCAAUAGAUACGUGAACAUAAAACUAUAGGAAAUUCAUGAAUCCAAAAAGAGAUAAGUGAACAGAAAAAAAACGUAUCUUAAGUUAUUGGCUUUCGUUGAUCCGUUAACCAUAAUUAUAACCAUAAUUACAACAAUCCCCCACAUUAAUGGAUCAACAAAACAUUUUUGACUCGAAGGAAUCUGAGCAUGCCUGUUAAAAUACACCGCAUCAAGAUAGGUAGCUUUCGCUUUGAACCUUCUUUAGUGAAAGCCUAUCGGACUUACUUAACUAGUCGAUGGACUAAGCCUUGAAUCGCCAGUUGUUUGUGUAAGCCUAGACAAUAAACCUCACACGGAAUAUUUCCAAUUCAAGAUUGGUUCUCGGUUGUGUUCGUUCUUUCGGCCCUGAACCUCUCGGGAUUCAUGCGUGCUUUAGAAAAUCUAGCCUUUAAAGAUUUUCAUAGAGUCGGCCAGCUCCACGCAUAUAGGUGCAUUCCUAUUAAAGAUAUCCUACCAUAUCUUACUUGAAUGUUAUAUUCCAAGUUAUAGGAAUCAUUAAACGCAUAGCGUACCCUUAAUAACGCUGUAGGAAAGCACUGUUGCAUCAUAGGAAUGGGAGACAGUGCUUAAACUAGAGUUUCCAAAAUUUGCGUUGUCCUAUUGAACCUAGUCCAUGGGAUCUCCAAUCGCAUAGGUUAGGUUUCCACCCUGGAAUCUCUUUAUUGGGUUAAGGCUCUUAAACCCAUUCCCCUCGAUGCGCAAUUUAUCUGCUCUUUUGACAAACCUUUUGUUAGCGGAUCCGCAAUAUUUUCUUUUGACUUUACAAAGUCUAAAAAAUGAUUCUAUUUAGAGCAACUGCCUUACGGUAUUGUGUCUACGACGAAUGUGUCUAAACUUACCGUUAUAAAUCACAUUAUGCACCCCCACACUUUUAGAAAAUUGUAGGAUAGCAACUUUUCAUUCCAUAACUCGUAUGGAGUUUUACCUGUCUCUAUGUGGGGUAUUUUAUUAAGAAUAUAAUUUGCAGUUAAAACUGCCUCCCCCCACAAGUUCUAAGGUAAACCUGAACUCAAAAGCAUGGCGUUAGCCAUCUCCUUUAGUGUCAUGUUCAAUCGUUCGGCAACUCCAUUUUGUUGUGGAGUAUAAGGUGCAGUCGCUUGGAGAAUUAUUCCAAAGCUAGCACAAAAAUCCUUGAAAUUGAUUGAACUAUAAUCUCCUCCUCUAUCCUGAGGCGCAAAAUGAGAUCUUCAAGGCUCAUCUCCUUCCGUUUAUGCUUCAAAUAAUUAUGAAGUCUGACCAGCCCAAAUGCAAUUUCUCAAUCAUAGCCGCCACUUGGAAUGAUUCACUAAGUAUGAUUCUCUCAGCAGAGAUGUCACUCAGAAUUAAUUGUAAUUCUUGGACCUGACUCAUGACAGAUUUAGAAUCCACUAUCUUGUAGUCCAAGAAUUUGGUAACCAUAAAUUUCUUGGUGCCAGCGUCCUCAGUCUUGUAUUUCUUCUCUAAGGACUCCCAUAACUAUUUAGCAGAUUCAAUAUUACAAUAAACAUUAUAAAGAGAAUUCACUAAACAGUUAAGGAUAUAGGGUGCGUUUGGGAAGGCUUUUCGGGAAAGCCCUUAGAAAAAUGCAAAGACCUUUGACUUAAAGAUGUUUUUGAAAAUGCAAAGUGUGUUUGGUAAAUUAUACUUUCAAAGCCCAUUUGAAGUACCUUUUAGCAAAAUGGUGUUUGGGGAAAUAAUAUUUGCAAAGGGCUUUGAUGAUAAAAAAAAAUUAUCAAAAGAAAAAUAAAAAAAAAUUGACCGGCAAGGCAGGCGGUCGCCGGCGAGGAAAAUGGCCGCCGGCGGCCUCAGGUGGCCCCUGGAGAGGACCGGCGAGGGUCGCCUAGGGUCGGGCGACCUCCGGCAAGGGUCGCCUGACCCCAAGCGAUCCCCGGUGGCCUUUCACGGAGGUCGCCCGACCCAGAUCUGGGUCCGCCGGAAGUCGGGCAACCUCGCGGCGACCGGCGCGACCCAGAUCUGGCUUAUGGAGGGGUGGGCAAGACCUUCGGGCUUGGCGGUCUUAUGGGCACCCUAAUUGAGAUAACAUGGCUCAAACAUGUCUACGUCGGAUAAAUAAAGCGGGGCCAAUGAGAUAGUUUGCCCGGAGGCUACACUUGACUCUUUCUCUUCCUUGUACCGGGGAUGAUAGUUAUGAGCAAUAUCAUNNNNNNNNNNNNNNNNNNNNNNNNNNNNNNNNNNNNNNNNNNNNNNNNNNNNNNNNNNNNNNNNNNNNNNNNNNNNNNNNNNNNNNNNNNNNNNNNNNNNCCGCUGAUCAGAGACGAGCUCGAGAGGCUGGCGAGGUCACGGCUGAGGUCGGCGAGGUCGCGGCAACCAUCACCGGCGAGUCACGGCGACCGCUCGUGAGUCCCCGCGACAGCACGCAAGUCGCGUCGCCGUGACCAGCUCUGGUUCGCCCUAUCUGGGUCGCGCCUGAGGUCGCGCGACCCAGAGAGCGCGAACCAGAGCUGGUCACGGCGACGCGACUUGCGUGCUGUCGCCGGGACUCACGAGCGGUCGCCGUGACUCGCCGGUGAUGGUUGCCGCGACCUCGCCGACCUCAGCCGUGACCUCGCCAGCCUCUCGAGCUCGUCUCUGAUCAGCGGCGUGGCUGGAGAAGGAAGACGAUGAACAGUACCAUAAACAGUACCUUGGGCAUUCCGAGAAUGCUGAAAGCCCAAGGCAGCCUAGGACCUGCCUUGGGCUUUCAGCCUUGCAAAUGCCAGCUUCCCCCAUAAGCCCCUUCGAAAGUAGUUUCCAAACACCCCAAUUUUGGCCUAAAGAUCUUUAGCCCUCCAAAGCCCUUUCCAAAGCAGUUUCCAAACGCACCCAUAAUUUCGGCAUAAGAAGUCCCCAUGCUUCCAAGCCUCCAACGCACCGAGCGUCGUGACAUCUUGCUCAUUUGGACUAAUUAUCGGGCACACCUCCGAUAAAUAUUUCGUCAAAUUGAGCAUGGUCAGAUAGAAGAACAUCUUCUGCUGCCACUGUUUAAAGCCCACUCCGGUGAAUUUCUCCAAUUUCUCAUUAGCUGUAACUGGAGGUGUUGCCAUCACAGUAGGCAAGGUUCGUUGAACCAUCUCUCCAACAACAGAGCCAAAAGCCAUUUGGCCUAUACUGUUCUGAAAAACAGUCCCGGGCAUACUAGUCGUAUAACUUGUACCCCCACCACCAAAAUUGGUGUUAGCCCAAGGGCCCGUAGCAUUGGCUACUACAAAUUUCGACCCUGAGGGUUGAACAUCUUCCAUAGCAACGGUCGAAUCGACCAUAGGAACGUCUCCUGAAACAUUAUGAACAUUGAAUGGCACUUGAUUGUUUCCAGCCAUCUUAAUAAUUUGACAAGAAUAAUAAACAGUGAGUAAAAUAAUUGCCUUAAGAUUGUUGGAAAUUAUAUCCAGAGAAAGCACACUGUUUAUUGAAAUCAGAACAUCAAUAUAAAGAAGACGAUAACAGCUAUAUAAUAUUCUUCUUUAUAUGUAAACUUACAACUCUUGGAGAAGAAGAAAAUAAGAUAUAACAUAAAAUUGGAGGUGAGAUACGGAUAACCGAAUCUCCUUAAGGCGAUUAGUUCCUACCAAUGGUGCUCCGCAGAUUCACGAACUAUGCCUCCCAAGAUACAACACCUCGAACCUGUUUGGAUUAGCACUAUGCAAACAGGACUCAGUCGAACCGUUCAAUUGAACCAGCACACUCAGAAAAAUCAGAAGAGUAGAAAGUAUUUCAAAGCCUUUGGAAUUGAGUCGGAAACACCAAAACCGAAAGACCAAAAAACCCCCAAUGAAGCUCUAUGCUCAUAUCUAUUUAUAGAGCUUUUUAGUUCAUGUACUAAAGAGAUAUAUGAAUUAAAUAGACGCAUGUAUCCACAAGAUUCAUAAAUAAAGAGAUACGUGAAUCCAAGAGAUUCAUGUAUCCAAAGAUACAUUAAUUCAAGAGAUUCAUGAACUCAAUAAAUACAUAAACUAAAAGAUACAUGUAUCUAGGAAAUUCAUGAAUUCAAUAGAUAUGUGAACAUAAAACUAUAGGAAAUUCAUGAAUCCAAAAAGAGAUACGUGAACAGAAAAAACGUAUCUUAAUUUAUUGGCUUUCGUUGAUCCAUUAACCAUAAUUAUAACCAUAAUUACAACAAUUAGCUCAUUAACAGUUCACUUGCGUCAAUUUCCUCAUUGACUAUGGGAUUUACGUUGAUCAUUUUUUGCUAUAUUGGCAUUUCCUAAGUUCUUUUGUCUUUCAUUAAGAAUGAAUCUAAGAGCUAUGCACUUCGAUACAUUUUUGUCUCGGUUUAAAUCUUUGUUCGGUGUUCUUGCGACACAAAUCCAAUUUCGAGUAUUGCUGGAUUGGGCAAAAAAACUCUUGUACAGAAUUGGAUUGAAUCUGAUGUGUUUUCGUUGAGUCCACGUGUUGAAUUUGCUGAAAUCACUCUUAUAUUUACUGCUUGUGUUGUGGGAUAAAAUUAUAGUUCAUUUGCUGAUACAAUGAGCUGAUGAAAGAAGGAUGGACUUCUGAAAUGAGAAUUGAUUUGGUGUUUGUCUUGAUUUAUUUAUACACCAUGGUUCGGGUCCAUCGAUUAUCUUUGAUAUUGACUUCUUGUUGCGGUUUUGUCAUUUGAGAGCCUUAGCCACAAACCCUUCCAUUUAACUCGGACUUGAUCUUUUCCGACUUACGUUGCAUUAUGCCUAUGUUUAACGUAAAAAUAACAUUGCAAUAAAUUGAAUACGGUGAUUAAAAUUUUGAGCAAGAUUUUGAUAGUUACAAACCUAAAAGGUUAAUAUAUCCGGAGCUCAUUGACGUAAAAUUUAUUGCUCACUUUACAAUCUCUUUGUAUUAUAAGUUUAUCAUGGGCAUUAUCUUUUGAAUUUAGAUUUUACUCANNNNNNNNNNNNNNNNNNNNNNNNNNNNNNNNNNNNNNNNNNNNNNNNNNNNNNNNNNNNNNNNNNNNNNNNNNNNNNNNNNNNNNNNNNNNNNNNNNNNNNNNNNNNNNNNNNNNNNNNNNNNNNNNNNNNNNNNNNNNNNNNNNNNNNNNNNNNNNNNNNNNNNNNNNNNNNNNNNNNNNNNNNNNNNNNNNNNNNNNNNNNNNNNNNNNNNNNNNNNNNNNNNNNNNNNNNNNNNGCCUAAUAUAAUUCACGAACUUAUGCAUAGCCUUGCAUAUUGAAGUUGAAGUAAAUCACUGAACUUGUACCAAAAAGAACUCCCAAAACAGCCUUCCCUCGAAGUGGAAAAUAUGAUCCUUGCAAAUUGAGUUGAACUCUUCACUACUGACUGGCAGACAAUGACGUGAGCUACUUCAUAGGAGCACAAAGAAAGAUAUGGCAUUUGGCAAUCGUGCAAGUGAAUAAUUCUACUUUAAUUUUGGUGUGACGUUUCUCAUGUUCUUCACUUAGGGACAAUAAUUUUGCAAUUCUAAUUAACAUGUCACUCUUAUCAUUCCUUUCUCUAACCAUUAGCAUGGGAGGGGAUUGACCAGCUCAAUGACUUCAAGUUCGUGAGGCUUGUGGCUCAAGCUUGCCACCUUGAAAAUAGUACCCACAUUCAGUCCAAAUUUAGACCGAACACUUUGUCGAUUAGGUCUAGAAUUAGCAUUCUAAUGCGCUAGAGUAAGACUAGCUAUAGGUACUUUUUUUUUUGGUCGGUAGCUAUAGGUACUUUCUUAUUGUUAUUUUGCUUGGUGAAACAAAUCUAUUGAAUUUGAAUAAACACAUGUAAUGACUCGAAGCAUUCAACAUGAGUCAAACUCUCCAAAAAAGUACUUAGGUUGUGGUUUUUGGAGAAUGUUUCAACUUUCAUCUUAAGUUCUUUACCAUCUCACAUGGGAUUUUGAGUGCCAUAAACUCUCUUUCUUAUAAUGUUAAUAUUUCAUUGUUGUCAACUCAUAGUAGGCGGUGACAUUUCCUAUUCUAGCAAGAGCCCCACUUUUUCAAGCUUUCACAUCCCAAUGAUCAUUCCCCACUUUGUUGGAUUGGCUGAAGGCCAUCUAGUCCAUCAUCAAAUCAUGAAUCUACCGAAAAGAAAUCUUGUUAAGAUUCAAUGUGCCAAGACACAUUUAUUGCUCAUGUCUGUAGCAUGACUUAGCUUACCAUCUGACUAGGAGCUUACUCAAGCAAUGUUAUUUGCGAGAGCUACAAUGGCCUUAGUUAAACUAUUUAUGGUACAAUUAGUUCAGCAUUUUCGAAGCCCAUUGGAAAAAUGCAAAAACCUUAGCCUAAAGAGAUUUGGGGAAAUGCAAAUUGUAUUUACUAGAAAAAAAAAAAAAAAACCUUUGUAAAGCAACUUUGAGUAAACUAGUGUUCGAUAAAAAAAAUAAUUUUUUUAAUUAAAAAGAAAUCAAACCCUUCACCAGAGCCAGCGAAAGGUUCAGGCCACCGACAAGCUAGAUCUAGCACUAAUGGUCGUUGGCCAAAAUCACACGACCUUGGACGACCUAGAUGACCCUCAUCGGGGUGGCACAACCCCAAACGACAAGGCCUCGGUCGCGCGACCUCAAGUGGCCAUCGCAUGGGUUACAUGACCCCACUGGCCCACCGUCGGUCAGAUUUGACCUCGUCGGCCCUCAAUAACUGCCCCUGUAAAGAAGAUGAAUGGUAGCAACAAGAGGCAAAAUCGGAAAAUUGAAUAAUUGGUGAGAGUAGUUUUGAAAGAAAAAAAUAAUUAACCCCAAUUUCAACAUUCCCCAAGCUAGCAUUUAGUGGAACGCCACUUCAAAAAGCUUGUCAAACACCCCCAAUAUUUUCUCAAGGGGCUUUGGAGGCCGAAAAUAUCUUGGGAAAGCUGAAUCAAAGACAGCACUAUCAUGGAAAGAAGAAAAGAUAGGCUUAUUCUUGAGGUGACCAUAUUUAUUAAGAUCCAAGAUCUUGUAAGUUUUGAUUGUCACUGCUUCCUUCAAUUACUGCCCAGCAAAAUGCGAAAAGAGAGUAAGAAUAAUGAUGACAUACUGAUGCAAUUUGGUAUUUAACAUCCUUUUAGUCCCCAAGACCACAUUUGUUCAACCAGUACAACCACGUGUAAAGCUCACCUAACUUAUAUGCACAACUACACGAGUGAGUAUUGCAUUAAAUUUGUUAGAUCAAGGAAUUCAAACUUCAAGAAUAUCUAUAUCCCACACUAGAUCUUAUUAAAAAAAAAUGAAUUUUCAUAUAGCUUAUACAUUUUAUUUAUUUUUGUCUAUCACAUUACCCAAAGAAUAAAUAUAUGCAUGUUUUCUAUGUGCCAACUUACGGAGAGAGUUCUAAGUUUCUAGUAUUUUGACACUUGUCAAUCUCAUCAAAUUUGGAUUAAUAAAUAUGAUAACAUAUCAUUUGAUUACUCAUGAUAUUUUAGGAAAGGUCCAUUUGUGUCAAAACGGUAUUAACAUCUGAAUUUUCGCCAACAAGUCAAACAUGCAUUUUUUGUUUAAAAAAAAUACUAUUAUAGAAAAUAAAAUAAAAAAUAAAAAAUGGAAAACAUAAUGAUGAAAAAUUAACAAGAAAUCAAAUAAAUUAAAAAAAUAAAGCACCAAGUCCUUUAAAGCCCAUCGCUCCAGCCCGGUUUGAUUACCUUGUUAUAGCCCAACCUGGUCCGACCACAAGCGUAGCCCAGACCGCAACUCAAGCCCAUCAAGCACCUGGCCCAAUUCUACUCAGUCCAUCAGAUCCAUAAGAGAAGCCCAGACUGCACGAGGCCCGUAAAAUUCUAAUAAAACCCAUUAAGCCCAAUUCGAUGGAACCCAUAAAGAUUUGGAUCGAGCCCGGUCCUCUCUCAAUCUGAACGUUGGAAACGAACUCGAGAUGGUCGCGAUUCCCUCUCCAUACACUCGGCCACCUCCAGUCCACUAGUAGCCCGCCACUCGUCUCCGAUUGCCGACCAACACGCACUCUUUGCAUUCGAAUCUCAGAGAGCAGAGCAGGGAGUACAGAGAAGGAAUUCUCGUAUUGAGUAGCAAUUCUCCGUCGAUAUUUCCUCUUUGAAUCUUUGCCGCCCUCUCUGUCAGUGAUCGCAGCCGCAGGCCGCCGCCGAACACCACCAGCAUCGCGGCCACUGGAAGUGCUUCGUUCGCCCCUGUUUUCCAGCCAGCGUCUUUGACGUCCUCGGAGAUUGUUCGUUUCUCCUUCCCCGGGUCCGAUCAUCAUCCUCAUCGUCUCCGGUGAUGGCGGGGUCAGUACCUACACUUUCAAGGUAUAUUUCUUCAUGCUCUGUUUUACCGAGGUAGAAACCGAGAAUUCUUAAUUCCAUCGCUAUGAAAUUGUGACUUUCUGAAGCUAUCAUGAGAACCUUGAAUGUUCCGUGUCGAUUGUGUUUUACAUUGGCUGUGAAUAUCUCUCCAUUACUGUUUCAUUUUGUUCACCGGUCAAGCCCCUGCUACAUAGGUGGUGAUAUUUGUAAGCUAGAUCAUUUUGGAAGAAAUAAAAGCCGAGGUCAUUCUCCUUUAUAUUUUGCAUUGAGUAGAGAAAUUUUGCUAUGCUACAAUGUUUAAUUGCCUAACGUGUUCUUAACCGAGACCUUGCAGUUAUGAAAUUAGCUCAUUAACAGGCAAUUUCGUCGGUUUCCUCAUUGUAUAUGGAUGUAUGUUAAUCGUUUUUUGCUGUAUAGGCAUUCCCUAAGUUCUGUUGUCUUGCAUUAAGGAAAAUUCUAGGAGCUGUGCACUUUGAUACGUUUAGUGUUCUCACAACAUAAAUUUGAUUAUGAGUAUUGCCGGAUUGGGCCAAGAAUCUCUUGUAUGGAGCUAAAUUGAAUCUGAUGCUUUUUUAUUGAGUUCACAUGUUGAAUUUGUUGGAAUCACACUUAGAUCCACUGAUCUUGUUGUGGAAUAAAAUUAUAGUUCCUUUGCUGAUACAAUGAACUGAUGAAAGAAGGAUGGACUUCUGAAUUGAGAAUUGAUCUGGCAUUAGUCUUAAUUCAUUCAUAGGUCACAAUCCGCCUUUAUUGGUGUUAGUUGAGAAUCCUUAAACGCACAGGUUCAUCAAUUCCCUUUCGAUAUAAAUUUCUUGUUGCGGUUUUGUCAUUCGAGACCCUCAAGCCAUGAACCUUUUCAUUUGACUCAGACUUGAUUUUUUCCAACUUACAUUGCAUUGUGCCUAUGUUUAACGUAAAUAUAACAUUGCAAUAAAUCAAAUAUGAUGAUUAAAAUUUCAAGUAAGAUGUUCGUAGCUACAAGCCUAACAACUUAAUAUAUCCAAGGCUCAUUCACAUCCAAUUUCUCACUUUUGAAUCUCUUUGUAUUAUAAGUUUAUCAUGGGUAUUAUCUUUUACAUUUAGAUUUAACUCAUGUUUUGCUUUGUUUGCACACCACACAGACAUGUGCCCUUUUUUCAAUAAAUUUAAAGGAUGAUUCCAGCCAUUCGAAUGGCUGCUCGCAUUUGCUAACUGGCCAAUUGAGGGUGCAAUAAGUUACAACUCAAAAGAAAUAACAUUUAAUUGACCCAAUUCGGAUCCAAUCCAUAUCUACCCAUUUGACGGACCUGAACCUUGUCCCAUGUGCAAUGUCUUCCCUGAGUGUUUAAUUUGUUCAAUGUGAUUUCUAAACUAUUAGUAGAUAUUCAAUCUACUUUCUAGAUAUUGAAAGGGUUUGUGCGUCCUGAACGCCAGCACUACAUUUGGCUUCGAAUGCCAGUGUGAAGUGGGUUGGAAGCGGACGUGCCUCAACAAUGAAGAUGACCUUAAGUUCCUUCCUCUUGUCAUUCCAAACUGGAAGCUUAGGCUGCAUUUGUUAAAAAUUAUUUCUAUUCCCAGGAACAAAAAUUUCUGUUUUUUUGUUCCUGGGAAUAAAAAAUGAACAGAAAUGCGUUUGUUUGCGUUUUUGUUCCAAAAUUAUUUUUUGUUCCCAGAAAUACAUCUGGAACAUAAACAAGAAACAAAAAAAAGUUGUUUCUUGUUUCUAGAACAUAUUUUAAGAACUCUUUUUUCUUUCUUUUUUCUUUCUAUUUUCUUUGGCCGGGUUUUUCUUUUUCCCUCUUCCUUUUUUCUUUUUUCUUCUUUUGGCGNNNNNNNNNNNNNNNNNNNNNNNNNNNNNNNNNNNNNNNNNNNNNNNNNNNNNNNNNNNNNNNNNNNNNNNNNNNNNNNNNNNNNNNNNNNNNNNNNNNNNNNNNNNNNNNNNNNNNNNNNNNNNNNNNNNNNNNNNNNNNNNNNNNNNNNNNNNNNNNNNNNNNNNNNNNNNNNNNNNNNNNNNNNNNNNNNNNNNNNNNNNNNNNNNNNNNNNNNNNNNNNNNNNNNNNNNNNNNNNNNNNNNNNNNNNNNNNNNNNNNNNNNNNNNNNNNNNNNNNNNNNNNNNNNNNNNNNNNNNNNNNNNNNNNNNNNNNNNNNNNNNNNNNNNNNNNNNNNNNNNNNNNNNNNNNNNNNNNNNNNNNNNNNNNNNNNNNNNNNNNNNNNNNNNNNNNNNNNNNNNNNNNNNNNNNNNNNNNNNNNNNNNNNNNNNNNNNNNNNNNNNNNNNNNNNNNNNNNNNNNNNNNNNNNNNNNNNNNNNNNNNNNNNNNNNNNNNNNNNNNNNNNNNNNNNNNNNNNNNNNNNNNNNNNNNNNNNNNNNNNNNNNNNNNNNNNNNNNNNNNNNNNNNNNNNNNNNNNNNNNNNNNNNNNNNNNNNNNNNNNNNNNNNNNNNNNNNNNNNNNNNNNNNNNNNNNNNNNNNNNNNNNNNNNNNNNNNNNNNNNNNNNNNNNNNNNNNNNNNNNNNNNNNNNNNNNNNNNNNNNNNNNNNNNNNNNNNNNNNNNNNNNNNNNNNNNNNNNNNNNNNNNNNNNNNNNNNNNNNNNNNNNNNNNNNNNNNNNNNNNNNNNNNNNNNNNNNNNNNNNNNNNNNNNNNNNNNNNNNNNNNNNNNNNNNNNNNNNNNNNNNNNNNNNNNNNNNNNNNNNNNNNNNNNNNNNNNNNNNNNNNNNNNNNNNNNNNNNNNNNNNNNNNNNNNNNNNNNNNNNNNNNNNNNNNNNNNNNNNNNNNNNNNNNNNNNNNNNNNNNNNNNNNNNNNNNNNNNNNNNNNNNNNNNNNNNNNNNNNNNNNNNNNNNNNNNNNNNNNNNNNNNNNNNNNNNNNNNNNNNNNNNNNNNNNNNNNNNNNNNNNNNNNNNNNNNNNNNNNNNNNNNNNNNNNNNNNNNNNNNNNNNNNNNNNNNNNNNNNNNNNNNNNNNNNNNNNNNNNNNNNNNNNNNNNNNNNNNNNNNNNNNNNNNNNNNNNNNNNNNNNNNNNNNNNNNNNNNNNNNNNNNNNNNNNNNNNNNNNNNNNNNNNNNNNNNNNNNNNNNNNNNNNNNNNNNNNNNNNNNNNNNNNNNNNNNNNNNNNNNNNNNNNNNNNNNNNNNNNNNNNNNNNNNNNNNNNNNNNNNNNNNNNNNNNNNNNNNNNNNNNNNNNNNNNNNNNNNNNNNNNNNNNNNNNNNNNNNNNNNNNNNNNNNNNNNNNNNNNNNNNNNNNNNNNNNNNNNNNNNNNNNNNNNNNNNNNNNNNNNNNNNNNNNNNNNNNNNNNNNNNNNNNNNNNNNNNNNNNNNNNNNNNNNNNNNNNNNNNNNNNNNNNNNNNNNNNNNNNNNNNNNNNNNNNNNNNNNNNNNNNNNNNNNNNNNNNNNNNNNNNNNNNNNNNNNNNNNNNNNNNNNNNNNNNNNNNNNNNNNNNNNNNNNNNNNNNNNNNNNNNNNNNNNNNNNNNNNNNNNNNNNNNNNNNNNNNNNNNNNNNNNNNNNNNNNNNNNNNNNNNNNNNNNNNNNNNNNNNNNNNNNNNNNNNNNNNNNNNNNNNNNNNNNNNNNNNNNNNNNNNNNNNNNNNNNNNNNNNNNNNNNNNNNNNNNNNNNNNNNNNNNNNNNNNNNNNNNNNNNNNNNNNNNNNNNNNNNNNNNNNNNNNNNNNNNNNNNNNNNNNNNNNNNNNNNNNNNNNNNNNNNNNNNNNNNNNNNNNNNNNNNNNNNNNNNNNNNNNNNNNNNNNNNNNNNNNNNNNNNNNNNNNNNNNNNNNNNNNNNNNNNNNNNNNNNNNNNNNNNNNNNNNNNNNNNNNNNNNNNNNNNNNNNNNNNNNNNNNNNNNNNNNNNNNNNNNNNNNNNNNNNNNNNNNNNNNNNNNNNNNNNNNNNNNNNNNNNNNNNNNNNNNNNNNNNNNNNNNNNNNNNNNNNNNNNNNNNNNNNNNNNNNNNNNNNNNNNNNNNNNNNNNNNNNNNNNNNNNNNNNNNNNNNNNNNNNNNNNNNNNNNNNNNNNNNNNNNNNNNNNNNNNNNNNNNNNNNNNNNNNNNNNNNNNNNNNNNNNNNNNNNNNNNNNNNNNNNNNNNNNNNNNNNNNNNNNNNNNNNNNNNNNNNNNNNNNNNNNNNNNNNNNNNNNNNNNNNNNNNNNNNNNNNNNNNNNNNNNNNNNNNNNNNNNNNNNNNNNNNNNNNNNNNNNNNNNNNNNNNNNNNNNNNNNNNNNNNNNNNNNNNNNNNNNNNNNNNNNNNNNNNNNNNNNNNNNNNNNNNNNNNNNNNNNNNNNNNNNNNNNNNNNNNNNNNNNNNNNNNNNNNNNNNNNNNNNNNNNNNNNNNNNNNNNNNNNNNNNNNNNNNNNNNNNNNNNNNNNNNNNNNNNNNNNNNNNNNNNNNNNNNNNNNNNNNNNNNNNNNNNNNNNNNNNNNNNNNNNNNNNNNNNNNNNNNNNNNNNNNNNNNNNNNNNNNNNNNNNNNNNNNNNNNNNNNNNNNNNNNNNNNNNNNNNNNNNNNNNNNNNNNNNNNNNNNNNNNNNNNNNNNNNNNNNNNNNNNNNNNNNNNNNNNNNNNNNNNNNNNNNNNNNNNNNNNNNNNNNNNNNNNNNNNNNNNNNNNNNNNNNNNNNNNNNNNNNNNNNNNNNNNNNNNNNNNNNNNNNNNNNNNNNNNNNNNNNNNNNNNNNNNNNNNNNNNNNNNNNNNNNNNNNNNNNNNNNNNNNNNNNNNNNNNNNNNNNNNNNNNNNNNNNNNNNNNNNNNNNNNNNNNNNNNNNNNNNNNNNNNNNNNNNNNNNNNNNNNNNNNNNNNNNNNNNNNNNNNNNNNNNNNNNNNNNNNNNNNNNNNNNNNNNNNNNNNNNNNNNNNNNNNNNNNNNNNNNNNNNNNNNNNNNNNNNNNNNNNNNNNNNNNNNNNNNNNNNNNNNNNNNNNNNNNNNNNNNNNNNNNNNNNNNNNNNNNNNNNNNNNNNNNNNNNNNNNNNNNNNNNNNNNNNNNNNNNNNNNNNNNNNNNNNNNNNNNNNNNNNNNNNNNNNNNNNNNNNNNNNNNNNNNNNNNNNNNNNNNNNNNNNNNNNNNNNNNNNNNNNNNNNNNNNNNNNNNNNNNNNNNNNNNNNNNNNNNNNNNNNNNNNNNNNNNNNNNNNNNNNNNNNNNNNNNNNNNNNNNNNNNNNNNNNNNNNNNNNNNNNNNNNNNNNNNNNNNNNNNNNNNNNNNNNNNNNNNNNNNNNNNNNNNNNNNNNNNNNNNNNNNNNNNNNNNNNNNNNNNNNNNNNNNNNNNNNNNNNNNNNNNNNNNNNNNNNNNNNNNNNNNNNNNNNNNNNNNNNNNNNNNNNNNNNNNNNNNNNNNNNNNNNNNNNNNNNNNNNNNNNNNNNNNNNNNNNNNNNNNNNNNNNNNNNNNNNNNNNNNNNNNNNNNNNNNNNNNNNNNNNNNNNNNNNNNNNNNNNNNNNNNNNNNNNNNNNNNNNNNNNNNNNNNNNNNNNNNNNNNNNNNNNNNNNNNNNNNNNNNNNNNNNNNNNNNNNNNNNNNNNNNNNNNNNNNNNNNNNNNNNNNNNNNNNNNNNNNNNNNNNNNNNNNNNNNNNNNNNNNNNNNNNNNNNNNNNNNNNNNNNNNNNNNNNNNNNNNNNNNNNNNNNNNNNNNNNNNNNNNNNNNNNNNNNNNNNNNNNNNNNNNNNNNNNNNNNNNNNNNNNNNNNNNNNNNNNNNNNNNNNNNNNNNNNNNNNNNNNNNNNNNNNNNNNNNNNNNNNNNNNNNNNNNNNNNNNNNNNNNNNNNNNNNNNNNNNNNNNNNNNNNNNNNNNNNNNNNNNNNNNNNNNNNNNNNNNNNNNNNNNNNNNNNNNNNNNNNNNNNNNNNNNNNNNNNNNNNNNNNNNNNNNNNNNNNNNNNNNNNNNNNNNNNNNNNNNNNNNNNNNNNNNNNNNNNNNNNNNNNNNNNNNNNNNNNNNNNNNNNNNNNNNNNNNNNNNNNNNNNNNNNNNNNNNNNNNNNNNNNNNNNNNNNNNNNNNNNNNNNNNNNNNNNNNNNNNNNNNNNNNNNNNNNNNNNNNNNNNNNNNNNNNNNNNNNNNNNNNNNNNNNNNNNNNNNNNNNNNNNNNNNNNNNNNNNNNNNNNNNNNNNNNNNNNNNNNNNNNNNNNNNNNNNNNNNNNNNNNNNNNNNNNNNNNNNNNNNNNNNNNNNNNNNNNNNNNNNNNNNNNNNNNNNNNNNNNNNNNNNNNNNNNNNNNNNNNNNNNNNNNNNNNNNNNNNNNNNNNNNNNNNNNNNNNNNNNNNNNNNNNNNNNNNNNNNNNNNNNNNNNNNNNNNNNNNNNNNNNNNNNNNNNNNNNNNNNNNNNNNNNNNNNNNNNNNNNNNNNNNNNNNNNNNNNNNNNNNNNNNNNNNNNNNNNNNNNNNNNNNNNNNNNNNNNNNNNNNNNNNNNNNNNNNNNNNNNNNNNNNNNNNNNNNNNNNNNNNNNNNNNNNNNNNNNNNNNNNNNNNNNNNNNNNNNNNNNNNNNNNNNNNNNNNNNNNNNNNNNNNNNNNNNNNNNNNNNNNNNNNNNNNNNNNNNNNNNNNNNNNNNNNNNNNNNNNNNNNNNNNNNNNNNNNNNNNNNNNNNNNNNNNNNNNNNNNNNNNNNNNNNNNNNNNNNNNNNNNNNNNNNNNNNNNNNNNNNNNNNNNNNNNNNNNNNNNNNNNNNNNNNNNNNNNNNNNNNNNNNNNNNNNNNNNNNNNNNNNNNNNNNNNNNNNNNNNNNNNNNNNNNNNNNNNNNNNNNNNNNNNNNNNNNNNNNNNNNNNNNNNNNNNNNNNNNNNNNNNNNNNNNNNNNNNNNNNNNNNNNNNNNNNNNNNNNNNNNNNNNNNNNNNNNNNNNNNNNNNNNNNNNNNNNNNNNNNNNNNNNNNNNNNNNNNNNNNNNNNNNNNNNNNNNNNNNNNNNNNNNNNNNNNNNNNNNNNNNNNNNNNNNNNNNNNNNNNNNNNNNNNNNNNNNNNNNNNNNNNNNNNNNNNNNNNNNNNNNNNNNNNNNNNNNNNNNNNNNNNNNNNNNNNNNNNNNNNNNNNNNNNNNNNNNNNNNNNNNNNNNNNNNNNNNNNNNNNNNNNNNNNNNNNNNNNNNNNNNNNNNNNNNNNNNNNNNNNNNNNNNNNNNNNNNNNNNNNNNNNNNNNNNNNNNNNNNNNNNNNNNNNNNNNNNNNNNNNNNNNNNNNNNNNNNNNNNNNNNNNNNNNNNNNNNNNNNNNNNNNNNNNNNNNNNNNNNNNNNNNNNNNNNNNNNNNNNNNNNNNNNNNNNNNNNNNNNNNNNNNNNNNNNNNNNNNNNNNNNNNNNNNNNNNNNNNNNNNNNNNNNNNNNNNNNNNNNNNNNNNNNNNNNNNNNNNNNNNNNNNNNNNNNNNNNNNNNNNNNNNNNNNNNNNNNNNNNCGUGAAGCUCGAGAGUUUCAUAUGCGAACUCUGGCACAUUAACUCACAUAAACUUCAAACUUUCAGAGCCAUAUGUUUGAGGUUCGUAUGAAUUGUGGUGCUUUUAUCGACAUAAGAUUAAGUUGCAAAUGUUCUCCUUGUGCAGGUUCUGUUGAGUACUACUGCAUACCCACGCCUCCCCUUGUCCCAUCCGUUCCAUACAACACGUCAUUCUUUGAUUGUAAAUCAUCUUCACUUCGCAACUUACGAGCACACUUGCCGGUUACAUGAUUCUCAUGAAUAUCAGCGUCUUCCAUUGCUUCAGUGAUUCUAAGAUAUAAAUUCAAAGACUCAAGAUUGCAAUACAUAAAAAUUCCCGGUUUUUCCACUCACACAUGCUUCCCUUUAAUGUGUCUCGUGAUGGGUUUUUCGAAUGUGCAAUCGGUAACGACUGAGAAAACCUCGGAAAAUAAAAGUUUCCAACUCGUCUACCAUAGGAUGCGGAAGUUAUGGUGAGAUUCCAAAGACCUCUCUCUCUUGAUCUUAUCUUUUCCUGAGGCCAAAAGAAGUUUUCCCAAGAACAGGUUACUUGCUUUCUAAGGUUUCAAUUAGGUCAAAAAAGAGAAGUUCAUCCUUCAUAAUCAGUACUUAUUGACGACCAUGCAGUUCAAUAUUGUCCCGCCUCCGACGAUAGUAAACAGCCUUUGACGUUGAUUUCUAAGUACUUAUUUGCACUUGUUAAAUUGCAACACUAUAUUCAUCCCAUAUUCAUCCCCCAAAAAAAAAAAAAUCGCAACACCACAUGAGUUACUAAUAAUUACAGACACUUUAUACAGACACUUUAUGUAAUUUUGCAUAUUAUUUUUACCUACCAUCGGAAGAUUCAAUAUUCAUUUAUGUAAAAUAAGCGAAACUUACAAUUUCAAGAUCGCUAAAUAUAUGCUAAGUCAAAAUAAGUAUACAUUAUAAUAUAAUCUAUGAAAAAAAAUUUCAAACAAAAAUCUAAAGUGGAUCAUCUUCUGAAAAAAUAGCUAAGUGGACUUGCCAGCCGACCAAAUGUUCGCGGAUGAACAUUUUCCAGCUAUUCGAAUGGAGUUAAUUUGGUCCGAAAUUUGCAAUUAAGGUAAAAAAAUUUAAAAGAAAAUCCCCGAAUUGAAUUAGAAUUUUCAAAUGUUCACGUUUUCUGUCUCGUCUCCCGCCGCUUAAGCAGGUCGCUCUCGCCCGAUCCUCCGCCGUGCCGCUCCGAUCCUCGGCCGCUCCUGGCGAGCUUCAUUCGCCGCCGUCCCUUCUUCUCUCCCUGGUUCAAGUCCUUCAUCCGCAAGCUUCACUCCUGUUCGACCGAGGUUAGCGUCGUUCAAGUCGGUGCAGUUCACCCAAGAGACAGCGAUCGCAGCUUGUCGAAGCAACGCAGCGACAAGGCGCGGGCUCGUCGUGGAAUGUCCCACCGAUGGCUGCGAGGCGCUCUUCCCAAAGCCCGAAUGGGCCGUUCCGAUUACGGUCAGGGAGCCUGCAAAUUCUUGGGAAAGACCCCGACUUCCGCAUUCUCUCUUCUUCGAUGCUCCUCGGUCUAUUCGUGCCGCUGCAGUUCCCGAAAGAACGGAAUUUCCUUUUCCCCCCUAAUGCCCUGCGCCGUAAGAUGGACCCAAGCUGGCGAGGUGGGUUCCUUUCCCUCGGCGUAAAUUUGGGAUUUGUCUCGCACCGGCGUUGCUCCAGCAAAGGCUUUUUUGUUUUUGCCCUCUGACGGUAAGCUUCGAUGUCUGGCUUUUCUCGCUGCUGUGAUCUAUGAACUGUUAGCGCAUUCGCCAGAUGCGCUCAGUAAUGAAUUUAACGGAAAGGUGAGCGUCUUUUAAGGACAUUGCAGAGAAGGUGGUCGAAAUUCUUCUUCUUUGUCGGUUUUUAUGGCAUCCUCGAGUUUGUAACUUGACUCUGUUAUGGUCAGUAAGCUAGAUAUGGACGUCUCUGAGUAAUGCUUUCGUGGUGAUCUGCAGGAGGCGGAUGAAUUCAUCAUCGGGCUAUCUAUGUCUUCUGAUAGAAACAGAGACUAUUCAGUCUAGUAAAGUUCACAGCGUUGCCUGGAAGACUCGCGGUGGGGAGGUGAAAUGAUUGCAUAUGUUUUGUUGAUUGUUAUCUAUGUUUGUCUCUCUAGGUCUGAUGGUAAAUACUAAAUGAGUGGUGAUUUUGAUUUGGAACAAUGUAUUGCUUCACUCCAUUUCAAAUGCAUUUAUAGACCGCAUGUCUACUUGUUUAGUGAUGCGUCCUGACUUGCUUUAUAAUUUGCUUCUGGUUUCUGCUUGACAUUUUCAUGAUAUGCUAAGAAUUUGCCUCUGCUGGUUUGACUCUAACAGUACACCCAACAAAAACUUUAAGUAUUGGCUUUUCUUUUCUUCUUCUUUUUUGUUGGGGGGGGGGGGGGGGGGGGUGUUGGUGGGGGGGUGCGGCGGUUUAUAGGAGUAGAUUUGAAUUGUUGAAAUUCUGUGCUGACCAUUCAUGGGAAUUAAACAUGGUUAUCGCCUGCUUUCCAUAAAUAUUGAUGUUAAUGUUCUUCGACAGUGCCCAACAUUUUGGUUUUUGUAUAGAUCAUGUUUAUGUGAGAACUGAAUGAUGGCAUGGGAUCUGCAUUGCUUGAAAACUGCAAUGGUUGCCCACGCUACCUAUUUCUCUAAAAUUGUCUAGCUUUGGACAAAAACCGCUUCCUUACCUUCUUCCAUUUAGAUAUGAAGAUGACUGAAGCUUUGGAUUUCAGGGGUUGGAGAGUACAUCUGUAGGGGGAGCAUAGCACAUAAGCUGAAGCCACUUGCCAUAUGAUCAAUAUGUAGCUUCCCUUUGACCACGUGAUUUGAUCGUUACUUGCUUUAAGAUCUUGUUUCUUGGAACGUCAAUGUACUUUUCUAAAGAUGGUCAUGAGGAGCCUUCAUCUACGCCAUUAAAGGGCAAAGCUGGGAAGGCUUGAAAUUGAUAGAGUUACUGAACUGAGGAAUUAAUGCAGCGAGUGCAUGAAUUGCUUCAAUUCAAGCUUUAAUGAGUUACGAGGUUGUGAAAUAAUUUGUUGUUUUCAGGUAGAGAAGAGUCAUGUAGUGAGAAAAUCGAGUGAAAAAUUGAUUGCACAUCUCUCUCUUCAAUUCUGCUACUCUCUUAAUCCUUAUUUCCCCUUUCAUGUCCCUAAUUGGGGACUCUACAUUGCGGUAAGUUUGUCUUUAUGCCUUUAUACAUUCGAUGGGAAUGAUGUCACAUUUUUAAGUACUAAGAGUUAGUUCGCAAUAUGCUAUUCAUUUCUUGUAUGAGAGAUGGAUUCUUCAAGGUGUCUUUCAUUGCAAGGGGAAAACACAAUGCUUUUUGAGGCCCAACCCCAGACGAUGAUGGUCGUCUCAAAGGAACUGUGCAUGCAUACUUUGUGUUUAAAGCUCGAUCUUCCAAAAUUCUCAUUCAAGCAGAACUCGUGCUUGUGUGCGAAUUUGAAGCUCCACUUCAAAUUAGUCAGGAUUUGAGGAAUGGUCUUUUAUCGCAGUCGUCAUCAAUUUACAUUUCUGUGAAGUGGAUACUUAUACAUUGAUAUUCUUCUGAAUGAAUUGAAAGUAUCCGGCUGAAAGUUUCAUGAAUUUGACGGGCAAUAAGUAGGGGUGAGCGUGGUUCCGGGUAGAACCGGGAACCGGAACCGAACCGGAGGAGGGUCCAGUUCGGUUCCCGGUUCUGAGGAGGCCGGUUCCGGUUCCCGGUUCCUUUUUUUGGGAACCGGCGGUUCUCGGUUCCGGUACUGGGAACCGGAACCGGUCCGGUUAGGGCUAAAAGUAAAAACUAAAAAGCCCCAAAUAGUCGAAUUAGGUCUACAGAAAUCAGAAACCCUAAAAGUUGUUCUCUCUCUUCCACACGACACUUUCACUUCGUUUCACAGUUCACUCACAGACUCACAGUUCUCUCUCUUCGCUCGUCCGUUCUCCACCUCUGCUCGAGUCGACGCCACCGCCGGUCGCCCUCGACGCCACCGCCGUUGAUCUCUGCUUGAGGGUCGAGGCCACCUCCGCUCGCCCUCGACGGCAUCGCGGCUGACCCCUGGGCCCUGGCUCACCGUUUGCCCUCGACGCCACCGUUGCUCGCCCUCAACGCCACCGCUCGCUGACCCCUGCUCGAGGCCACCUCCUCUCGCCCUCGACGGCACCGGUCACCACCGCUGACCUUUGGCUCGCUGAUCGCCCUCGAUGCCACCGUCGCUCGCCCUCGACGCCACCGCGCUGACCUCUGGCUCGCUGAUCGCCCUCAACGCCACCGUCGCUCGCCGUCGACGCCAUCGUCACUCGUCCUUGACGCCACCGCUCUCUGACCACUACUCGAGGCCACCUCCUCUCGCCCUCGACGCCACCGCCGCUGACCUUUGGCUCACCGAUCGCCCUCGACGCCACCGUCGCUCGCCCUCGACGUCACUCGCCUUCCAUUCAUAUUUUCGAUUAACCUCUGCUUUUACUUUUCACUAUAUCCAGCUUUUUAACAUCACUCUUCUGCUAAGAGGGCUCUUGGGUAGGUUAACUGUUACUUAACAACAAGAAUAGUUUGAGUUGUACAAAAGAAAGUAAACUAGAGCAGCUCAUUGUCCUAUUUUUUUCUAUCAAUUAUCCUUUUCUUUUUUUUUAGGAAAAAAGUUAGCUUAAAUAUCAGUCAACCAACACUGUCUUGAUGAUAUAAUAGGGCCAUAAAUGUUUGAUGGAAUGACAAAAAAAAUGAGUAAAAUAUGAGAAAGCAAUGUGGUGAGCGAGGGUACGUGUAGGAUAACUGUAGCUGCUGGACAUUGCUGAGAAAUAAGAGAACAACAUGAUCAAACAUGGGGCAUAGACAUCAUUGUCUAAAGACGCAGCAAACUGAGAUUUGGAUGAUGUGUGUUCUUUAGGGGAUAUCUCCAGUUCUCAUUGUGACUUGCCGUAACUUUCUGGCAGUUAGGAAAUUGAAGCUUUUCGAUUAGAAUAAUCUACCACACAUGAUCCAAACGCAGAUUUUAUAAUAGCUUUUUGACGAAUGAUGCGCUCAUGGCAUGACGUGGUUUCGGAUUUCUUCUCCCUAACACAUGCGAGACUCACUGAUAAGGUUGUUGACUGAGUACUGCACGAAUCCAGUGAAUGCUUGCUAAAUCGUUUAUUCUCUUAUAGCGCUGUGUUCUCCUUUACUCUUAGUAGGACGGGAGGAAAUUUCCUCCAACCAAUCUUCUGAUUAGUGAGCUAUAAAUAUAGACGUGAUCUAUGUUUAUAUUUAGUUAAUUUUGCAUGUGAGUAAUAUUUUGUAACUUGUAACCCGCCAAAUUAGUAGGUCGAAUUUCUUGGGGCAAAAAAUAUUGGAAAAUUUAAGCCUCUUUGACAAUACGAUGUUACUGUUAUUGUAUCUGUAUUUAUCAUAGCGAAAAUGAAGAAAUAUCAAUUGGCUUUAGAAGUCAAAGCUAGUUUCUUAUUUUACAAGUUUGAUGUCUGCUUAUAAAUUUAUAAUACAGUUGGAUGAUUUUAAUUUGGCUGACGUCAUUGUGAUGGCGAAGUUAAAACUGUCAUGUUUUUUUCCUGAUGUCUUGAUGUUUGUGCUCUAGGUUCACAUAUUUGGCCUUAAAUUCUCUUCCCUGCUGUCCUAGAGCAACAGAGCUGUCAUUGACUCAGUCAGGGGCUUUCUCGACACUGUUGGACCAUCAAAUUUCAACAUCACUUGUAGAUUUUAGUGAGACAGCUUUGCAAUCUUUCUGGUUCAAAGGUAGGUGAUGAAAUAAAGACUGAAAUUGGUCUACUUUCCCAUGGUUCAUGCUGUAUUAUGUUUCUAUACACCAUUGAUAUGCUGUAUUUCAACAUAAUAGACUUAGUUUAUGUAUAAAACUGUUGUAUUAUGUUUCUAUACACCAUUGAUAUGCUGUAUUUCAACAUAAUAGACUUAGUUUAUGUAUAAAAGUGAUGUAUUAUGUUUCUAUACACCAUUGAUAUGCUGUAUUUCAACAUAAUAGACUUAGUUUAUGUAUAAAAGUGCUGUAUUAUGUUUCUAUACAUCAUUGAUAUGCUGUAUUUCAACAUAAUAGACUUAGUUUAUGCAUAAAAGUGCUGUAUUAUGUUUCUAUACACCAUUGAUAUGCUGUAUUUCAACAUAAUAGACUUAGUUUAUGUAUAAAAGUGCUGUAUUAUGUUUCUAUACACCAUUGGUAUGCUGUAUUAUGAUGUGUUAACAUUGUUAUCAACUAAAUUAAUUAUAUUCUGUUAUUGUUGUGUAGUGCAAAGUUAAUGAAUCGAGAUAACACAUCAAUGGAGGUGGAGGGACAUGAGGAGAUGAGUCCGAUCACGAAAUUGGAGUUUUCUGGCCAUGAAAAUGAAGAAGAGGCACCCCCUACCACGAGUGCCACAAGUAAGGCUGGUUGUCAUCUUCCUCUUAAUAGGAAAUAUACAUCGGAAUGCUAGAAUCAUUAUACUAGAAUUAAUGAUAAGGAUGGAAAACCAAAUCAAGUGAAAUGCAUUCAUUGUGGGACCAUGCUUAAGUAUAGUGUUGCUAACGGUACUUCUGCGAUGAGGAAGCACUUGACCACAUGCAGGAGGUUCCCCCGUAACGUAGAUAAGAGACAGAGGUUCUUUGCACCACGUAAUGUAGACGUGGCUGGCAAGUCAGGAGGAGAUUCUACUACCAGUAGUGUCUUAUCGACAUGGGCGUUUAAUCAAGAAUGUUGUAGGCGGAUGCUUGCUCGGUUCAUCAUCAUUGAUGAGCAACAUUUUCCUUGGUUGAGCGAGUUGGAUUUCGUGAAUUUGUCGGUGAGUUACAACAUCUCUUCAAACAUAUAUCACGUUUCACAAUGGCCAAAGAUUGCAUGAAGUUGUACUUAGAUGAAAAAACUUAUUUGAAGAAUUAUUUUCGACAGAUUAAUUCUAGGAUCGCACUCACAACCGACACAUGGAGUUCCAUUCAAAAUCUGAAUUAUUUGUGUCUCACUGCUCAUUUUAUUGAUGAAAAUUGGAAGUUGCAUAAAAGAAUCAUCAAUUUUGUGGUGAUGCAUAGUCAUAGGGGUAGGGAGAUUGGGAGAAUGGUGGAAAAAUGUAUUGAAGAGUGGGGAAUUGAAAAGAAGGUGUCCACAAUCACUGUGGAUAAUGCUAGCUCGAAUGAUGUUGCAAUUAACUAUUUGAGGGAUAAAUUUUCCAAAGAAAAGUCGUCGAUAUUGGAUAGUAGUUUUUUGCACAUGAGAUGCACAGCUCAUAUAUUGAAUUUAAUUGUGAGAGAUGGCUUGACUACGGUACGUGACUCUAUUGUACAUAUCCGGAAUGUGGUUAGAUAUGUAAAGAGUUCUCCCGCAAGAGCCAAUGCAUUUCAGACUUGCAUUAAGAGUGAAAAGAUCACUUAUAAGGUUCGGUAGUUCUUGAUGUUGCCACUAGAUGGAAUUCCACUUAUCUCAUGUUAGACACAGUUAUAAAGUUCAGAAAAGCUUUCCAAAGAAUGGAAGAAGACAAUAUAUCUUUUGCAAGUGAGCUGAACCAUGAAACUCCUAUUGAUGAUGAUUGGGAAAAUGCUAUUAUUAUUUCAAAUUUUCUAAAAGUAUUCUAUGAUGCCACCAAUCGGAUGUCAGGGAGUUCGUAUGUUAUUUCAAAUGAUUAUUUUGAAAGAAUAGCUCUUUUGUAUAGAUAUUUGAAAGAUGCGGUCAAUGCUUUGGAUCCUAGGCUUCAAGAUAUGGGUGUAAAAAUGAAAGAAAAAUUUGAUAAAUAUUAUGGAAGCUUGGAUAAAGUGAAUAUGAUGGUGUUGAUUGCGGUUGUGUUAGAUCCUAGGGCCAAGUUGAAUUAUGUGACUUUCUUGUAUGAACAAAUAUAUGAUGAUGAAUUGAAAGUUAAAGAGAUGCAUUACAAGGUGAAGGAUGCAUUGGAGCGUUUGUAUGAAUUUUAUAAGCAAUCUUCUGUUAUUUCAAGUGAUCAAAAUGUUGGUGGCCAUAGUUCGGGUACAAGUGGUAGUGCUUCCAAUGUCGAUUCGGGUGGUAGUGAAAGAAUAAAGAAGUAUGACGUCCAAGUUUGGAAAAAAAUGUUUUUAUACUCAAAUGAACAAGGGUGUGAUGACAACAAGUCCGAGCUUGAUGAGUAUCUUCAAGAAAAAAAUGAAAAGGAUCUUAAUCUUGACCUUUUGAUGUGGUGGAAGACUAAUGGCUCAAAAUAUAAGAUCCUUUCUUUGAUGGCUCGAGAUAUUUUGUCCAUUCCAUAUCUACCGUUGCUUCCGAGUCAACUUUUAGUACAUCGGGUCGUGUGCUUGAUGGCUUUCGAAGUUCUUUAACUCCUAAAGUAGUGGAAGCUUUGAUUUGCACUCAAGAUUGGUUGAGAGCCGUUCGUGUACCGAUUGAUGUUGAGGAGUGCAUCGAGAAUGCAGAAAAAUUUGAGUUGGGUAAGUGACAUUGAUUAUAUCUUUAUAUAUUGUAAUUCUUUUUGUAUAUCUAUAAGUGAAUAUUUUAUCUAAUCUCUCUUCUUCUGUUUUUUUUAGAUAUGGAUGUUGUUAAUGCAGAGAUUAUGGCUGGUAAAUAGAGUUUAUCAGCUAAAGCGGAAUGAAUAUAUGUGGUAAGUCCAUUAGACUUGUUUCUAAGUACAAUAAAAUGUUCAUGCUUCAUCUCAAUUGUAUUAUCUAAUGACGCCUACCCAUUCCAUAGGGAAACAGAACUGGACUUAUCAGUUUCAAGUGAAGGAUCAGAUUGGAGCGUAGCAACUAUGAUUCUGAACCUAUGCUGCGUUCAUGCGGUAUAACAAUUAGCAAUAGCUUUACUCAAGUUGAAGGCCGCGUUCUACCGGCUCCUAAGGUGCCACUGCUAGUUUCCCUUUUGCAUUUUUUUUGCUGGAUAAAAAAAAAAAUUCUGUUUGUUUGCAAUGGACUGUUAGACAAUCAUCUGCAAUAACACAAACUUCUGUGGCUUCCUUCCCAGCUAAACGUGGGCAAUGGAGAGGAUUUCUUCCCCCGCAAUGGACGGUGGAGCUUUCAGAGUAAGGUUAUUUGAAUUAUCUGCCACCAAUUAUUGUGUUCAAUAAGUCUGUUUAUGCUAUCUUUUCACUCUUCUGCAGAAAUUUGUUGAGCCAGCUAAGAUACAGAAAUGGGCUGUGGUGAACUUCUCUGCUCGGUGUGACAUGCGUGGGCUUAUAAGAGAUCUGACUAGAUUAGCUGAAAUGAAAGGACUUGUGAGUAUUAUAUCCUGUCUGCUGCAACAUUUUCCUUGAUGACUGAUAGACACCUUUUUUAUCCCCUGAUUGCCUUGUUAAUUGUGUUUCUUAUAUCUUGUCCGGUGUCAAUUAUAAUGCAACAUCUUCCAAUAAGCUAAUGAAUAGUCCGUGACCAUCAAUGAUGCAGCUCACCGAACAACCUUUUGACGUGUUUGAGGAAAGCCCCCAAUUCAGAAGAGCCCCUCCUGCUGUUAGAGUGGAUAAAAUGUUUGAGGAGAUACAGGCUAAACUACUGGGGUGCCGCUCCUCCUCAAAAGACUAAAGUAUAUCCUUUAUCAACCCCUGAUGCGCAUUCCUAAUUUGAACGUCAGCAUGCCGAGUUACUAAGCUGUUUAGUUAUCCUGUGCAGCAAAAGCAGCAUGGCUCUGUCACUAUGUGUAAGUAACCCUUCUUAGCAUAUCUGGAAGUUUUAGUUGUUUGGGUCUUCUCUUUUUUAAUUUUGGUGGUGCUAAGUUAUGUUUGCUGCUGUUUUCAGCUUUUAGAGAUGGGAUACUCAAUCCAAUUGGAGACAGGGUACGUUAGUUCCCAGCACAGCAAGAAACUUUCGAUUUGAUUAAGGCAUAGAACAUUUAGAAUGAAGUGUGUCGUUCAAAUGAUAGCUUGUGAUGUAUUUUUAGCAAUGCAUGAAUUUCUCUCCAGUUGUUUUUCUAACUAAAACUGUCAUACGGAUGUCGAUUUGCAGGCGAGUUCAAUAUGGUUGUACAUAGUACCUCAGGGGCUCAGAAGUUUAAUGAACUAUAUCAAGACAAAGUACGGGAACCCGCCUGUUAUUAUUACCGAAAAUGGUAAGUCUGCCGAGCUUUAAAGAAAAAAGGCAACUAGCAUACAGAUGCUACAUCUUUCUGUAAUAUCUUCACUGAAGUUGAAGGUCUUCUUAAUCCAGUCAUGACUUACUGAAGAAGAAAAGAUGCUCAAAUCUGUUGCCUUUGUCUGUUCUAACUUGGGUCUCUGCAGGUAUGGACGACCCGAGCCCGCCGCUAAUCAACAUCAAAGAGGCUCUCAAGGAUGAGAAGAGGAUCAAGUAUCACAAUGACUAUCUCACCAACUUGCUGGCCUCCAUCAAGUGCGUUACGAAUGUUCCGUGCGCUUUCUCUCUUUUUAUCAGUCGAAACCGAGCUCUUUCUAUGUCGUUCUUUCUAACAUUUUGCUUUAUAACUGAACCAGAGAAGACGGAUGCAACGUGAAAGGGUACUUCGUGUGGUCUCUGUUGGAUAACUGGGAGUGGGCGGCCGGAUACACUUCGAGGUUCGGCCUUUACUUUGUGGAUUACAAUGACAAGCUAAAGAGGUACCCCAAAGACUCUGUUCAGUGGUUCAAGAACUUCCUGAAGUCUACUUAACCAAUUAAUGAAGAUGAAGGAGGCGCCACAGUGGAUACUAAAGUCAACAAUUCUAAUGAGUAAUUCUUUUAGAUCCUUUUUGUGUUGUGAGUUAACCAAUUGAUGAUGAUUUAACCUGUAGUGGUCCAUUGCUCGAUGAUUACAAACAUACAUUUAUACCCAUACUUUCUUCCUGCAGCUUGGUGGCUUGAACUCUUUGUUGACGGUGGAGCGUUCUUCUAUUCCUGUGGUUUCCAAGGUUCCCAGUUCCCACCAUGAUCCUUGGAAUGGAUGUGUCUCAUGGCUCUCCUGGGCAUUCUGAUAUUCCGUCCAUUGCUGCGGUGAUGUGCUAAUUCAGCUCAUGUAAUUACUUGACAUGUAGCUUGUAGCAGGGGCAUAGUGGCUUAUAAGAUUCUCUGUCAAUUACAUCUCAAACGCAGGUGGUAAGCUCUCGCCAAUGGCCACUAAUUUCUCGCUACAGAGCAACUGUUCGUACUCAUUCCCCUAAAGUAGAAAUGAUAGACUCUCUGUUUAAAAAGGUGUCUGACAAAAAGGAUCAACGUAUCAUAAGGUGAGCUUGUGUUGUCUACUAUAUUUAUAUGGGAGAGUGCUUCUACUUAAUUUUGAAUCAUGUGCAAGAUCGCAUCUUAUGACCACAUGUGCAUCUUCCAAUAAUUUGUUGCUUUAUCCCAUAUGUCAAGCCUUCUUUUGGUUUCUGAUUUCAGAGAGCUUCUCUUGGACUUUUAUGUGAGUUCCGGCAAAAGGAAACCUGACCAGAUUAUCAUAUUCAGGUCUGUAUCUUUAAUGAUGUGAUGUCUUAAGUGUGCCUGAUUUAAUGCAUUAUCUAUAUUACCANNNNNNNNNNNNNNNNNNNNNNNNNNNNNNNNNNNNNNNNNNNNNNNNNNNNNNNNNNNNNNNNNNNNNNNNNNNNNNNNNNNNNNNNNNNNNNNNNNNNAAGAGCGUUGCUUUUCCAGAGUGGACUAUCCUGAUUCUAGGAAGCAGGGCUUUGUUGUUGUUCCAGAGCCUUCUCCUGAAAUAGUUGUCCAGCAGCAUUUUAUGCCAGCUCAAGCCCAGCCUAAAUUGGAGGCCAAGGCUAGCAAGCCAGUUACUGCCGAUUCUUGUCCUGUAGGAGGCGAACCUGCUCAGUCAUCUGGAUUCUGAACACUAGGUUCAUGAAUUUUCAAAAGAAUAUUCUCGAUUUCCUGGUGUUGAAUCUAGAGUAGACAAUCUGGACUAUUCUAUUUCCAUGGAUCCUGUAAAGCCCAUUGAUAAGAGAAUGGAAAAUCUACUGAUAAGGCCCCCUGAGAUGCUGGCCAUUGAGCAUGGUAGGUUGCCAAGUGAAGAACAAAGAAAGACAGAGAUAUUGAAGCAAAAGGUACAGAAAAACCUGAACUUCCUAUAUGUUUUCUCAUACUACUCAAGCCACAAUUUCCGAGUCCUCUGCCCUUUCGGCACCUGAAGUUCCUUAUUUGCGUGAUAUUCGACCGGUGGAAUUCCAAAACAUGUCUCAAGCACCUAAUGUUGGUAUCCCAAGAUCAAAUUCACAAUCCAGGAUAGUUGUCCAAGCAGAACCUGAAAUUUUAAUCAUGAUACUCAUUUUCCUCCUCCAAAACCUACCAAAAUUGCACUAAGAAAAGAAGGCCUUGGAGCUAAGGAUCAAUUCUUGGAUAACCGUUCUGCAAAGGUCGGGGACUUGAAUGCAGAACUACAGUUGGAGGAUGGAGUCCAGCAACCAUUCAAUAAUCUCGCAAACUAUGUCAAUUCAGAACAUUUUCCAUCUUCCGAAGGUUGUUCUUUAUAGGACCGAUAUUCUAUGUUUCUAAAGUUAGUUUUCUGUUUUUCCCCUUUAUAUAUAUAUAUAUAUAUAUAUAUAUUUUUUUUUUUAUAGUUGUUUAAUUUCUCUUCUGAAGGUUCAGCAAAGGAUCUCAUCAAGCAAGAUCUUCGAAAUGUUGCUGAGGGUGUAGCUGCUUCUGUUCUUCAGUCGGCUCUUCCUUCUAAUCCUGAUUUAACAGUUUAUGAAGGAAAUGAGUCCACUCAUGAAGCAUACCAGGAUAAAAAUGUGCAGCAAGAAGCUGACACUGAGGUGAUUGAGCUCUUUUGUGUUCAUAAAGUGUUUGUAUACAUGAGGUUGCUUUGUCCUUCAAGUGCAUUCAUUUUGAUGAUCAUGUACAUCUGACAUUUUCAUGUAGGAUGCUAAUUCUAUAGUGGCAGAGAGGAUGAAUUUCGGGUUUCCAGUAUCAGAUGGCAUUGGUCGCUUGCAAGUGAGAGAUUUGCUUCACUAUGAUACAUGUUUGGUUUUCCUGGGACUCAGCUCUUAAUUUGCUUGGAUUUCCAUUCUGCAGAUAAUUAAGAACGGUGAUCUUGAAGAGUUGCGAGAAUUAGGUUCUGGCACUUAUGGGACUGUUUAUCAAGGAAAAUGGAGGGGUACUGAUGUAGCCAUCAAAAGAAUCAAUGAUAUUGAUAAGUGCUUUUCUGGGAAGCCCUCAGAGCAAGAGCAAAUAGUAUGGAUCUUCUUGCUUUUUGUUGUUUUUGAUAUUUAAUAGUAUUCUUUCUGAAUCCUUGGCACUGUUGCUAUGCUGAGACAGAGAUAUGAUUUCUAGAAUGAGGCAAUCAACCUUGCUGACUUGCAUCAUCCAAAUGUGAUGGCCUUUUACCUCCUCUUCGUUCUCAGUGGAGGGAUCAUCCAGCCAUUCCAAUUUCCAGCAGAGGAGUGCUGACUUUGGCGAAAAUCUUUGGGAACUUGAAGACACUUUAUCAGAAGCUGCAUCAAAGCAUGAGCUAUGAGUCUUUUGCUGAUUUAAACAAGUUUUCCCAGGUAUGCCACCUGCAUAAAGUUAGUAGGAUAGCAGGGAAUGCACAAUUUUUCCCAAGACACCAUUUGAUAGAAACGUGCAGGUGAACUUACCUUUAUGAUUUUAUGAAUUCUGUGUUCAUUAUAAGUAGAUGAAGCUAAGUCUGGCUCUUAUGCCUACAGUACAAUUAUGGCCAUUGUCAGAGCACAUUUCAUCCAUCAUGUGCUCGAACUAUUGGCUCUUAUUACACUCAUGAAUGUAAAAACAGCUUGUUUAUUACUUCUAAAAUGAUGUUUGCUGUUUGUGUUAUAUUAUCUUCAAUGAAUGACAAGUUUGUUUAUUAUUGAUGCAUUCAUUUUCAUUUUUUUAACUAAAAAUGAAAAAAAAAAAAAAAGAACCUGUUGGAACCUGGAACCGACCCCGGAACCUGUGACAGGGUAGGUUCCACGUUCUCGGUUUUGACGGGUAGGUUCCAGGUUCCAAAAAAUGAGGAACCUGUACCCGAGGGUAGGUUCCAGGUUCCAAGCGGAACCUGUAAGGAACCGGGAACCGCUCACCCCUAGCAAUAAGUACGGAAACUCAAGAUGAAAGGGAUUUCUCUAUCUAUGAUUGAUGAUAGAAGAUCUAACUAUCAGUGCAGAUAGGCCAGAAGUACAAGAAGGAAAUUGCAAGCAGGAAUAGGAAGUUAUGUGAAUUUAUUUCUGAGCUAAGAACUUAGAUUAACUUGUCAAAAUGAGAUUACAUAACCACAGAUAUACAUUUGCCUCUACUUCAAUGACCAUGGUUCAAGCUUCAACGAUGGUGGCAUGAAUCUAUUCGACAAAGGUCAAAAUGAUCAGAAGCUGAAAAAGGCAGCUUUCAGAGCUAAUACGGUCUAAAACUGUACCAGAGCUAGUUUACAUUGACAAAGUCUGCUAGAAAGCUCAUACGUCUAGACUUUGAGGCCUAUUUAAACAGGGACGGUCCUCAACUCGGCUGCAUUAUCUUCCUCAUGCUCUCCAGAGAUCUCCUCGAGUGAAUGGCCCUUUGACACUGGCACCAAGAAGAUGAAGACUAUCCCAAAGAAACUGGUCACGCCGAGUGUGAUCAAGGUCUUCACGAAUAAUUACAACAAAUGGCGGACUGAUUUUCUUGCUCAGUUUGAAUCAAUGUUGCGGAGGAGCUAUGUGGCGAAGUUCAAAGUGGAAAGGGGUCGUGCGUCGUGAAUGCCAGUGCUCUAUUUGGCUUCAAAUGCCAGUGCAAAUCGGGUUGGAAGCAGAUGCGCCUUGACAAUGAAGAUGACCUCAAGUUCUAUUUGGCUUCAAAUGCCAGUGCGAAGCGGGUUGGAAGCAGAUGUGCCUUGACAAUAAAGACGACCUCAAGUUCCAUCCCAGUGUUUACAAGGUUGCAGGAAUUGUAACAGUAAAUAAAGCAAACACUUUGCCUUAAGUAAGAAAUCAUUUGGCUAGUUCUCUGUAGUAGAAUGGGAAAAAAAAGUGUGACUUGCCAAUUUUUUGCUCCAAUUAAAUGGCGAAACAAAUGGAUGAUGCGACUCUGAGAAGAUAAAUGAAAAACUAAUCCUAGAACAUGAAGCUCGAGAGCUUCAUCUGCAGACUCUGCACAUUACCUCACAUAAACAUUCAACGUUCAGAGCCAUAUGGUUGAGGUUCAUAUGAAUUGUGUUUUGCUUUUGUGAACAUAAGCUCAAGUUGCAAAUCUUCUUUUCGUGCAGGUUCUGUUGAGCACUCCUGCAUGCCCGGGCCUCCCCCAGUCCCAUCCGUUCCGUACAACGCAUGUGUCUUCGAUCGUAAAUCAUCUUCACCUCCCUCAUCAUUUUGGUACAUAAGUAGUAUUGAAGGGAUUUCUGGGUAGCUUGCUACUGGAUAUAUUGUGGAGGAAGGACAUGCACGAAGUCUGCAACUUAUGAGCACACUUGCCAGUGCGAUGCGGGUUACACGAUUCUCAUGAACGUCAGCAUCUUCCCGUGCUUCAGUGAUUGUAAGAUAUAAACUCAAAGACUCGAGAUUGCAAUUCAUUCUAAUUCCCAGUUUUUCCACUCACGCGUACCUUCCUUUUAACAUGUUUUGUGGAGGAUUCUUUGAAGGUGCAAUCGGUAACAACUGUUAAAAGCUCAGAAUAAAAGUUUCCAACUCAUUUACCACAGGAUCAGACAGCGGAAGUAAAGGUGACAUUCUGAAAACGUCUCUCUCUUGAUCUUAUCUUAUUCCAAUGGCCAAAACAAGUUUUCCAAAGAAAAGGUUGCUUGCUUCCCAAGGUUUCGAUUAAGUCAAAAAAGAGAAGUUCAUGUAGUUCAAUCUGAAAUGGCAGCUAUUAACAAUCACAUUUACAUAGUCACACCCCCUACAACAGCCUUUGACAGUGCAUUUGGUGUUGAAUGAAGACAAUCCAAGUCAUCAACUUCCUUUAACAUUAAACAGGGCAUUUAUGAACUACAAUCUAGUGAAAUUUUUACCAAACCUAAUGCCUGGUAUCUUGGGAAGUUGCUGUGGAUGACCAUCUUCACAGCAUCUAUGGCUUUGGUUCUAUGGAACUAGUAAGAGGGCAUCAUCACGAGACCGAGGCUUCAUGUGGAGUUGUACUAAAGACGUAUAGAUUAUACUCAAUUUCCAUUCGCGCAAUGGUUUAUGUUGCACUUUGUUCUUUAUUUGUUGAAGUGACAUUCUUGUGUAAAAUUGUUAUAGAAACAUGUCUAUCGUAUGGUUUGACACUACACUAUAUCACAUGUAUAAAAGAGACCAAUGCUUUCACUCCUCCUUUCAUUGAGGCUUCCGAGGAUUGCAACCAUUCUACGAUCAAAAGAAACUGGCGUUUUGUGAAACAUCUUGAUUGUGCAUUUCUUCGCUUUUCUUUCAGUUUUCAGCCUGCAAACAGAGCCAUCAACGCCCUAGGCAGAGCAUUGCAUCAUGAGUCUUAUCUUGGGGGAGACAGUCCUUGUGUUUAGCUAGGCUCAUUCCAUCAUCUUUAGAUAAUUUCACAGAAAGAUUAUAUAUUCGCAGAGAGAUUCUGAUGCUGAUAAAUAUUAGUCACAGAUUAAGGUGAUAAUUCAUAGAAAACUAAUCGUCCAUAUAAUAGCAAACAGAGAGAAUGGCAGAUAAUAAGGAUGAAUCCAAGAUAUAUUGCUGAAUCCUGAAAAUAAAACUAGAAAUCUCAACAUCCUCAAUUAGCAGGUCCAUCUUUUAGUUGCACUCUCUCCAUUUCUAUACCAAUAGCCACUAUUUGUGAAUAUCGAUUUCCUCAAAAGAAAAACAAAAGAGUAUUGACACGUAUCAUGCAUGAAUGAAUAAUGUUUCAAAAUUGAAGGCCAAAUCACUUCACAACAGAAACCUCUGGUUUUCGUCUCCCUUCAGUUGAAUCACUUCCAUAGUCUCACCAGCAACAUUAAAUACUAAAAACAGGAUACACAACUGUCGACAGGAGCGUACUCGCAAGUCACAACCUCGAAUGCAAUUGUCUAUCAUAACAACAGAAACUGAUAAGCAGAGUAUAUUCUAAAUGGCUUGAUAAUGAGUAUUGACACCUAAAUUUUGACGAUUUGUUUAAAUGUUUAUUAAUUGCAUUGGAAAAUUAGGGAUUAAUUUCUAACCCCUUAACAAAAAAUUUUCAUUAAAAUCGCAUCACAUAUAGACAUUAGGAGCAUUUGCGUCACUACUUUUAAAAUUUAUCAAAACAAAUUACCAAAAAAAAAGAGGGGUAGUCGGGCCAGGUUCAGACAAGCCUUGGGCUGGCCCCUUCCUCUCUUUCCUUUUCUCUUUCCCUCGCGCUGGGCCCGGCCCAGCCCUUUUUCCCCUUCAGCCCAGCCCGCGCACGAGCUGGUCGUCUCCCUCUUGCCGUCCUUCGCACGCGCCUACAAGAAAGGAAGAAAAGCAGCAACAGCAGAGGGGAGUAGAGGGAACUAGGGGUGAGCAGCGGUCUAGGGUCGACCCUGGACCAACCCUGGACCGGCCCAACCCUGCCGAUCCUAGUCCGGUUCCCAAGGGGACUGGGUCGGUCCUUGGUCCUGAAAUUCCAAUAUCAACACUGUGCGGGUUGGUCCUCGGUCCUAAGAGUUUUUGGUCGGUCCAACCCUGGACCAACCCUGUAUAUUAUAUUAUAUUAUAUUAUAUUAUAUUAUUUCUAAUUCUUUUAUAUAUUCAAACCUAAGUAAAAUGUUUGUUAUAUUAUAUUAUAUUGAGAUGUUCUAUCAAUAGCACUAAUAAUAAUUUCAAUUUAAAACUUAUGUUGAGUAUUAAUUAUGUGUUGUUUGUUUUGUUUUCAGGUGUUUAGAAGUUCAAGUGAAUUAACAAGAUGUGAAGUUAUAUAUCCAUGGUUUAUAUUAAAUAUUUUGAACUUUUUAUAGUGUAAUUGUAUUUUACUAAUGAAUUUCAGCUGCAUUUUGCUUUUCAAUUAGUGUUAAAUGGUAGAAGUUUUUGAAGAGUAGAGUAGUACUGCAGUUGCUAUAGUGAUUUGCUAGUCAAGUGGUGUGAAGCUCAUUUUUUGGUUGAGUGGACUCUACAUGAUCAAAUGCAGGAAAACGCUUUUGCAUAUGGUGUCAUGAAUAUUAAAGAUAGAUAAUUACAAGAACUUUCCAUCUUGUCCCAUAUUUCAAUGAGUUGUUAGUAAGUACGAAAUUUCUAUUAGUGUCAUCUUAAAUUUGCUAAAUAUGUAUUGGUAUUUAUAGUUUAAUUGCACAAUGCCGCAUUAUCGAUGGAUGUGUAAUUUAAAUUUGUAGGUUUGUUUUUUUAGGGAGUAUAAAAAAUAAGACGAAAAAAAUUAUCGAUCGAUCCCGGGUUGACCCUGGAACCGGACCGAACCCAUUGGGUCGGUCCGGUCCUUGGUCCCAGGCUCAAUAGGGUCGGUCCUCAGUUCUAAAAAUUAUGGACCGACACUGUACGGGUUGGUCCUAGGGUUAGGGGUGGCCCGGACCAACCCGAACCAUGCUCACUCCUAGAGGGAACAGCCGAAUCAGGGGACGAUCGGCUGGAGUUGGUGGUCGCGGAUCAGGCCGGCAAGGGCAGCUGGCACAGUAGGAGGCCGGGCGCCUGCGGAGAGAAGAAAAACAGAAGAAAAGAACAGGAGAGAGGGGGUUUUCUUCGGUAAGCAACCAAGAUGGAGAGAGAGCAAGUGAGAUAGAAAGCGAGAGAGAGCGAGAGAGAGCGAGAAGCAGGGAAUGAAGAGUGAGGCCAUGAGUGAAGGGCCUCGUCCAGCAGCCACCGCGCUUAGACCUUGGCCGCCGACCCUUGCCAACGUGUAUCUCCCCACGGUAGGUUCUAUGCGUUUCUUUUUUUAUUUGUUUCGAGUUGCUUUGAUUUCUCGAGGAUCCCGGUUCGGAGGCGUGCGGGGUUGACCGGACGUAGUCCGAUCUAUCGAUCUCGCUCGCCGUUCGCCGACCCCGAGCAGGGUAGGGACCCUCUGCCGACCCUUUUUGUGCCCUGCGUUUGCCCUGUCCCCUCACAUCUUUUGCGUGAGUUUCUGAGUCGGGGCGUGCGUUUCGAGGUCGCUUAUGCUGUCCUUCAUUGAUGUUGAGCAUUCCCUGCCAUUCGCGUUGAGCUUUGAUCUAGUUUCGAGUCUUAUUCUUGUCUGUGGCUGCCUUUCAUUUGACGCGCUCCAAAUGUAUGAUAUAAUGCUUCAGUUGGUGUUGUUCUUUAAACGAGACCCAAGUCUGGAUUAAUUCUAUGGAAGCAUACCGUGGACCUGUUUAAAAUAUUUUCAUCGACUUGAGAUGUCUUCUGAUUGAUGUAGGACCAACUCGACACCAAAGUGUGGGUUCAUCGAUAUUCCAUGUCUCUUUAGUGAACACGNNNNNNNNNNNNNNNNNNNNNNNNNNNNNNNNNNNNNNNNNNNNNNNNNNNNNNNNNNNNNNNNNNNNNNNNNNNNNNNNNNNNNNNNNNNNNNNNNNNNGGAGAGAGCUGAGAGUUGAUAUGCGGGAAAUUGAUGUUGCGAAGAGUCGACGUUCUGGGAACGUGGACUAGAGAAAUAGGAAAAUUACUAAUUAGCUCUUGGGGUGGGCUUGGUUAAAUUCAUUUCUAAUGUAAUCGUGUCGGGCUUGGGGCUUUAUUUGAGCAGGCUUGGGCUUGACGUGAGUUAGAAGAAUCUGGGCUUGGCAUGGCUGGUGCCAUUUGGAUUGAUUUGUUCAUUUGUUAUUUUUUUGUUAAGUUGGGACAGAUUGGGCUCAACGUAAUGAGGGCACUUCGGGUUAGGGCCUGGGAGGCGCGACCCAAGCCGCGGACUCGGGUCGGUCUUGGCCCAGACUAGAUCCGAAGACUCUACCCGGGUCCCAUUUUCGGAUCUAAAAAAGUAUUUUUAUUAGAAAUUAAAAAUAUAUAUAUCUUUAAAAAAAAAAACUUCAAAAAAAAGUUUUGGUUUUUUUGUAAAAAACUAGGGAAAAGUAUAUAGUUUUUGUGUAAUUUUUACUUAAAAAGUAGAAGCCCUUUGCUCUCUAAAAUUGUGUUAAAAAAUUGAACAAGCCUUUAUGAAUUUACCUUAGGGUUUUGAUUAUUCUUAAAGAUAAUUGUCCUUGGUUGCACAAUGUUGAUACGUGAAAUCUGGCUUCUCUUUAGUCUAGUUAGGAUUAGCAUUUGUCUUCUCUAUAGUAUUAAUUCUUUGAUUUCCCAUGCAAUUUAUUUAAUGUUUUCCUUGGUUGCUAAUUGUUAUUUUAAUGACUGCGCAUCCGCACGAUCACCUCACAUGUUAGUGGAUAUGUGUAAAAUCUGACAAAAAUCCUUUCUUUUAAAAUGAACAAGAUUGUGUGGCCAUUUAGAUGAACAACCUUCCAAGUUAGUGGUACCGCAAGCGCGCUAAUAGAAACAUUGGAGUAAACAAGUCCCCGUUCCUAAAAAUCUCUAGUUGCGUAGGAAUCGAGACAACACUCCCGCAUCUUGAUUAGUUUGUAGUCGACCCCAAUAGGUUAGUGGCGACUCCUAGAAUUACAUAGGUUGUUAAGAACUAAAAAUAUAAAAUCCAAUGUCGCGCGAGGUAUGGACUUGGGAGAGCCUGUGCCUAAUUUAGGGCCAUUGGUCCACCUAUUUAGGCAAAUACUCCUAAACCUUCUUUCUUUUCCCCUGGAUGGGAAAAAAGAGGUCGCGACAAUGCGCGUUACAAGGGCUGCCGCAAAUUGAAUGAUUUACACUUAAAGCAUGGGAGGACCCAUCGAACAUUUGAGUUGUUUAGAACAAAUUAAACGUGAUUACACAUCAGAGAGAUGCAAGACACAAUCUAUUUGAAUCUAAUGAAGAUUACAAUUCUCACCAAGGUGACUGCUGGGCAAAAAUGUUACUUCGCCUUUACAUCCAUGCUAGUUUUACCAGGAAUAAUCACAGUUGUCGCCAUGUGCGAGAACAACCCAUGGUCCACCAGUGGAGAUAUCUCCUUUCCUGCGGCAGGCAGCCUUAAUUGGAGUCCUGAAAUGCAAGUCUACAAUGUAGUUUGAGUUAUCCGUAACAAAAGGCUUCAUGUCUUCAUUCAAUUGUAGCUUUGCCUCACAUGCCCUUGUUCAAACAACUCUUGAAGUUGCACCUAUCAACAUCAAAAUUCCCAAAUCGAUCAGCUUCUCGCAACAUCAAGAACCGAAUGUUAUCAUGAUGAACCCCUGCUUUUCAGGAGUGAAAGCCAUCGAUUCCAGUUGGAUCCCAAAUAUGACUCCCAUGUAUCAACAACGUAUCAUCCUCUUAAACUAUAAUUAACACUGAAUUUCUAUUCGACGGAAUUUUGAGUACUUAAAAAAGGCUCUUGCUUCCAUGUCUUCAAUUUUACAAAAGUAAACAAAAAUGCUCACAACUUCACUCAAUUGCCGACCUACAAAUGAAUCAUGGCUGAAUUUAGGAGUUUCUUUUCCAAAACAUUAUCCUCACAACAAGAUGAGUUGUCUAACAAACGUUCACCUCAUUAAAUCCAUCGAAGAACAUCAUUUCAUGAUCGAAGAAUCCUACUACACUCAUCUUAAAUCCACAAAGCAAUCACUUCCUAGCACAAUAACUUCAUAAUUAUGGGGAAAAAAACCGCCCUUUCCACCCCGUUAUUUCAAAGCAGACGUGCUCUAAUGCGUAACCUACUACCGACAUGGUUUAAAUGAACCAAUGGAGUUUAGUAAUAAGACCACUAACCAGAUUGUACUUCCAAGUUUGUAAUAGACACUUCUUCAUACCUUGUCCUUGACGUGGGAGAGCUGACAGAGCGACGGUGUGCCAAAGAGGGAAAUGGAGGUGAGGAUGACGAAGUGGAGAGCCGAAGAAGCAGAGGUAGGUGAUUGAGCUGCAGUGCAGAAAACAAAGUGGGGAAGGAGACGAAUCCUAGUUACGCCCAAAAGCUUUAGCUCACUAAAAAUCUAUUGAAAAAAAAGAAAAAAAAAACACACAUUAAGUACACAUAAAUUUUCAAAGAGCCAGCUCAGAAAUUUAUUUUACCCCAUAAUACAAAUUCUGGGAUUUCACGGAUGAGGUGUUGAUACCGUUUCGUGCAUCGCUUUUUGCAAAAUCCCACAUCCAAAGAUCCAGAGUCUUUCUAGGGAGAGAGGAAGGCCAUCCUGGGAUAACUCCUGCAACUUCGGGCAAUGGAAGAUCUAUAAGGUCUGUAGAGAGGAAGGGAGACUGCUAGACAGUCUUUCCACAUUCCCCAUAAUCACAGCGGUCGCCAUGUCCAAGAACAACCCAUCCUCCUCUACUCCCUCCAGCGAAGACAUCUCCUUUCCUGCAGCAGGACCGUCCUUAAUUGGAGUCUUGAAAUACAAGUCCACAAUGUAAUUUGAGUCAUCCAUCACAUAAAGCUUCCCGUCUUCAUUCAACCUUAGCUUUGUUUCAUGCCCUUCUUCAUUGAACAACCCUUGAAGUCGCACUUAUCAACAUCAGAAUUCCCAAAUUGAACAGCUUCUUGCAACAUCAAGAACUGAAUAAUAUCAUUACGAACCCCUGCUCUUCAGGAGCAAAAUCCUCUGUCGAUUCCAGUCGGAUUACAAAUAUGACUACCAUGUAUUAACAACGUGUUGUCCUCUUAAACUAUAAUUAAUGCCGAAUUUCUAUUCAACAGUAUUCAGGGUACUUAAAAGGCUCUUGCUUCUGUAUGUUCAAUUUCACAAGUAAACAAAACCAUCAACUUAACUUAAUUGUUGACUUAAAAAUGAAACACGGCCGAUUUUUGAAUUUUUUUUCCAAGACAUUAUCUUCGCAACAAGAUGAAUUGUCUAACAAUCACCACAUCGAAAACAUCUAAGAACAUCAUUUCAUGAUUGAAGAGUCCUAAUACACUCAUCUUAAAUCCACAAAGCAAUCACUUCGUAGCACAAUAAUUUCAUAAUUACGGGAAAAAAUCUGCCUUUUCCACACCUUCUUGCUUCAAAGUAGACUUGCCCCAAUACGUAACCUACUAUUGACAUGGUUUAAAUGGACCAAUGGAGUUCAGUAAUGAGACCACCUACCGGAUUAUAAGUGUAAUAGACAUUUCUCCAUACCCUGUCCUUGUCGUGGGAGAGCUGAAGGAAGGGCAGCGUGACAAAGCAGGAGAUGGAGGUGAGGACGAUGAAGUGGAGAGUGGAAGUAGAGGUAAUUGAGGUUCAGACAACAAGGGGGAAGGAGACAAACCUUAGUUACGCCCAAAAGCUUCAGCUCACUAAAAAUCUGCAUAACCAGAAAAAACACACUUGUUAAGUACCCAUAUAAUUUUUGGGUCUAAAAUUAAAAUACAAACCAUUUUCAAAGAGCCAGCUCAGAAAUUUAUAAUACUCCAUAAUACAACUUCAGGGGUUUCGCGAAUGAGGUCCCGAUACUGUUUCGUGCAUCGCUUUUGCAGAAUUCCACAGAAGAUCUAGAGUCUUUCUAGGGAGGGAGGGAGGCCAUAUUGGGGUAAAUCCCUCAGCUUCGGGCAAUGGAAGAUCCAUAAGAUCCGGAGAGAGGAAGGAAGACUUCUGGACAGUCUUUCCACAUUCCCCAUAACCACAGGGGUUGCCAUAUCCAAGAACAACCCAUGCUCCACCACUCCGUCCAGCGAAGAUAUCUCCAUUCCUGUGGUGGGACCAUCCUUAAUUGGAGUCUUGAGAUACAAGUCUACAAUGUACAUGUAAGGCUUCGUGUCUUCGUUCAAUCGUAGCUUUGCCUCACACUCUUCUUCAUUGAACAACUCUUCAAGUCUCACCUAUCAACAUUAGAAUUUGCAAAUUGAUCAGCUUCUCGCAACAUCAAGAACCAAAUAGUAUCAUGACGAACCCCUGCUUUUCAGGAGCAAAAUCCCCCAUCGAUUCCAAUUGGAUCACAAAUAUGACUCCCAUGUAUUGACAAUAGUAAUGUACUCUUAACUACAAUUAAGGCAAAAUUUCUAUUCGACAGCAUUCUGAGUACUUAAAGGGCUCUUGCUUCCGUUUGUUCAAUUUUACAAGUAAACAAAACCAUCUGCUCACAACUUCACUGAAUUGCCGACUUGAAAAAUGAAACGCAGCCGAUUUUCGAGUUUUUUCUAAGACAUUAUCUUCGCAACAUGAUGAAUCGUCUAAGGUUAACCACAUCGAAUCCAUCUAAGAACCAAAUUCACAAUCCGGAUACUCCAACAUUCAUCUCGACUCCGUUAACUGCAAUUAUUAUAUCUAACCUGUCGAGAAUAGAGAUUUCCACUCAUCUUGAAUCCACAAAGCAAUCACCUCCUAGUGCAAUAACUUCAUAGUUACUGGAAAAAAAAAUAAUCCACCUUAAUCCACCCUAUUUCAAAGCAGACAUGCCUUAAUUCGUAACCCUACUACUGACAUGGUUUAAAUGGACCGAUCGAGUUAUAAUAUCGAGACAUUUUACCAGAUUGUACUUCCAAGAAGUCACGUAACCCUUCUCCGUACCCUGUCCUUGUCGACAAGAGGGAAGGCUCUGGUGGGAAACACAAGGGGCGAUGGCGUCGUCGCGCUAGAGCUGAAGAAGCGGCGGCGUGAUAAAAAAGAGGGAAUAGGACGACAAAGUGGAGAGGCAAAGCAGCAUUAGGUGGCGAUGGAGGUGCAGACAAGACAACAGGGGGGAAGGAGACAAUGAUGAAAGAAGAAGGGUGGGUUAUUCUUGGCACCUCCCUAGCGUAGUUACACUCAAAAGUUUCAACUUUUUCAUCUAUCUGCUAAAAUUAUAUGAACUUGUGGGAUUUCGCGGAUGAGGUGCCAAUCGUGGCCGGUCUAUUUUGUGCAUCGCUCCUCUAGGAUCUCACCACAUCCUUGGAUGGAAACCAAGCCUGUAGACCUAGCCGCGUGCCAUUUCCAAUGAGAGUAACGAAUUACAGCAGAUACUUUGGCCUGCAGAGGAAGAGAAGAGUCAUAAGUUAUUCUCCUUAAGAAAUGAUUCUGGCAAGAUCCCAACAUUGUGUCACAAAUCAUACCAAGAAAAAUAUUAUCUCCAUUACCCACUAUAUAUCCAAUGUGGGGUUUCAAAAUAUUUCCGACUUUUAAUAAAUUCCUCCAAGCAUAAGUAGCAUAUGGUUCACAGUCAAGAUGAUAGCUAUAAAGCCAGGCAAAAUAUAGAGACCACACCUCUACAAAAUUCUCCACAGACACUUUAAAAUACAAGCAAGAUUUCACAAAUCCAGUCUUCGAAUGCCAAGGCCUCCAAACUGCUUAAGAGGACGGACAGUCCAUCUAACUUUUGCUCUCUCUUUAGCAUCAGGAUCUCCCUUCCAAAGAAAAGGCUCUACACUUAUGCUCAAUCAUUUCAAAAACUUUCUUGGGCAACAAAAAGAGUUGACACUAAUAGUUAACCAGACUAUGAAUAAUAGAUUUGAUAAGCUAAAGUUUUCUGGCAUAUGAGUGGCUUUUAAAUGUCCAAGCUUUAAAUCUUUUUGUAAUUUAAUGAUUUUAUGAGAGCCUUAUAAUCCUUGGUUGAGAGUCUUUCAAACAAUCCACACUUACUAAAAGAAAGAACCAACAUAGGGUUGGUUGAUUGGUCAUGCUGUUUAAUUCGAUUGUUGCAUGUUGUAUAAAUGCAGUUUUUAAAAACUUAAACUAUUAAGAAACGUGCCAAGCAAUGCCAAGAAACGUGCACGCACGCGCCCGCCCGCCCGCCCGCCCGCCCGCACCUUGCGCACGCACGCACGCACGGAAUGUGGACACAAUCACAUCAAUGAGAUAAUUGGGAAUUGAUAACAAACAACAUAACGGACGAUAAAUUUUAAACCAUUGGCAUGUGCUUUGAUACAAUACUAUAAAUAAACAAGUAGAAUGCCGACAAUAUGCUAAUCCUUCAGAAGAGAUUCUUCUUAGAUUAUGAUUAUACCACAUUAUCAUUACUUGUGUCUUUUAAACAGCCAGUCGAAAGAAACAGCAUAAACAAAUCUACUCACCCUUUAAACUUUGCCAACCAGCGUCUCCAAAGUCCAUGGUUAUGCAUCUUUAGUUCCAAAGCAGCUCCUCCUCCUCCUCCUAGACUUAACAUAGACCUUUCCAUGGGUCCUUACGCCGUACCAAGAAACUUCGUCAAUGGAAAUUCCAAUGUAAUCUACAAGGCGAGCAAGAUUUAAAGACUCCUGGCGAAUGGGCAGAGCACAUCAGAUUACGAAAAAGAAUUGGUGGGUGAGUGUAGAAAACUGCUGGAAUGGAAUGCACAAAAAUAAGCCGAGAAAUCCAAAUCCAAAUGCGACAGGUCCGUUAAGACAAAAGUGACUACGAGUAGAGGAGUAGUAAAUGGCAGAGAUCGAUCAAUACCUUGAUUUUUGAAUGGAAAUAUUAUGUCCGAGGCAUAGGAAUCUUUGGGAGAUGGGAGACAUGGGGUGAUCUGAGGUGAGGACGAUGACGGAGUGGAGAGGCGAAGCCUAGGGAGGCGAUUGAGGUGUAGAGACGACUGAGGGGAAAGCGGAGGUGAUCGAUACUAUGGAAUCUCCUUCUUCGAGAAGAGCCAAGGCUCAAAUAUUAAAAAUACCCUAAUCUCUUUCAUGUCGAAUAUUCAAAGUCCAAAUUCCUUUUUUAAGUAAUUGACUUGGAGUAGUAAUUACCCAAUGUGACUUUUGGGAUUUCGCAGAUGAAGGGCCAAUAUUUGCCGGUCCCUUCCCUGCAUCGCUCCUUCAGAAUCUCACAUCCUGUGAUCCAGAGAUGUUCAAGGGAGGGAGGGAGGCCCUCUUGGGGCAACUCACUCAGCUUGGGGCAAUUUUGGAUCUCUAAGAUCCGGAGAGAGGGAGGGAGACUGCUAGACAGUCUUUCCACUUUCCCCAUAUCAAAUAUACGGAGUUCAAGCAGAGAGGAAGGGAGUGGAAGCGGAAGGUCCUCCUCUCCUCCCACUCCUCCCACACUGCCGUCGAUCCGCAGAACUUGAAGGUAGGUGAGAGAGGUGAGCCACUCCCUCACCGGCUGCUUCAUAUUCUUGCAUCCACUCACGUUAAGUUCCUGUAACUGGGGCGGCAAUCCUCCAUCGGGGAAGCGCGUAAUAUUCUCACAUCCACUAAUUUUCAUACUUUGGAGACUCGUGAGUUGAUGCAACUGAUUAGGUAACAAUUUUAUCUUCGGACAAUCCCAAAGCCAAAACGUCGAGAUGCCGAGAGGAAGAGGAGGGAAGCACUCCAACUCCAGUGCAGGACACUCCCACAACCACAAGGAAGUGAGGUGAGAUAACAAUUGUAGAUCUUGUGGUAAGCUUCUUAAGUUCUCGCAAUAGAUAAUAUUGAUGCUUUGAAGUGAUUGAAGACGGUCUAUAGGUAUCUCCGCGAGUGACUCCACUCCCACACACCAUCCUAUUUCAAGUGUCUUGAGUGUCAUAGAUAAAUGUCUACUCUCGCUAAAUGGAGAGGCUAGUAGAGAAUUGCAUUUCCAAAUUUUUAAUUGUUGCAAACAAGAUGUCAUGUUACUGUGAUUAUCGCUGCUGCUGCUUGGUUCAUCCAUAUGAACACUUAAUCCUUUAGGUAAAGAUUGCAACAUCUUGCAAUCUCGAAUACUUAAUGAUAUCAAUGAUGCCAACAGGCCUGUUUCGGGGAAGGACACGAGUUUUGGACACUUCUCGACAAUCAAGUCUUGAAAAGAGGAAAGGGUGUAAAUCUCGCUUGGGUGCUUCCCCAAAUUGAUGCAAUUCUGUGUGUUCAUGGUUUCCAACUUGCUAGACAACUCUAUAUCUCCUUCUUCAGCUGAAAAGGAUAACAAUUCAGGACAACUUUUGACAACUAAGCUCUUCAGACAAGCGAGAUUCCAAAUUACAUCUCUCUCCGGCCACAAGUACAUCAAAUUUUUACAAUUGUCCAUCUCUAACUUCUCCAGCUUGACCAAGGAGCUUGUAAACCCAAAGUUCAAGCAAGUUAAUUCAACAUCUUGUAUGACAAGAGCGGUUAGAGAUGUCAAGUUUACCAAACUCUUUAGUACACCCACAUUACAACCUCUAAACUUUAAUUCAUUGAUGGAUGGAAGGCUAAUGAUAGAGGACGAGGCAUCCAUACGUGGACAAGAGUUGAUUUCCAGCUUUUUGAGGGAGCUCAGUUGACUAGGCAAUCUUCUAAUUAACAUAGGACAAUCCCGAAUGACCAAAUGCUCAAGACAAGGGAAUGAAACUCCUAUUUCUUCAUUGCUAAAGCGAUGAGACCAUUCCUCCCAUGACGGCAUGUCCUUGAAUUCCAGAGUCAUUAAGGACGGAAAAGGACUUUUGGUUCCAUAAAAUUCAGACCCUACCGUGCGUAGUGCAUUUAGACCUUCAAUGUAUAGUUCUUUUAGAGAAGAUAAUUGUCCCAAUGAGGCUAGUGCUUUGGCCCUACAACAUCCAUGUAAACGUAAAUACACUAUGUUAACAUGUGAGGGACUUUCUAACCAUGACGGGAAUUUUAUGCCACCAUAGUAGGAUAUCACGAGAUUUUCAAGGUUUUGGUGAGGGUGAAGAAAGUCAAGGACCUUUGCUUCAAGCUCCUCAUUCCGAGAAUUUUUAAAAUCUAGACUCCACUGCAUGGUCAAUCGACAUAUUCCCUCCUUUGUGAGUAAAUUGGUGUCCCUAGCAUCUUCGACUUUUUGAACCUUAUGCAGAUCAGAGAUUAACAAUUCCCCUUUGAGGUUUUUCAGGUUUUUUAACUCCUUCAAUCUAGACCCAUUUUCUGUUCCCACUACAAAUUUGGAUAGCAUCUCAAGACCGGCCAAAUUACUUAUAUACAACGGCAUCGCUCUUAGGCUUGAAGUGUCGGUAAUGUCAAGAAAUUUUAGAUUGAUCAAUUUCCCCAUACCUUUUGGUAAUUCGGAAAGGUUUUGACAACCCCGCAACAUUAAAGCCUCUAGAUUGUAUAAUGCAACAAUCGACUUUGGAAGCAUUUCAAUAUUGGUAUAUGACAAAUUGAGGUGCCUUAGGAGCUUCAAUUUGCCAAUGACAUCCGGUACCUUUCUAAUGCAAUAAUGACGUAAUGAAAGAACCCUUAGGUACUUCAAUCUAGAUAACAAGUCAUGUAGCACUUUCUCGGACAAAUAGGUUUUAUCAUUAUGCUUAAAUUGCUUCUCUAAUGAUAUGAAGCUCCUAAGUCCCUUCAUUCGAUGAUAUAUCUUGAGUCUUCCUGGCGUAAUGUGAUCGCUGGGAAUGAAUGAGGCGUGACGAGCAAAAGAUGCAUUGCUUUGAUUACCCUCAAACUCAAACUCCUCUGGGCUAAAAUAAGUUACACCAGCAACUAGCUUUGCAAGGUCAUUCACAAUAUCAUGCAUCAAGAAUCGUGAUCCGUUUAUACUCGACUUUUGAAAUAAUGAUCUAGAUACUAGCUCAUUAAAAUAAUUCAAACCUUCAUUCCAAAUGUCAUUUGCUUCUUUUACCUCCAACAAGCCCUCUGCAAUCCACAAAUGAAUCAAGUCGUCCCGUUCAAUUUCGUAGUCAUUUGGAAAUAUAGCACAGUAAGCAAAACAUCUCCUCAGAUUGGAAGGGAGAUGAAGAUAACUAAGUUCCAAAGUCGAAAGGAUCUCAUUUCUUUCUUUUAGUAGGUCCCAAAUUUUGCUAUUCAAAAUAGCUUCCCAUUCUUGGGGAUUCACUUUAGUACGUAGCAGCCCGGCCAAUGUUUUUACUAUUAAUGGCAACCCUUUGCAUUUUUCCACUAUUUUCCGGCCUAAUUCUUUUAGAUGUGGAUGAUGAUCAAAAUUUUGUACUCCGAAAGCAUGAUAUUCAAACAGUGUCAUACAAGCAUCUUGUGACAACUCUCCGAGAUAACAUGGUGGAGCAUCGGCUAAUGAAGCAACGCUGCUGUUACGAGUGGUGAGGAUGAUCUUGCUUCCCUUUGCUCCCGAUUGAAGAGGCUUUAAUAGGGUAGUCCAAUUUUCGUUCCAAACAUCAUCUAAAACAACAAGAAACUUCUUCCCCGAAAGGUCUUCCUUGAGCCUAUCUUGAAGCCAAUUCAGGUCCUUACCUUCAUAGGGUAAAAGGCAGCUGGUGUUCCUUAAGAUACUCUUUAUGAUAGCAAGCACGUCAUAAUCUUUGGAAACGAAAGCCCAUACUUUCACGUCGAAAUACUCAAUGACUCUAGCAUCAUGGUAAACUUCUUGAACCAGAGCUGUCUUCCCCACACCCCCCAUCCCUACGAUGGGUAUUACUUUUAGAUUUGCACAUGUUCUAUCGUCUUCUUCUCUGGUCAGUAAUUCAAGGAUCUUGUUUAUUUCAUUGUUCCUGCCAAUAAAACCAGGCUCGGGCAAACACGUGGUUGGAAACGGCUUUCGAUUCUCGUUGUUCUCUAUGAAGUUCAAAGUAUCUUUCCGAGUGAUGACAUCUUGUAGUUUGCCAUCCAUCUCUUCGAUCGUGGAUCUCAUUUUACGGUCCAACAUAAAUGCUCUUGGGCUCAAUUUGAAGCAACAACUCGGAAGAAGGGAGCGCACCUUGCUAUUGUCGAGUUCUGCCUCGAACUUAUUUUCCGCGGACUUUGUGGCGAACUCAUCAAGCAAGUCUUCGAUGUCAUAGGCCAAGUUCCUGAGAUCUUCGAGCCACGACUUCACCCCAAGAUCGCCGGUCAGUUGUCUAUCCUCUGCAUCAUCCAGCACCUGAUUGAUGCUGAGCAGCAUCUUCUCCCAUUUCUUCAGCAGCUUAUCGAUCCCCUUACGGCGCGCAAAGUUGAGCACCGCGGGAGAGGCCAACCUCUCAAACAGCACAGGAAGAAGGUCGCCAAGAAAGAGCUCCGCGGUGGGCAUGAUAGCUUGAUCCGGGAGCGGCGGAGGAUUAAACAAGAGUGCCUGAAUGGUUUGAAAGAAGUGUGCUGAGUGGAGAGGAAACAAAAGUCCUUACGUCCGGGACAGUAGCAUCAGAUGAUGGGUGUGAAUAAAAGACUUUUUAAGCAUUAAGUACUCUAGUCAGAUUCGAGGUGGCCUUUGCCUUAGUGGAGAUCUCUUUCAUCCAGUUACACUGAAAAAUGGACGUUGAGGCCACACUCUGUGUAAUGCGACAUUCGUUGAUUCUACCCGAGGUAAAAUGCCGUAAUGAAAGGCAGAUAGAACUUCAGCUUUUUAUCUAGUGGGCUGCCUUUGCCGCGUAGAUGGAAAGAUUCUUUCCGCAAUUCUAGUGCAUAUUGGCCCAAAUUGUGGGUCCCCUCCCUCACCGUCUCCAUCUUCACCGAGCCUGCGCGCUUCACCCGCUGUUCACCUCUCUUUUGUUUUCUUAUUUCCUUCUCCUAAUAAUAACAGACAAGGGGCCCAUUUCUUUUUCUUUCUUUUUUCAAUGUUUUAAACUUGUGCUAGCUAUACUGAAUUUGCGAUCAACAAAACUGUCGGCGGAGCCAAAAGGAAAAAGAAAGGCUUUAACUUUGCGGUCGUCGCUUGCGCUGCGAAAGUUGAGCCUCUCUUUGGAAUUGCCAGUGACGAGCUGGAACGUCGUGAAAUGCCCGCCGUUGAUGGAAGAAGCGGCUUGAGAAAACCCAAUUAAAACCCAUGGAGAGAGGAGAACAUAGACCUUCCCUUUUCCCAUCCUUCUCGCCUGCAGCCUCGCAAACCGACCUGGAGGUCCUAAACAUCCUGAACCAAAGAGAUGAGUAAUUGUACUCAUAUCCACGGCUAAUUUUCAAUCAAAAUGACCACCACUUUUUUGUUAAAGAAAAUACUUUUAGGGUGCUUAUUAAUCAAUUGAUAAAAUAAUGUAACUUGCUUUGUACUGAUUUUUCCACGUAACAUAUAUGACAAAAUUUCUGAAAGUGGAUACGUCAUUCUUAAGGAAAGUGAUCAUAUAUAUAUAUAUAGACCUAAUAAUUGCUCUCGCUUUCAAAAUAACUAGAAUGUGACCCAUGCAAGUGCAUGGGACCAAUUGAAGUUUACACAUCGACAUAUACAUCUUGCGUCUUAAAAUUUAGUACUUUAUUGUAGAAAAAACUUGCAAAAUGGAUAAAUAUGCUAUCAAUUUUAUAAUGACUGGCUAAUACUAGACUAUACAAAGGAAUCGGUCAAUACAAAAGAAUACAUAUAAGUCAAACUAAGAAUAAACAUGUCGGUAUAUUUAUGUUGAUUUUUGUUGUAAAAACAAAUGAUCGAACAAUAAUAAACAAGAAAACGAAAAAAGUAAAUGGGAUAUAGAAUAUAUUUGAUUUAGUCAGUAUGACUUAAUCCACGGGAAGAGUAGUAUCAUAUUGCCGCACGUGCCAUAUAAAACUGGACCAUCAUAUUAGCAAUUUUAGGUAAAAUUGACUGAGAUGAUUAGAUUUAAAACUCACACAAAGAUUUAGAAUAGUAUUAGCAAAAUUAAUAAAUUUAGGACUACAUUAAAAUUCACACAAUAAACAUUUUUAAGAUUGACUUGGUAAUUUUUCUAUUUGAAAUCAAAGUGGACGUGGUACGAUAGUUAUGACAGCGACAUCAUUCUUAACCCGAAUUUUUUGGAUGAGCGUUUGCAAAUUCAAGAUCAUACUGGUCUUCACGUGUCUCAUACGUCAAUUCGCAGUUUUAAAUGUCCACAGUCCACUACAGGUCCUAGGACAAUAGUGUCUACGGCUUCUUUAGCUUUUUCUCCAAAGUAACAGUAAUGUCACGAGUCAUUUGCAGUGAGAAACGUGAUGUGUUUCACAUUAGGACGAUCUUGGUCUUUUCACAACUUACAUGUCCAUCCUUUGAUUUUUUCAGUCAAGAAGUAGCAAAAGUCUCCGAAAUGAGGUCCGCCCUCCAGUAAGGACAAUGAUCUCCUUUUCCUUUUGCUUUUUCCAAACCACUGGCAAUAGGCCUAUUUGAUUCAGUUUUUGAAAAAUGACUUUGAGAAAAUAUAAAUAUUUUUUAGGUAAAAUACUAUACCAUUUGAUAUAUUAUAAUCUCAAAUAGCAUUAAAAAGUAAUUUUAGCACAAAUACUGUUUGGCAAAAUUCACAUUUAUAAUGGGCUUUUGCUAUUUUUUAUUUUAUUUUUAGUUUGAAAAUAAAAUCCCGCGAUCGGCUAACCUCCGACCAACUGCCGGACGGCCAGAUUUGGCCGUUUGAGAUUGCGACCUCAAGCGACAUCGUCGGUCGCAAAGGCUAGAUCUGGCCGUCAGAUGGCCAGGGCGGCCUUUGGACCAUUAAAUCUAGCGACUUGAGGUCACACGAGCUAGGUGGCAUCACCUGGUUCGAGUGCGCCAGGCAACGUUGCCUGGCUCGCGGGUCACGCCACCCCAAGCGGUGGUCAUCGAGGACUCGCGACCCCUAGGCAAUGAUGGCGAUUGCCGAAGAAGCUCAACUCUCAGAUGGGGAAGACGAAGAUGAACAGUGAUGCGGAUAAACAGUAAACUUGCAUUUCCAAAAUUUCGAAUAUUCAAAAUAGGUCCAGAGUUGCAUUGAGCUUUCAGCAUUUCUAAUACUGAUAUUUGGCCAAUGAGCUUUCAAAAAUGUUUGUCAAAUGCAAAAUAUUUUCCCCACCUAAAAUUCCUUGGAAAAGCAUAACCAAACGGGACCAAUAAUGGAUAUCCGUCCUUUGUUUUAUUCGAACAAGGAGUAGCAAAAGUUUCCGUAAUAAGGUCGUUACCAAAAAAGAAAAAAAUCCGUAAUAAGGCCCCCUUCAAGGACAAUGAUAUCUCCUUUUCCUUUUGAUUUUUCGAAAAGUGACAGCACUCUACGUUUGAUUGGACUGCCUUAUAAGGAAAUUACCUUUAGGGUGCUCACAAAUCAAUUAGUAAAAGUUUCAUUAUACUGAUUUUUCCCAGGAAUAGAUGUGAGGAAAUGAUGCACCACCUUCUUCUCAAAAGCAAACUGACAAAAAAGAUGUGAAAAGUCUGACCCGUGGUUCCUAACAGAUGAAUUACAGCUAAACACUAGGUCAAUUGCUCAUGUGACUGCAGUACUGAAAACAUAUCGUUUAAAGAAAUUUAGGGAGCCCUUUCUCUGUUUCUUCCGGAGAUAACUACAGGACUCUGCAGGCAUCAAAUCUUGUACUUGAAGUCAGAACAUUACAAUAUUGGUUUUAAAAUUGUAAAGUUGAUCUUCUCACACAGAGUUCAUAUAAACCCCGAUUGCAACAAAGCUUUUCUUGAUUAACAACUAGUUGCCAUUUGUUCUUUACCAAAAAAAACUAGUUGCCAUUUGUAGGGACUGACUUCGUUAUAAUGCAUGUGGUGCGACCUUAUUGACCAAAUCUGAGAGAAUAAACAUCCAAACAAGAAAAGAAAAAACAAGUUCUCGCAACUCAUGACCCAAAAACAAGUCAUCGUUCUCAGAUUUCACCGUUGAUCCCCUAUCAGAGAUGCCCUAAGAUGAAUUCUAGUGUGAGAAUGCACGAGUUCUAGUGUCCACAAGUUGUCACUUUACCUGAAUAACACGAGAUGACUCCCAAUAGAACUCUCUAAGGGCACGCAUGACAAAAUUUCUGAAAUAGAAAUUCUCAAUUUUUAUUCCAUAAACAAGUUUCUCAACAAAGAAACAUAUUUGAUAAUCAUUCAAAAUUUAUAUUUCUAGAGUAAAAAUUCGUUUGAUAAGAAGCAGCGACGGUCAGCAUUCGGUGGCCAGAGCCUGAUGUCCAGCGAUUGACGUCCCGCGUUCGAUGAUGGACGGCGGGUGGUCGGAGUCCAGUGUCCGGCGUCUGACAUCUGGAGGCCAGCGACUAGCGACUAGCGGCGAGUGGCUAACGGCCAAAGUCCAGCGGUCAACAUUCGAUGGCCGGCGACCGGCGGUCGGCGGCGGGUGGCCAAUGGUCAAAGUCCGACGGUCGACAUCCAACGGCCGAGGGUGAUUGACGGGCAGUUGGCGGGGGACGUUCGACGAUCAACGGUGGGCCUCCGGUGUCCGGUGGUUGGCGAUGAGUGGCCAACGACUAACGAGCAUCCAACAUCCGGCGGCCGUCGAUCGAUGAUGAGUGGCUGGAGUUCGAUGGCUGACAGUUGGUGUUCGGUGGCCGACGGUCGGUGGCGAGUAGCUAAUGGCCAGGGCCGGUGGCAAGCAGUCGACAACCAACGGCAGGCAUUUGGCAUCCCGCGGGCAACGAGUUGGCAACGGGCGAUGACGAGAGUGAACAAUGAAGAAAGUUUUGAUUUCUCAUUUUUGUUCUAGAAAUAUAAAAGUUAAAAAUUUUAACUUCUGAUUUCUACUCCAAAUUUAUUUCUGGAAUAGAAAUUUGUUCUAGAAAUAGAAAAAUGAAAUUACGUUAUCAAACGGAUUUCUGUUCCAAACCUGUUCUAGGGAAUAGAGAGACAGAGAAAUAGAUAAAUAAAAACGUUGUCAUGCGUGUCUUAAACCAAAGAAAACCAAGAUCACUCAAAGUCACCGAUGUUGCUGCAGCACAGCAAUACGAAGCUAAAUUAGUCCAAAAGCUUUCUGUGUAUCGUCUACAGCAAUACAAGUAAACAAUAAUUGGUGCUGACUGUUAAAGAAAGUUUAUAUGUCCCAAGAAAUGCUGACAUGUCUAUAAGUGAAUGAAAUCACGCAAAUGACAUUAAUGGGGCCGGGGAUUACAAAAUAUAAAACGGUUAACAGAGAGGAAAGGGAACGAUCAACAAUGGACAUUCAUUUCCUUCUGUCUUUUUUCUAACCAACUUUGAAGGAAGCAGUAAUCUAAGCGAUAUGGCUUGCCCUCAUUGGAAGCUCAAUUAGGAAUCUUAUUGUAAAAUUAGAAAGCCAGUAAAGGGUCAAAAUUUGGAUUACACAUCGAGCAUGUGAUUGAUGUGGUUAUCCAAACAAAAACAAGAACAGCCACUAUAAUAACGAUGGUGUUAGAAAGAUAGAGGAAAACAAUGUAGUCAUUACAUUUGCAUCCGGACCAAAAGGCAUUCUCUAUCCUAUAGGAGCAUGUCGUUUCUCACCUAGUAAGUGUGAAGUUCUACCACCAAGGCAAAUGUGAAAUAGCUUCUCCAUUCACAAUGGUGAUCCACUUCAACUGCUAGUAAAACUGCGGGAUGCUGGUUGUGAGAUCAGCGGUAUAAUUUUAGAAAAGGUAAAGUUGAAGUUAUUGAAAGAGUUUUCUAGUCUGCAUUAAACUCCUCUUAUACACUAUUUUCACAAAGUGACAAAUGCCGAUAGUUUGACAUAAUUGAAUGCGCGGGAUUAUAGAAAAGUAAGAUGCAUUGAAAGAAGGAAAGAUAAAAGAUCUUGAGCACAUCAAACUGUAGAUGAAAUGCAUGAGGUCUAAUACAGUGCAAUCGAAGCAGCAAUUGAACCGUUUUUCAUAAAAAUUGUACUAAAACAAGUAAAACAAAACAAAACAUAUGUUUGCGACCCGCUUUGGAACUAAUUGUGCGUAUAAUUUUUGGCAAAUAUAAUUCAUCUUCUCACCUCCUUUUUUUUUUUUUUUAUCUCUGGUCAAGAAUGGAAAAUAUUAAACAGCAACAUGAGUAAAUGGAUAUAUUAUCAAGGCUUUAGUCCAAACAACUUAAUAACUCAUUUUAAUAAGUUAACGAACCUUUUCUUUAUUAUAAUUCCAUUUACUUCCAUUUAUCAUAUACAUUUUUAGAAAAGUUAAAGCCACGUCAUCAGACUAGCGUAAACAUUUAUAUGCACAUAUCUUUCCAAGUUUCUGAAUAGUAAACUAUCACAUUGUACUAAACAAAAGCGACUUUUUCCUCAAGGCUAAAGUUUCGAAAACAUUAAAUAUGAUUUUUUAUUGUUUAUAUAACAAUGCAUAGACAAAUGUAGAUUCUUUAAGUGAUUAUUCUCAACUUAUUUAAAUUUUUCAACGAUUGUGAAAUAUUUUUAGUCGAAAAAACUGUAUAUAGACAAUAUAUAUCUACAUAUAUAUAUAUCAACACUGAAUUGCAUUAUUUCAAAAUUGAAAAACAGAAUUGAUCUGCCAUUAUGACAGCAUGUGCUUCUUGCAACUUUUUUUUUUUUUUUGGUGAAAGGUAAAUAGUGCUUCUUGCAACUUUAUAUAUGUAAAGUAGAAAAAACUGUCGGCAGACAAGGGGCCCAUUUCUUUUUUUCUUUUUCUUUUUUUUAAAUGUUUUAAACUUGUGCUAGCUACACUAAGGCCCUGUUUGGCAACGUGCCAAACAGUGACUGAUUCUGAUUUUUUGUUCCCAGAAUCAGUUUAGGACGAGAAUCGCGUUUGGUAAAAUUUUUGUUCUCGGGAACAAAUUUGUUCCUAGAAUCAGUUUGGGAGAAGAUUUGAGAAUAAAAAAAAAGUUGAUUCUGCAUCCGAGAAUCAAAAAAAGAAUCAACACAAUAAAACUCUUCUUCUUUCCUUCCACCAUCCCGCGACCGUCACCCGCCGCCAUCCGCCGCCGCCCACCACCGCCUGCCGUCGGCCGCCACCGGUCGCCGGCCGCCGGUCCGGCGAGCUCGCCGGAGGCUCGCCUGGCUAGGGCGAGGUCCGACAAGCUCGCCGGAGGCUCGCCCAGCCACCAGCGAGCCUCGCCGGGGCUGAGCGAGGCCCGCCUGGCCACCGGCCGAGCUCACCUAGCCUCUCCACCGGCGAGGCCGAGCCUAGCCCGGCCGAUGGCUAGGUGAGCCUCGCCCAGCCCCGGCGAUGCCCGCCUGUCCACCGGCGAGGCUCGGCCGACGAGGGCCAGUCUCGCCGAGGGCCGGCGACGCUCUGGUGAGGUCGCCGGCCCUCGUCCGGCAGGUUGCCAGUCCAGCGACCGGCCACAAGAAGAAGAAGAAGAAAAAUAGGAGAAAAAGGAAAAAAAAGAAAAGAAAAGUAAAAAAGUAGAAAAAAUUAUUUAAAAAUUAAAAAAAAAUUUGAACAGAAUCAAUAAACACGUUAUCAAACGCAAUUCUAUUCCAAAAUCAGAAAUUUUAGACAGUUACCAAACACGUUCUUUUACUUAAAAUCAGUUUCCGGGAACAGAAUAAAAAAUAAAUCAUUUCUUGUCAGAAUCAGUUCCCGGAACAGAAUCGUUACCAAACGCGCCCUAAAUUUGCAAUCAACGAAACUGUUGGUGGAGCCAAGAGAAAAAAAAAGGCUUUAACUUUGCAGUCGUCACUUGCGCUGCUAAAGUUGAGCCUCUCUUUGUAAUUGCCAGUGACGAGCUGGAACGUCGUGAAAUGCCCGUCGUUGGUGGAAGAAGCGGCUUGAGAAAAUAUAAUUAAAACCCAUGGAGAGAGGAGAACAUAGAUCUUCCGUUUUUCCCAUCCUUCUCGCCGGCAGCCUCGCAAACCGACCUGGAGGUCCUAAACAUCCUAAACCAAAGAGAUGAGUAAUUGUACUCAUAUCCCCGGCUAAUUUUCAAUCAAAAUGACCACCACUUUUUUGCUAAAGAAAAUACUUUUAGGGUGUUUAUUAAUCAAUUAAUAAAAUUAUAUAACUUGCUUUGUACCGAUUUUUUCACAUAACAUAUAUGACAAAUUUUUUUAAAGUGGAUACAUCAUUAUUAAGGAAAGUGAUCAUAUAUAUAGACCUAAUAAUUGCUCUCGCUUUCAAAAUAACUAGAAUGUGACCCAUGCAGGCGCAUGGGACAAAUUGAAGUUCACACGUCGACAUGUACAUCUUGUGUCUUAAAAUUUAUUACUUUAUUGUAGAGAAAACUUGCAAAAUGGAUAAAUAUGCUAUCAAUUUUAUAAUGACUGGCUAAUAGUAGACUAGACAAAAGAAUCGGUCAAUGCAAAAGAAUACAGAUAAGUCAAACUAAGAAUAAACAUGUCGGUAUAUUUAUCUUGAUUUUUGUUGCAAAAACAAAUGGUCGAACAAUAAAAACCAGAAAACAAAAAAGUAAAUGGGAUAUAUAAUAUAUUUGAUUCACUCGGUAUGACCUAAUUCACUGGGAGAGCAGUAUCAUAUUGCUGCACAUGUCAUAUAAGAUUGCCAAUAAUAACUGGACCAUCACAGUAGCAAUUUUAGAUGAAAAUUGGCUGGGAUGAUUAGAUUGAAAACUCACAUAAAGAUUUAGAACAGUAUUAGCAAAAUUGAUAAAUUUAGGACUACAUUAAAAUUCACACAAUAAUUUUUUUUUUUUUUUUUGGAUGAGCGUUUGCAAAUUCAAGAUCAUAGGGUCUUCACGCGUCUCAUAUGUCACUUCGUUGUUUUAAAUGUCUGCAGUUCACUAUAGGUCCUAGGACAAUAAUGUCUACCGCUUCUUUUGCUUUUUCUUCCAAAGUAACAUUAAUGUGGCGAGUCAUUUGCAGUGAGAAACGUGAUGCGUUUCACAUUAGGACGAUCUUGGUCUCUUCACAACUUGCACGUCCUUUGUUUUUCUCAAACAAGAAGUAGCAAAAGUCUCCGAAAUCGGAUAGAGAAUAUAUUUGAUUCAGUCAGUAUGACCUAAUCCAUGGAUAGAGCAGUAUAAGAUUUCAUUAUUAAUCAAGCAAUACAUUAGAGGUUAUGAUAAUGGUUGGUAAUUCACAUGGUAUUUAAUGUGUGCAAUUCCUUGCAAAACAACCAUUAAAUCUCACAAAGAAAUUACAUAAAUCUUACAAAGAUUUCAUAGUUGAUUGCUCAACUAGUGUUCAAAAACACUUUGAUGAAAAAUCUUUUUUAAGUAAUGGCUAAAAAUAAAUAUAUGUUACUUCGAUAGAAAAAUAUUUAUUAUUUCUCUUCAUUAUUGUCGUUGCUACCUAGAUUUACUCUUAAAGAUACAUCAUGCAUAAGAUGAGGGUGAAAAAAUUGAGUAGCCAUACAUCGAACUAAAUUGAGUUUGUGAUUAGAUAGUAUCUAUGAAUCAUACUCAAAAUUUGUCUAGGUCAUAUAAGUGCACAUACCAUAUAAGAUGGCCAAUAAUAAUUGGAUCAUUACAUUAGCAAUUUUAGGCGAAAAUUAGCUGGGAAGAUUAGAUUGAAAACUCACAAAGAUUUAGAAUAAUAUUAACAAAAUUAAUAAAUUUAGGACUACAUUAAAAUUCACACAAUAAACGUUUUUAAGAUGGAAUUGAUAAUUUUCUUGUUUGAAACCAAAGUGGGACGUGGUACUAUAGUUAUGACAGCGACACCGUCGUUAUCCCGAAUUUUUUUUUAUGAGCGUUUGCAAAUUCAAGAUCUUAUUCAUCUUUACGUGUCUCAUAUGUCAAUUCGUUGUUUUAAUGUCUGCAGUCCACCACAGGUCCUAGGACAAUAAUGUCUACUGCUUCUUUUGCUUUUUCUUCCAAGUAAAAUUAUUGUCGCGAGUCCUUUGAGUGAAAACGUGACGUGUUUCACGUUAGGACGACCUUGGUCCCUUUAACAACUUGCAUGUCCAUCCUUUGGUUUUUUUUCAGACGAGAAAGAGCAAAAGUCUUCCGAAAUGAGGUCUCCUUUUCUUUCGCUUUUUCCAAAAGUGGACACCAUUAUCAACAAUGGAUGUCCUUCCUUUGUUUUAUUCGGACGAGGAGUAGCAGAGUAGCAAAAGUCUCCGAAAUAACAUCCACCCUCAACGAGAAUGACAUCUCCUUUUCCUUUUGAUUUUCCGAAAAGUGACACCACCAUACGUUUUUUUUUUGUCAGAAUUAAUGAUAUUUCAUUACUAACUCGGUAUUUAAAAAAAAAAAAGGCACGAAAUAGUUGGAGAACACCACGAUUUUUUUCAGUCAAAACAACUAUGACUACUUUUUAAAGGAAUUACCUUUAAAGUGCUUACAAAUCAACUAAUAAAAGUUUUAUUGAACUGAUUUUUCCCCAUAACAUGUAGGAUUAUCUUUUUUUUGGGGGGAAAAAAAUCACCAAAAACCCGAAACUUUGUCCAAAGUAUCAAAUUUACCUUAAUUUUUUUUUUAUGAUAUGAAAAACCCCAAAUUUUGUAAACCGGACAUAUUUACCCCCACCAAGAGUAUUUUCGUCUUAUUUUUUAUGUUUUUCCUUUUUUUUUUCUUCUUCCCUCUUCCCUUCGCCGGCCAUGGCAGAGCCGAUGGAGAGAAGCCGGAGUCAAGCGAGGGCCGCCCUCGCCUGACUUCAAUGAGGGGUGCCCUCGCCAAUCCUCGCCAGCGUUGGGCGAGAGGUGCGGCCGUCCAUACCUGACGCAGGCGAGGGUUGAUGCAGGUGGGGGCCGCCCGACGCCAACGAGGGCCUAGUGAGGGCCACCCUUGCUCAACCCAACCAAGGGUCGCCCUUGCCCGACACCAGCGAGGGCGGCCCUAGCCUGACUCUGGCUUCCCUCCACUAUGGCCAGCGAAGGGAAGAGAGAAGAAAAAGAAAAAAAAUAAAAAAUAAAAUUAAAAGUAAAAUACCAAAAUGCUCUACAGUUUAGGGUAAAUGUGUUACAUUAAUAGAAAUUCAGGAUUUUUUAUGUCACGAAAAAAAGUUUUGGGUAAAUAUAUCACGAUUAGCAAAGUUCGGGAUUUUUCAUGUCACAAAAAAAAUUUGGGGUAAAUUUGUCAUUUUUAGCAAAAUUUGGGAUUUUUUGUGUUCUUUUCCUCUCUUUUUUCAAAUGGAUAUUACAUAAUUAAGUAAAGUGAAGAUAUAUAAUAAUUGCCCUCGGUUUCGAAACAACUAGAAUUUGAGCUGUACGAUUGCGCAAGAUCGAUUGAAAUUUGCACCUCAACACAUGCAUUUUGUUUCUUAGAAUUUGUUCCCUUACUGUAGAACAGAUCAUUUACAAAAUAUUUAAAUAUGUUAAUACUAGGUAGACCAAAAAAAAAAAAAAGCCAAUACAAGAAAAUACAUAUAAGUCAAACUAAAAAUAGACAUGUAAUUACAUUUAUCUUGAGUUUUGUUGCAAAAGAAAGAAGGAAUAGUAACAAUAAGCCAGAAAAUAGAAAAGUCAAUUAGAUGCCGAAUAUACGUGGCUUGGUCGAUAUGAUCUAGUACAAGGGGAGAAUAGCCUACUAUUAGUCAAGUAAUACAACAAAUGUUAUAACCACACUCAAGUCACUAAAGUACUCCCAAGUUUUCCCAAUCCUCAAUCCAUAACCCACAUAGUAUUCAGUCUAAACAAUUUCUAGUGAAACAAUAAAUAAAUCUCACAAAUGAAUCACGGAAAUAUUAUGAAGAUUUUCACAGCUAUCAAAAACUCGUAAUUAAUUAUCUCCGGACCUAAUUGACAAACAUAUGCACAGCCUUGCAUACUUUAGUUGAAGUGCCCACUCUACUUGGACAAAAAAGCAUACUAGAAACAGCCUACCAUGGAAGUGGAACAUAUGAUAAUUGCAAACUAAGUUGAGGCAUUCGCUACUCAUUAGCAAACAAUGACGCGACCUACUUUAUAGAAGCCAAAGGAUGCAAUUUAGAAAUUCUAGUUUCAUUUUGGCGCGACGUUUUUCAUGUUCUUAACUUCGUGGCGUUUUUUUUUGUUCUUAACUUUGGGACUAUGAUUUUACAUUUCUAAUGAAAAUACCAUCUUCUAUCAUUCCUUGCUCAGACCAUCAGCAUGGAAUAGGUAUUGAACUGCUCAAUGAUCUCAAGGUUAUGAGACAUGCAGGUCAGGCCUGCCGCCUUAAAACAUAAUACCAAUCCAUUCACAUCCAGAUCAGAUUUGUUAUCAAUUGGCUUUAGAACUAACUUUCUAAUGCACUAGAGUAGCAUGAGCUAUAGGACUUACUUAUCAUAAUUAUGCUUCGUCAAAUAUUACAAGGCGAUACAAAUUUGUUCAAUCUGAAUGAAAACAUAAAAUUACUUGGAGCGUUCAAUGUGGGUCAAGCUCCCUAGAAAAGAUUUUAGGUGGUAUUUUUGGGGGUGGAUUUCAACUUACAUCUUCAAUUCUUUUUUAUUUUAUGUGAGAUUUGAAAUGUCACCAAUUGCCGAGAGUUGCACCUUUUCAAGCUUACACAUCAUGACAAUCAUUUGCCACUUUCUUGGAUUGGCUGUCCAGUCCAUUCCCGAAUCAUAGAUCUAUCCAAAAUAAUAUUGCUAAGACUCAAAAUGCCACGAUAUAUUUAUUCUUCAUGUCCAUUAGAUGACUUAACUUAUGGUUCAACUGAGAGCCGACUCAAGUAACGUCACUUGUGAGAUCCACAAAGGCUUGGGUUAAAUUAUUUAUAACUAUCAUUGGAAGAAAAACGGAAAAAGAGAUUCGGUCUUGAGGUGACCAUAUGUAUCAAGAUCCACGAGUUCUUUAAGUCUUGAUUGCCGCUGCUUCCUUCAAUACUUGCCCAGCAAAAUGCUGAAAGAGAGAGUAAAGAAUGACGAUGAUGAUGACAACAAUAACAGAAGUACAAUUUGGUGUUUUACAUCCUUUUAUUCUUGAGGCAUAGGCACAAUUGCAUGAGUAAGAAUUGCAUAAUUAAACUACUAAACCAAAGUAAUCACAUUUCAAGAACUUCUAGAUCCCACACAAAUCUUAUUGAAAUAUAAAUUUUCACAUAGCUUCUACGCUAUAAUUAGGCUGCGCAUGACAACGCUUCUGUUCCCAGGAAUAGUUUUUUUUUUUAGAAAUAGUUCUUUUCUAUUUCUACUCCGGGGAACAAUUUCUGAGUAAAAGAACCUGUUUGGUAACGACACAAAAUUUCUACUUUUGGAAUAGAAAAAUAAUAAAAAUGUGUUUGGUAACGCAACAAUUUUUUUUUUUUUGUAUUUAUUCAUUUUUUAUUCUUGCUGACGGAUCGCCGCCGUCGCCCACCGCCCGCCGAUGGGCUUCCGGCAGCGAUCAGCGGUGACGAUCGGCGGUUGUGCAAUGGCGGCGGCUGGCGGGCGGGCGGCGGUGGCCAGCAAGUAGCGGUGGCAACUGGCGACUGGCGGUCGUGCAGUCGCGGCGGUUGGCGGGCGGGCGGCGGGCGACCAGCGGUGGCGGCGGCGGCGGCGGUGACCGGCGGCGGCGAUGACCGGCGACGGCGACGGUAGGCGGUGGCUCUAGGCAGUUGACGGUGGUCGCGGCAAGAAAAGGAAAUAAAAGAAAGAAAAAAAACAGCUUAUUUCUAUAAAUUGUUCUCGGGAACAAGAAGUAACUUUUUUUUGCUUCUCAAAACUGUUCCCGGGAACAAAAAAUUAGAGAAAUUGUUCCCGGGAACAAAUGUUUACCAAAUAAGUUUCUGUUCUUUUUUUGUUCCGGGGAACAAAAGAACAGAAAUUGAGAGAAACAGGAGCGUUACCAUGCGCUACCUUAGUUCUACCUACCAUGUUAUCCAAAGACUAAAUUGACAGAUAUUUUCUCCAAUUGCACCAAAACCAAGUCUUUUUUAGAUGAUGCACUUUGUAGAUCCGCAGGGAAUUCACUCAAUCUGGUAUCCUAUCUUAUGGAAGAGAAUUUUGACUUUGCAAUCCUUUGGCACAUGUCAAUUUCAUCAAAUUUGAGUCGGUAAAUAUGCUACCAUCUCAUUUGAUUAUUCAAAAUAUUUAGAAAAAGAUUCAUUUGCAUCUCAAUGACUAGAUAAAGUUCGAUGCAUAAAGAAAAUGUCAACAUUCGAUUUUAUAUAGUUUUACUUUUUAUCUAUCGUCUUUAUUUUUAAGCACGGAGUCAAUUGUUAAGGGAAGCAUAGUUUGUACUUGCUAAUCUGCAUGUUCUCACCCCUAAUUUUUUAUUUAUUUAUCUAUAAUAAGCUCUACAGUCCACUAAAUGUCCUUAUUGGACAAUAAUGUCUCCUCUUUUUGUUUUUCCCCCAAAGUUACACUAAUGUCGCGAAUCAAUUACGGCUAAAAACGUGCCUCGUUUCACAUGGACAUGAGACGUUGGAUUGGAUGAACUUUUGUGGAAUUAGGACCCUCUUUGUCUUUUCGUAUCUUACAUGUAGAUCCGUUCUUUUACUCGGACAAGAAGUAACAAAAGUCUAUUUAAUAGAGUCCACCGUCCCCUGCAAGUCCUUACAGGACAAUAAAUGUCUCCUUUUUCCUUUUCUUUUUUCAAAAGUGACACUACAACCACUACUCGUCUUUUGAAGGAAUCACAUUUAGAGUGCUUAUUAAUCAAUUUGUAAGUUUUGACUGUCGCUGUUUCCUUCAAUUCUUGCUCAGCAAAAUGCUGAAAGAGAGUAAGAAUGAUGAUGAUGACGACGACAAAACGAUCAUGCAAGUGCAAUUUGGUAUUUAACAUCCUUUUAGUCCCAAGCCCGCAAGUGUUAAACUAGUACAAAUACACGAAAAGUACACUUAACAUAUAGCCAUAACUGCACAAAUGAGUAUUACAUAAAUUAAAUUUACUAGAUCAAGGUAAUCACAUUUCAAGAAUCUCGAAAUCCUAUGCUGAAUCUUACUAAUAAUUUUCACAUAGCUUCUUCACUUUAAUUAAUUCUGUCUAUCACAUUACCAAAAGACUAAAUCUAUGUAUAUUUUCUAUACCAACUUACAAAAGAGAGUUCCAAGUUUGUUGUAUUCUAAUACUUGUCAUUCUCAUCGAAUUUGGAUUUGUGAAAAUGGUACCAUCUCAUUUGGUUAUUUGUAAUAUUUUGGGAAAGGUCCAUUUGCGUCCUGGUAGCAUUGACACCUAAAUUAUCGUUGAAAAGUCAAACAUACCGUUUUUUGUAAAAAUAAAAUAAAAUAAUGAUGGUAAAAAAAUUAUGAUAAAAAGAUUUAAAAAAAGCAAAUAAAUAAAUGAAGCACCAGGACCAUCAAAAGCUCAUCACUUCAGCCCGGUCCGACCAUAAGAGUAGCCCAGACCACUAAGGAAGCCCAUCAAGCAUCUGGCCCAAUUCCCUUAAGCCCAUUAGAUCUACAAAAGCAGCCUAGGCCACACCAGGCCCAUUAAAUUCUAAUAAAACCCAUUAAGCCCAAUUCGUGGAAACCUAUAAAGAUUUGAAUUGAGCCCGGUCCACCUCAUCAGAACCGCCCCCCUAUUCCCACAUCUCUCUCUCUAUCGCUCUGAAUGUUGGAAACGAACUCACGCACGUGCACUGGGCUCCCCGAAGGGAAAUUUGCUGCAUUACAAUGUUUAAUCGCCUCUUUUGUUCGUGCCCGAGACCUUACCAUUAUGAAAUUAGCUCAUUAACAGCUCAUUUGCGUCGCUUUCCUCGUUGACUAAGAGAUUUACGUUGAUCGUUUUUUGCUAUAUUGGCAUUCCCUAAGUUCUUUUGUCUUUCAUUAAGAAUGAAUCUAGGCGCUAUGCACUUCAAUACAUUUCUGCCUUGGUUUAGAUCUAUGUUCAGUGUUCUCGCAACACAAAUCCAAUUUUGAGUAUUGCUGGAUUGGGGUAAGAAUCUCUUGUAUGGAAUUGGAUUGAAUCUGAUAUGUUUUCUUUGAGUCCACAUGUUGAAUUUGCAGGAAGAUCUACUGUUCAUGUUGUGGGAUAAAAUUAUAGUUCAUUUGCUGAUACAAUGAGCUGAUGAAAGAAGGAUAGCUCAUUAAAGAAGGAUGGACUUCUGAAAUGAGAAUUGAUUGGUGUUCUUCUUGAUUCAUUUAUACACCACGGUUCGGGUCCUUCGAUUCUCUUCAAUAUUGAUUUCUUGUUAUGGUUUUGUCAUUCAAGAGCCUCAGCCACAAACCCUUCUAUUUGACUCGGACUUGAUCUUUUCUAACUUACGUUGCAUUAUGCCUAUGUUUAACGUAAAAAUAACAUUGUAAUAAAUUGAAUGUGGUGAUUAAAUUUUUGAGUAAGAUGUUGAUAGUUACAAAACUAAAAAGUUAAUAUAUCCAGAGCUCAUUGUACAGUUUAUUUCUCACUUUACAAUCUCUUUGUAUUAUAAGUUUAUCGUGGGCCUUAUCUUUUAAAUUUAGAUUUUACUCAUGUCUUCUUCUUUUUUAGCACACGCAAGCCCUUUUUACAGUAAAGUCAAAAGAUAAUUCCAUCCAAUCGAAUGAGUAUUGGCAUUUAAUAACUAGCUAAUUAAGGGUGCGAUAAGUUAAAAAUCAAAACAAGUAACAUUCAAUCGACAUGACUCAGGUCCAACUCAUAUCUACCCAUUUGACAGCCCUAAACUUUAUACCAUGUGGAAUGUCAUCUUUGGACAUUCAAUUUGUUCAAUAUAAUCAGUAAAAGCUAAAUCUAGUCCCUAAAUUAUAUGAAAAAUGUUCAAUGUUAUUUUUUCAUUAAUUCAUAUUAACGAAAUAUAUUGAUAUGGCUUUCAAUCCAUUAUGUUUGAAUGGUGGGCAACAAAAAUUGACCCAUGGAUUACCUAAGUAAGAUAUGCAUCUCAAAUCACCAUUGAAAUGUUAACGUCCUUUUUUUAUCCUUCCUUUUCACAGUUAGAUGUAUAAAAGAUUGAUACAUUGACUCAACGUUUUUAAAAAUUUAACUCGGGAUAUAAUAAUUUAGGUUGUUUAAUUUGUAGUUUGAGCAAAUGGAAAAAUUGCAUCCAACUAUUCACCAAUGGUUUAGGAUCAAUUUGAACAAAUUAAAGGUAAAGGGACUACAUUGUAUUGAGUCGAAAUUCAGAAAUCAUUUAUGUCAUCAUCUCGAUGGUAAGUGACAUUCUAACUAUCUUUAAUUUAUAUUAUUAGAGAGAAAAUUUGACACCAAAUUAUUACCCAUCUCUACUACAUACUUCUUCCUUGUUAGCAUCAAUAAUAAUCCUUUUUCUCAUGAGAGUUAGGGGUGUGCAAAAGAACCGAGACCCGCCCGAAUCGCCCGGAACUGAUGGUUCUUGAGGGAACCGGAUCCGGUUCCUGAUUCCAAUUUAUGGGAACCGGUGGAUACCAGUCCGGUUCCCGGUUCCAUGGUCAGAUCCGUCCACCCGCCCACCCGGACCGGACCGAUUAUAUUAAAAUAAUAUAAUAAUUUUUAAUGUAAAAAAAUUGAAAUUACUAAUUAACAAACCCAAAUGAAAUAACUAAAAAAAUUAAUUAAAGUGGGUAAUCUCCGGUCAAACCAAAUGGAGAGGUCCUAAUAUAAAAGCUAGUGUAGUUUCUAAUAUAUGACAUCCCAAAACUUAUUUUUUCUGACAACAUUGAGAUGAUUAUGAAAAUUUGGUUAUAUGUGUUAUUUAUCUACAAUUGCAUGUAGUUAUUACCUUUGCGACUUGAUAGUAAUUGAAGUGCUCCAGUCUUGAUCUUCAAUAUUUUGGAGUAUUAUUUGAAAAAGGUCUAACACUGUUCAAGACUGAAUUAUACUUGGCAGAUGAGUUACUGUGAUUAGUGACUGUUCCUUAAUGUAGGAUGCUCCUUCCAUGACUGAAGAAGUUUCCUAAUGCGAUUCUAGAAUAAGAGAAAAAUGGUCCGUUUUUGCUCUUUCCUUUAUGCAAGUUUUCUCACAUUAAAAAGUAGCUGUAGAGGUUUUUUUUUUUUAGACAAAAGCUGUAGAGGUUGGUUAAUUGAUUAGAUUGUUGUUCUAAAUUUCUUAUAUGACCUCUCUUUCAAAAGCAAUCAUGUUUUCUGCAUCCAAGACUGGUGAAGAGCAUAUAGAAUUGAAGUUAUUCCCUGAACCUUUAUGGAAGAAAAGAAAUGAUAAUUUUUAGUUCAGUCAAUUAAUCUCUCAAAUUUCUCUUCUCAAUCUUCUAAAUCUUGUACUUUAACUUUGCUCUUGUUUUUGGUCUAACAUCUAGACACCCAUUACAGCAUUAAUUGGAACAUGUUGAUAAUCCACUGAGUUCACUGCCUAACCGUUAAUGGAUAAAAUUUUAUUUUAAUCUUUUGUAGAAUUUAUUAUCUUCAAGUGGUCAUGGUUGACUCAUCUUUUGAUUUUUGCACUUUUGUUAUAUAACAAUCUGGAAAUGGCAAUGACAUUGACUCAAAAUUAUGUUUUGAUUUCUAGUUUGUAGCUUUUGGUUUUUAGUAUAUUACUUGAUAUGAAGAGUUCUCAUAGUGGGAUUUAGAAAAUGUUAUUAUUAUUGUGAGACCGGUUCCAUGGAUCCACCUGGGAACCAGACCAAACCGGCGGUCCGGUUCCCGGGUGGAUCCAUGCAAUUAACGGGUGGAUCCCGGUUCCAAUUUUUCGGAACCGAUCUUUAGCGGGUGGUUCUCGGUUCUAGGUCGGGAACCGACUGCCCGGACCAUGCACACCCCUAAUGAGAGUUAUUAGUGCCUUAGAAUAUUUUGUUCGAUGUUGAAUGAUUAGAGUAUGUUUAUAUGUUCAAUAACUAGUAACUGUAUUGCUUCAGAUUAAAAAAAAAAAAUAGAUGGGUUUUUUUUUUUUGAAAUGUUAUUAAGAAAUAAAUGUGUUCAAUUUUAUUAAUUCUAACUAGUUGUCUUGAACGACAUAGCAUGCAAGCAAGAGGUGUCAACCAACAAGAAGAAAGCAUGUAUUAGUUAGACAUGACAAAAGUUAUCCAACAGAAAUAAUGUCCAAUAACAUUUAUUAUUUGGUGCUUCCGAUCAAUCAAGAAAUAUUUAAAUAACAUUUAAGACAUUGUUAACACCAAAAAAAUGAGGAAGUUUUGUUUUUUAAUUAAUAUGAUUUCGAUACAUAGCACAGUAUUGAACAAUUAUAGCAAUCGAUAAGAUAUCAACGGUAUAGAAGCUCGUCAUGAGCAUGAAUAUUAACAAUUGACAUGACAUCAAUAUGAAGCGAUUGUACUAUCGAUAAGAGAUUGAUGGCAAAAGAACUUCUCCAUAAUUAUGAGUAUUGAUGACGAAGUUUUUUUUAUCGCUAUAUGAUGACUAUUGGCCGACGAUUGGCACUUAAAAUAAAUUUAGUGUUUGUUGAAAGUAAAAGUAAAGAUGAGAAAGACGCCGAUUGAGAAGCUAUAAACGGUUGGACAUGCAAUUGUAGAAAAUAAUUGUGAAGCCUUAGUAGCCACUUUUGUAGCUGAGCCCACUGACAGUCGAAAGUUGCAACCAUUUAUAGAAAAGAUGAAUGCGCAGUUAUGAAAUUUGAUCAUGGAGCCGAAAAUCGUGGAUAUGCGGUUGUAACUUUUAAUUUGAAUAUUAACCACUUCUAAGCAGUUAUUUUGUGUAAUAGGCUAUAUAAGCCGUGUUGAAUCAUUGUAAAGAGUUAACGAUCAUCAACGCAAUCAAUGCUUCUUUUUAAAUUUACCAAUUUUAUGUUCCACUUCUUGCAUUUACUUUUGUUUAGAGUAAUUGCUUAUGAUUCUGGUUCUUCACUUCAUGUCCGAAUAGCCAAGUAAUCCAAUUCAAAUAAUAACAGAAAAAUUGACCUUGAUUUAAAGAGUGUCUCGUCACAUGUGGAGUAAUCUCUGGUGAAAUAGAUGCGAAAUGCUCAUUUAGCUAAUUUAAGAGCAAAAUAUACGGCCAACUAGUGAGACGGUGUUCAGGCUCUUUGAGCAUAAUACUGUGACUAGUUAGGUUUAAUCGGGUGAUUAUAAAAUACUUCGAGGGGACAAUAUAUACUUAUAUUCUAGAGACUUUCUGCAUUUAAUAACUAAGUUAUAGAUAGGGAUAUUAGAACUCCACCAUCAGAUUAAUGAUAAAUCUACCGUCGUAAUUGGAGAGAUCCAUUUAUGAAUAAGAUGUUUCAGUAUCAUCUACAAAUCCUUUGCGAUCAAGCGUGGCUUGCACAGAUCCGGAUCUCAGUCAGCACCAAGGUACGGUACUAAGAAAAGUUUAUGACAUUUUUUUUCAUUUUUUCUGAAACAUUAAUGUUUGGCACGCAUUCAUGUAAUCCAUAUUUUCAGAAGGCAAAAAAAAAAAAAAAUGAGAGUGAUUUUCGAUCGAGUGUUGUGAUAUUUGCUACGUAAAUGAUGGAGAUUUGGUUGUUCUGUAUCGGAAUUUGGAGGGUUCAGUGUCUUUCCUGUCAUGAAUUGUAUUCUCCUGAUUAAGUGGCUUGUUUCGUUGUUUGUACCUUGAUCGAAGCAGCUUUUAUGGUAGUUACACGCGGAGAGAUGUGACAGGUUUAUCGUUAUUCGAUGCUUUAUUGAUGAUUCUGGGCCUAUCAUUGUUCUUUCGCAGAAAUUGGUGUCGGUUUCCAUCCGAAUCUCGGACGAAUUAUCUUCUCCGAGGUAAUAUAGGGCAGUCAUGUCUGAUCUUUUGCUCCGUUGCUUUUGAGCUCUGAUGCCCAUCGACGCUGCGACCCUCUGAAUCAUCGGGAGUCCCGAAGUUCCUGUGGGUUGUAGAAGAUAUGGGUUUCGCAGUUACCCCAACAGAGUUCCAUAGCCGAUGCAUGCCUUCCGCAUCUUCUGCAUCGGCAUUCUAAACUAGCCAGCCGAAGUUCUGGGCGUCCUUGUAUCGACUGCUUUUCAAGAGAGACAGGAUAUGCUUUUUGGACAAGUACCUCAAUCAAGUGCGAUUAUAAUUACCGCCCGCCAAAUGGUUUAUCUCGGUGUUUGAAGAAAUGUGGACUCUUUUCAGUGUUGGAAGAUUUGGCUAUCGAUGGUUGUCAUCCUGAUAUGAAUAUCCACAAUUUGCUUGUAAAUUUUACUUGCAAGCAGGGGAAUUGUGAAGAUACUGCUCUACUUAUGCACAAUCUAUUAUCUCAUGACAUGGAACCAAGCACUAUAACUUAUAACCCUCUCCUCAUUUGCACCCGUGGCGUGUGGAAUGAAGUAGAUGAUGAAGUUCUUACAAUGAUGAGUCAAAUUUUACGUCCUCCAAUGGUUUUACUUACAAUAUUUUGAUCAAUGGUCUGUGUAAAUUUGAAUAUCUAGGCCGUGUAAUUGACUUGCUUCGAACAGAUGGUUCAGAAAGAGUGUUGCCCCUGAUAUAAUAACAUAUGACACCCCUCUACGUGUGCUUUGUAACGGCCAUGACGACGUGGAUCUCACGAUUAGGUUGGCUAGCAACGUGGGCUGUCAAUUAGUCCAAACUGACUGCAAGGAUAAGAUCGCUUCCAAUCAAAGAUCAUUUUCAUUGCUAUGUUUGCCUUUUUCAGUGCUUCAACUCAGAUGCACGAGCCACUCAAUUCGCUAAACCUCUCCUAUGCCUUCCUGUGCUCUUCUUUACCAAAUAUCUCCAUGAAUGCAUUGGCCAACAUCAAAGCAAAACUCAAUUGAAGUUACAACGAUUUCAUUUGAGCAAUUCAUGACCAGCCAUCACCUUCUUCACCUUCAUCCAUACACAGAGUUACUCAGCACAAUGGAUGCACGCAUAGAGGUGGACUUUCCUGAAGAUUUGCUCUCAUUCAUUUGAGAAGCUCACUUACCCUUGCUUUAGAGGGAACUUACAUCGAUGCUCACACAUCGCACACACACUCUUCUUUCUCGUCUUCACCAGUGUCCAUCUCUGACCAACACCCUUAGGAAGAGGGGUCCUUGCAGAAAAUCUCUGUAACAAUUGAUAAAUGCCACUAUUUGUAUUAGAAAUAGCACAUCAGUAAGGAGCAAAUGACCAUUCCAAAGAAUAACAAGAAGAAAAUUCAAGAGGAAGAAAGAUUGACCUUCUCACAAUCAGGCUCAUCAUCUGAACCGUUACCAUGUUGGUUAUACUUGCUCCAAAGACUCUGCCUGAGUGACCGCGUAACUUUUUUGACAUCAUCACUAUCAACUUCAGCUUUUAGUUUCAGUGACUACUACUCAGAAGAACUAGCUGAUGCUGAGCAACCAAUAAAGCUGCCGACGUCUUACAAUUCUCGUUCUUAUUAUCUUGUUCCCUCUCUAAUUUAAAUGAGGAAAUGCCUCAAAACUGGAGGAACCAAUGGAAACUCAUCAUUCUCUUCUUUAAUGCCCUUUUUUAUGAGUGUCUCGAUCAUUCUCUGAACACAGGAAAUUGACAGAGCCGUCAAAACUUAUUGUACGGACAGAGUGGAUAGCACGUGCAUCAUUAAGAAUUAGCUCAUGCAAGUAAUGAGGAUUUGAUCUACAGUCUAUUUUCCUGUCAAAUUCUGCUAAGAAGAAAAGCAAGACAUUGAUGCCCGGAUAAUACAGCUAAACUAACAGAUAGGGCGACCUAGCUAAUCCACGAAAAGAACAAUGACAAGGGUAUUCAAGAUUGUGAAAGGCAAUAGACUAGAAACUAUGCAGUAAGAUGAACUAUGAAGAGAAAAUAUGGCAUACAGAUAACAAGGUUCUCUAUCUUUAAAGAUGCCCUGGAUCAUCGACACACGGAAAACCAAUGUGCAGGAAAUCAACAGUAACUAUGACAAACAACGGGGAUGGUCUCUGCAGAAAUAGGAAACUGCUGUCAUCUUGGAAAGAUAAGCAGCAUCACAACCAUGCAGAUUCAUCAAACAAGCCGAUAUUGAUUCUUUUGAAAUCUGGUAGCUUCAAAGGUGUCAUUCGCAGAGAGGAAAAAAGAAUAGAGUAAUCACAGAGAAUGGCGGAGGUAUUAGCCCCACUGAACUUCAGAGGACAUGAGUCAAUGGACAAGUUUUCCCUUCAAAGGACCCUGUCCACAAAGUUAUACCGACUGCUAUCUCACAUCAAACCUUAUUCACAACAGUCUAAAUCAAGUUACAGUACAUACCGUUUUCUUUUUAGGAGAAGAAAUUAACACGCAUGUGCUAACACUGUAAUUCCAAUGGCUGCCAUUGUGGCAUGCAAUCUUUAUCCAGUGCAAGAAGUCUACCCUAAUGCCAAGCACACUCCAGACUCUGGAACUGAUUCUACUCAUAGAUAUGACAAGCUUCACAAGAUUCAGUAGUCGUGUCUCAUUCAAUCGAGCUUUAAACAGCACUGAACCUCAGCUAGGUGUUACCUGCCAACUCUAAUCAUAUCCACGUCACCCUAUAACUGCAUCAUAUCAAUUGCAAUCUUUAGGUACUCUACUGCUAUGUGUUGAGAACCUGGCAAAGCUUAGCAAUCACUUUGAAGGCUGUUAUCUCGCUUAUGACAAGGAAUUGAAGGCACUGAUGCUCUCUUGAAUAUCCAAAUUAGUCAGAAAAACACCUUGAAGACAUGCCAAUUUUCCUCUAAAACACCAAGAGAGAUAAUGAAGCGAUGGGGAAUGAUUCAUAUCUUCCUAGAGCCAGCUGUGACGUGGAUCAAGUUCUAGCAGAGGAUGCGGAUGCGUCGAAACACCAACAUUUUCCCAACGUUACAUGAAAUCAUCUCAACGGUUGAGAAAUAUCUUACAAAAUCAAUCAAUUAAGAAAUUUUUAAAUAAACCAAAAACCAAUUAAGUGAUUUUUAUUGUCUCCGAACAAAAAUGAAAAUACACGAACCCAAACGGUACCUAUUUUUUGAGAUGGGAAUUACACCACAAAUAUAAUGUGAGCAUGGAUUAAAUCCUUGUUGAUCGGAUUACAACGUUCAAGAUUAUUAUAUCUUCCGAUAAUUAUGUUUGACUAUUUCGUUCGCAACUAUUUGGGUAGCAACAAUAUAAAUACAUUUGAUGACUAUUUCGUCCGCUUGGGAAUGAAACAAUAAUCGCAUCCGAUAAGACUAAGUACGACUCUGAAAAGGGAAAACUAGGAAUACCCUAGUAGCAAUGAAUGAAUGCAAGAUUUUCCUAGUGCUCAUAUGUGCUUGUUAAAGUGCAAUACCGUAUGAUUUACUAGUAAUUACAGGCGGUCUUUGUAAUUCUGAAAAAUGUUCUUACAUGUUGUCGAAGACACAAGAUUCAUUCAAGUAGAACAAAGCAAACUUACGAUUUUAAAUGCUUUAAAGCCCAAUCUGAUGCCAAUCACAUCUUCAUGGGUGUGCUCAACAACCUCACCUGCUUGCAUACUUUAUUCAGAAUAAUUUAGGUUCAACAACCCAUUUCACGUAAUCGACUCCAAUUCAGAAAUACCCAAUGUAACUUGAGGGAUUUCACGGACGCAAGGCCAAUAGCGGCCGUUUGGUUUCGAGCAUCGCUCCUUGAGAAUCCCACUUUCCUUGAUCAAGAGUCUUUUUAGGGAGGGAGGGAGGCCAUCCUGGGGCAAUUCCCUAAACUUCGGGCAAUUGCUGAUUUCUAAGGUCCGGGGGAGGUAGACUACUACAGAGUCUUUCCACAUUCCCCAUAUCUUCGAUUUUGAGAUAAAGCAGAGAGGAAGGGAGCAGAAGCAAAAUAUCCUCCUCCUCUCCCACUCCUUCAAUGCUACCGUCGAUCACCAUAACUUGAAGAGAGGUAACGGGGUAACCCACUCCCUCACGGCACUGUCCUUAACCGGGGAAACUGGGUCAACCUAUGAUUGAGGUCAGUGUCGUAAAGCGUGUCAACUCAAUUAUGGGCAUUUAACCCACCUUCACUCACUUCAGGCCUGGGAGACUACUAUACUUGCCUAUCCAGUAGUAGCCAGAAUUGAAAUCAUGACGUGGUAUCUAUCUUUACCAUCGUGAAGCCCCUUAAUUCUCUGUCUAUAUUUAUCUUCCUGACAGAGAGGGAAGAGGAAAACAGCACGGGGUCUUUCACCCCAAGGUGAUUCUCCUGCCUGUUUCCUCCGUCACCGGUUCUUCAUAUUCCUACAACCGUCUCCUUUACCUUUUGCUUUUUCCGAAGCGACACUAAUGUCACUGAUGGCCGUGCGAUGGACAAGAAAAAGUUGAGGAUAACCACGGCUUUUUUUCAAUCAAGAUAGCAACAACUUGUCUUUUAAAAGGAUUACUUUUCAGGUGCUUAUUAAUCAAUUAAUAAACGUUUUAUUGUACUGAUUUUUCCCCAGACCAUGUAGGAACCAUUUUUUGGAAAAUGGAUAUCUUAUUAUUAAGUAAAUUGAACUUAUACAUUAGAAUGUGACAUGUGUAAUUGAGCAGGAUCAAUUGAAAUUUACAUCUCAGAACUUACAUUUUGUUUUUGGGAAUUUGUUUCAUUAUUGUAGAAGAGAUCAUUUGCAAAAUAUAUAAAUACGUUGCAAAUUUCAUGAUGACGAUAGACAAAAAAAAAAAAUCAUCUAAUAUAAGAAAAUACGUGCAAGUCAAACUUGUAAUAAAAAAAUCUACAUGGCAUGACAUAUAUUUAUAUUAUAUUUGCAUUUAAAAAUAAAAGCAAUCGAGCAAUAAUAAAUCAAAAUACAAAAAAGUAAAUUGAACAUCACAUUACGUGAUUCAGUUGGUAUAACCCUCUCCUCGGAAAAAGCAACAUAAAAUUCCACUAUUAAUCAAGCAAUACAAUAAAAGCUAUAGUCAUGCUCAAGUUAUUACACUCAAUAACUCACGGUGUUUAACAUGCAUAUUCCUUGCAAAAUAAUCGCUAAAUCUUAUCAGAUUUCACAACCAUCAAACACUCAAUGAUUAAUCUCUCCCAAUAUAUUCACAAACUUAUGCAUAGCCUNNNNNNNNNNNNNNNNNNNNNNNNNNNNNNNNNNNNNNNNNNNNNNNNNNNNNNNNNNNNNNNNNNNNNNNNNNNNNNNNNNNNNNNNNNNNNNNNNNNNNNNNNNNNNNNNNNNNNNNNNNNNNNNNNNNNNNNNNNNNNNNNNNNNNNNNNNNNNNNNNNNNNNNNNNNNNNNNNNNNNNNNNNNNNNNNNNNNNNNNNNNNNNNNNNNNNNNNNNNNNNNNNNNNNNNNNNNNNNNNNNNNNNNNNNNNNNNNNNNNNNNNNNNNNNNNNNNNNNNNNNNNNNNNNNNNNNNNNNNNNNNNNNNNNNNNNNNNNNNNNNNNNNNNNNNNNNNNNNNNNNNNNNNNNNNNNNNNNNNNNNNNNNNNNNNNNNNNNNNNNNNNNNNNNNNNNNNNNNNNNNNNNNNNNNNNNNNNNNNNNNNNNNNNNNNNNNNNNNNNNNNNNNNNNNNNNNNNNNNNNNNNNNNNNNNNNNNNNNNNNNNNNNNNNNNNNNNNNNNNNNNNNNNNNNNNNNNNNNNNNNNNNNNNNNNNNNNNNNNNNNNNNNNNNNNNNNNNNNNNNNNNNNNNNNNNNNNNNNNNNNNNNNNNNNNNNNNNNNNNNNNNNNNNNNNNNNNNNNNNNNNNNNNNNNNNNNNNNNNNNNNNNNNNNNNNNNNNNNNNNNNNNNNNNNNNNNNNNNNNNNNNNNNNNNNNNNNNNNNNNNNNNNNNNNNNNNNNNNNNNNNNNNNNNNNNNNNNNNNNNNNNNNNNNNNNNNNNNNNNNNNNNNNNNNNNNNNNNNNNNNNNNNNNNNNNNNNNCAUGGCAUUUGGCAACAAUGCAAUUGGAUACUUUAUUUUAAUUUGGCAUGACAUUUCUCGUGUUCUUCACUUAGGGACAAUGACUUUGCAAUUCUAAUUAACAUGUCGCUUUUAUCAUUCCCUUCUGAGACCAUUAGCCUGGGAUAGGAAUUGACUUGCUCGAUGAACUCAAGGUUGUGAGGCUUGCGGCUUGGGCCUACUGCUGUGAAAAAAGUGCCCACAUUCGGUCCACAUUCAGACUGGAUUAUUAAUCAAGUCUAGAAUUAAAUUUCUAAUGUGCUAGAGUAGGACUAUCUAUAGGUACCCUCUUAUCGUUAUUUUUCUUGGUGACGUGAAUUUAUUCAAUUUGAAUGAACACUGUAAUGACUUGAAACAUUCAAUGCCAGUCUAUCUCCUCAAAAAAGUAUUAGGCAGUGAUUUUUUGGAAUGGGUUUCAACUCGUCUUAAGUUUUUUUUUUAUCAUUUCAUGUGAGAUUUGGAGUAUCGCAAACUCUUACACUUAUUAUGUUAAUUUCCUCAUCAUUGUCAACUCACAUCGGCAGUGACAUUUCCUAUCCCGCCAAGAGCCCCACUUUGUCAAGCUUUCACAUCACAUUGAUCACUCCUUGCUUCGUUGGAUUGGGUAAAUGUUGUCUAAUCCAUCCCAAAUGAUAGAUCUACUAAAAAGAAUUUUGCUAAGAUUCAGUGUGCCACGACGCAUUUAUUGUUCAUGUAUGUAGCAUGACUAAGCCUCCCAUCCGAUUGAGAGCUGACUCAAGCAAUGCUAAUUAUGAGAGUUGUAAAGGUUAGAGUUAAAAUAUUCAAUUACUAUCAUGGAAGAAAGGCCGAGGUUGGGACACUUGGAGUGCCAUAACUUGGCACGGAAGGACACUUAAGUGCCAUAACUAUAAAAUGGUACACUUGAGUGGCAAUAUCGGAGUAAAAUGGGACACUUAAGUGCCACUCCGGCGAAAAUCCGGCCAAAAUAGCUGACGUGGCCAUUUUCCGACUAAUUUGGUUCAAAAUUUUUAAAUUUUUCUUGAUUUUUUGAAUAUUUUAAAUAAAAUUAAUUUUAAAUCUAAUUUAAUUAAUUUUUUUAUUAUUAUUUAUACGUAGACACAAAACGGCGUCGUUUUUGUAUUUUCUCCGCCAUGUCAGCGUGCAAAACAACGCCGUUUUGGACCAAACUCGUCGGAAACUCGCCACGUCAGCCGUUUGGCCGGAGUGGCACUUAAGUAUCCCAUUUAACUUUAAAACUGGCACUCAAGUGUACCAUUUUAAAGUUAUGGCACUUAAGUAUCCCUCCGUGCCAAGUUAUGGCACUCGGGCUGUACUUCUGCUUGACUUGAGGUGACCGUAUGUAUCAAGAUUGAGGAGAUCUUGUAAGUUUCGACGGCCGCGGCUUCCUUCAAUACUUGCCCAGGAAAAUACUAAAAGAGAGAGAAUGUUGAUGAUGACGAGAACGACCGUAGAAGAGCAAUUUGGUGUUUGACAUUUUUUGAGUCCCAAGACCAAUAGUGUUCAACCGGUACAAUCACACGGAAAAACACACCUAACAUAUAGGCACAGUUACACAAGUGAAUAUUGCAUAAAUUAAAUCUACUAGAUCAAGUUAAUCACAUUUUAAGAAGAUCUGGAUCUUAUGCUGAAUGUUACUAAUAAAUAUAGAUUUUUGUAUAGCCUCUACACUUUAAUUAUUAUGGGUAUCACGUUACCCAAAGACUAAAUCUAUGUAUGCUUUCUACAACUACCAACUUAUGAAAAAGUGUUCUAAAUUUGUAGUAUUUUGGCAACUUGUCAAUCUCAUUCAAUUUGGAUAGUUGAAAAUAAUAAUGGUAAUAAUAAAUUAUGAUAAAAAAAAAUGACGAAUAGAGAAAUGAAGCACCGAGUCCACAAAAGCCUCAUCACUCCAGCCCGGUUUGAUCACCUUGUUCCAGCCCAGCCCGGUCUGCCCACAAGAGUAGCCCAGACCACAAGCCAAGCCCAUCAAGCACCUGGCCCAAUUCGACUCAGUCCAUCAGAUCCACGAGAGCAGCCUCGGCUACCGCCAAACACCACCAGCUUCGCGGCCGCCGGAAGUGCUCCGUUCGCCACCGUUUUCCAGCCAGUAUCUUCGAAGUGCUUGGACCUUGUUCGUUUCUCAUUCCCUGGCUCCGAUCACCAUCCUCAUUGUCUCCAGUGAUGGCGUGGUCAGCACCUACACCUUCAAGGGAUUUUUCUUCAUGCUCUGUUUUGGCGAGGUAGAUACCGAGAACUCUUACUUCCGUCGCUAUGGAAAUUGAUCUUGUCUAAAGCUAUCACGAGAAACUUGAAUGUUCUAAGACCAGAUGUACUUUGCAUUGGCUGUGAAUCUCUCUUCAUUACUGUUUCAUUUUGUUCAUUAGUCGAGCGCCUGCUACGUGGUUGGUGAUAUUCCUAAGCUAGAUCAUGUUAGCAUUGCGUAGUGAAAUUUGCAGUACUACAAUGUUGAAUUACCUAAUGUGUUCUUAACCGAGACCUCACUGGAUUGAAAUUAGCUCACUAACAGUUUUUUUUUUUUUGGUCGAAAAUAUAGCUGGCAUUUCUUAUAUCACGUCCGAAAAUAGAGUCUCAACAUCAGAAUAUAAGAUUAACAUAAGAGAGUGCGGGGGAUGGGUAAUCCAGUCGGGAGGGAGAUCCGCGGCUUUGUGCGCCUUAGCGACUCAGUCGCUGCUCGGUUGUUUUCUCUGGGCUCGUGGACCAAAUUGACGGGAGGGAUGCGUUUAAGGAGUAACCUGCAGUCGUCCACGAUGGAGCGGGCCUCCCAUGGGCUUUCAAUCUGGCCCAGAAUGCUGUGCACAGCUUCAAGGCAAUCUGAACUGAUCUGGAACUGUUGUUCACUUCCAAAGUCCUCUCCCGUGCGUGCGUGUUGAGUUCUGUUCUGAGUGUUCAAGCAAAGUAACGCCUCCCUAAUAGCUAGGGUUUCGGCUGCAAAAGCUGAGAUCGCACAAAUCGACUUCGCAAAUCCUUCGGUGAGAAGACCGUUGCUGUUCCGGAAGAUCCCCGCCACCGAGCCCUCCUUCGUGGAGCAACACCAGGCGCUAUCAAUUGCAUGGGUUUCCUCAUUGUACGUGGGAUGUAUGGCGAUCGUUUUUGCCGUAUAGGCAUUCCUCAAGUUUAGUUGUCUUGCAUUGAGAAUGAAUCUGGGAGCUAUGCACUUUGAUACAAUUAUUCUCAGUUUAAAUCUACGUUCAGUGUUCUCGCAACACAAAUCCGAUUUUGAGUAUUGCUGGAUUUGGCCAAGAAUCUCUUGUACAUAACUAAAUUGAAUCCAAUGUGUUUUUGUCGAGUCCACAUGUUGAAUUUGCUGGAAUCGCGCUUAGAGCUGGUGAUCGUGUUGUGGGAUAAAUGAGCUGAUGAAAGAAGGGUGGACUUCUGAAUUGAGAAUUGGUUAGGUUUUGUCUUGAUUCAUUCAUACACCACAGUUCGGCUCCAUCGUUUCUCUUCAAUUAUCAAUUUUUUGUUGCGGUUUUGUCAUUCAGAGCCCUCGGCCACUAACCCUUUCAUUUGGCUCGGAUUUUAUCUUUUCUGACUUAUGUUGCGUUAUGCUUGUGUUUAAUGUAAAAUAUAACAUUGCAAUAAAUUGAAUGUGAUGAUUAAAAUUUCGAGCAAGAUUUUUGUAGUUACAAACCUAACAACUUAAUGUACUCAGAGCUCAUUGACGUCCAAUUUGUUUCUCAUUUUCCAAUCUCUCUGUAUUAUAAAUUUAUCAUGGUCGUCAUCUUUUAAAUUUAGAUUUUAAUUGUGUCUUCUUUUUUGCACACGCAUGCGCGUGUGCCCUUUUUUCAGUAAAGACAAAGGAUGAUUCCGGCCAUUUGAAUGAGUAUCGGCAUUUAAUAACUAGCUCAUUGAGGGCAAUAAGUUAAAAAACAUUCAAUUAACCUGACUUAGAUCCAACCCAUAUCUACCCAUUUGACGGCCUUAAACUUUGUCUCACAUGUAAUAUCACCCCGGAUUCAAUUUGUCCAAUGUGGUGUAUGAACUAUUAGUAGAUAUUCAAUCUAAUCCCUAAACUAUAUGAAAAAUGUUCAAUAUUGUCCUUUUAUUAAUUCAAACUGAUAGAAUCUAUUGAUGUGGCUUCAAAUCCGUUACCCGUUUGAUGAUGGACAACCAAAAAAAAAAGUGACACAUGGAUUACGCAAGUAAGACAUUCAUCUCAAAUGCAUCGACAUGUUAGUGUCCUAAUUUUUUUUUUCUUUUCACAAUUAGAUGAAUAAAGAUAGAUAUGUUAACUCAUUAUUUAUACUAGGCUAUGAAACAGUGUCUGAUUUGUAGUUUGAACAAAUAGAAGAACUGCACUUCAUGGAAUAAUUUGAACAAAUUACAAUCAAAAUACUACAUUAUAUUAGGCCAAAAUUCAAAAAUUAUUUGGAAUCAUUUGUGUUAUUAUCCUAAUUAUAAGUGACAUUCUGACUAUCUUUAAUUUUAUAUUAUCAGAUAGAAAUUUUGGCACCAAAUUAUUGCACAUGUCUACUAUUUACUUCUUCGUUGUUAACAUCAAGAACGAUCCCUCUUCUAAUGAGAGUUAUUAGUGCCUCGGAAUAUUUUUUUCGUCAUUGAAUAAUUAGAGCAUGUUUGUGUGUAUCACCAAUAAUUGUAUCACUUCGGAUAAAAAAUAAAUAAGUUUUUUUUUUCCAGUGCUUGAAAUGUUAUCAAGAAAUAAAUGUGUUCAAUUUUACUAAUUCUAACUAGCUUGUCUGAACUACAUAGCAUACAAGCAAAAGGUAUCAUCCGACAAUGAAAUAGAGUUAUGUAUUAUUUUGACAUGACCAAAGUUAUCCGAUAGAAGUGAUGUCAAAUAACAUUUAUCAUUCGGCACUUCCGAUCAAUCAAGAAAUAUUUAAAUAACAUUUAAAGAUACUAUUAACCCUAAAAAUGAUGAAGUUUUUUAUUUUUUUUAUUAAUAUGAUUCCGAUACAAAACUUGGUAUCCAACAAUCGUAGCAAUCAACAAGUUAUCGACGAUAAAAAAGCCUAAUGAUGAACACGAAUAUGAACAAUUGACAUGACGUUAAUAUAAAAGCUUGACGGUGGCGAGCAGUUGCACUAUCGACAAGAUAUCAAUGGCAGAAGAACUUGUCCAUAAUCAUGAAUAUCGGUGACAAAGUGUUUUUUUAUCACUAUAUGAUGACUAUUGGUCAACGAAUAGUACUUAAAAUAAAAUUAGUUCGUGUUGAAAGUAAAAGUGAAGAUGGUAAAGAUGCCAAUUGAGAAGUUUUAAAUAGUUGGACAUGCAAUUGGGAAAAAUAAUCGCAGACCCUUGGUAGCCAUAUUAGCAGCGCCGUGAAGUUGAGCCCAUUGACAACCAAAAGUUACAAACAUUUAAGCUGCGUUUGGUAGUCCGGAUUUGAGUCUGGAUAAGAUAAUUUGUUAUCUUAUCCGAUGUUUGGGAAUGUCCACCAGAUCGAACAAACCCGGAUACAUCCGGAUAAAAUGCCAGAUAAAAAAUCCGGGGAAGGGGGUGAGAUAAGUCUGGAUUGGAUAAGAAUUUUUUUUUUAAGGAAAGAAAAAACUUAACAAAAAGAGAAGAUAUCAUAAGCAUCUACGUCAAAUGGAUGCCUCCACCUCUCCGAUUCAUUGUCAACCCUCUUCUUGCACUUCUUCUCCCAUCUUCGCUUCUCGUACGCCAGCAAUUGGGUGCCCCUUCCUUUUAAUCAUGGACUUGCAAAAUCUGAUGAUCGAUAGUGGCUUUUUGAGACGAAUAGGGUAGAAGUUUUCUCAUAAGCAUUUGUGGAACUAAUUGAAGCAUUGCUUGUGCCACCUCAAACAUCGGUGGCUGGAACUUUGGCUUCACCUGCGCCACUUCAUUGACAAUGCUAGAAUCCUUACGAAGUACGUUGGACGUCUCAAGGGAAGAGGGGAAGGUGGUGAUGGUGAUGAAGCAGCUAUAAAUCUUUGGUACCGUUGACAACUUGGGACCUCGAUCAAUUUGAGGCAAUGCAAAGACUACUUCGGUGGUCGCCUAAAAUUCCUCGCCCCCUCUUUGUCGUAGUCUAAGAUUUACCAAUUUGCAUCGCCGUUGCAUGGCGAUGUUGGUGCUUGCCGUUUUCAAUGGUGGCCACUGCAGAGGUGGCCACAAUUCCUAGAUCUAGGACUUUUCCAUGGCCUUUAAUUAAUUAAAUUUUAUAAUUUUAUAAUUUAAUUGAAUAUCAUAUUUAUUUUUUAAGCUUAUCCUGAAGUGCGCCAAACACUCGAUAGGAUUAUAUAUGUCCGCUUUAUUGUCCAGAGGAUUUAAUAUCCUACUUUAUCCUAUCCUAUCCUGAUUAUUAUCCCGACGACCAAACGCAGCCUUAUAGAUAAGAAGAAUGCGUAGUUAUGAAAUCUAGUCAUAGAGUUCAAAAUCUCGAAAAGGCGGUUGUAACUUUUAAUUUAACAUUAAUCACUUAGAAGCGGUUGUUUUGUGUAAUAGGCUAUACAAGCCGUGUUGAAUCAUUGUAAAGAGCUCUUGAUCAUCAACACAAUCAAUGCUUCCUUUUAGAUUUACCAAUUUAAUGUUCCACUUCCUGCAUUUACUCUUGUUUGGUAAUUGCUUAUGAUUCUUGUUCUUCACUUCACGUCUGAAUCGCUAGGCAACCUGAUUCAAUAAUUGUCUCCUUUUUCCUUUUCCUUUUCAAAAGUGACACUGCAACCACGACUUGUUUUUUGAAGGAAUUAUCUUUAGGGUGCUUAUUAAUCAAUUUGUAAGUUUUGAAUGUUGCUGUUUCCUUCAAUUCUUGCCUAGCAAAAUGCUGAAAGAGAGUAAGAAUAAUGACGAUGAUGAUGAUGAAACGGUCAUGCAAGUGCAUUUUGGUGUUUAACAUCCUUUUAGGCCCAUGCCCGCAAGUGUUAAACUAGUACAACUGCAUGAAAAGUACGCUUAACAUAUAGCCACAAUUGCACGAGUGAUUAUUGCAUAAAUUAAAUUUACUAGAUCAAGGUAAUCACGUUUGAAGAAUCUCUAAAUCCUAUGCUGGAUCUUACUAAUAAUUUCCAUAUAGCUUCUUCACUUUAAUUAAUUAUGUCUAUCACAUUACUAGAAGACUAAAUCUAUGUAUAUUUUCUAUAACUUUCAAUUUACAAAAGAGAGUUCGAAGUUUGUCGUAUUUUGAUACUUGUCAUUCUCAUUGAAUUUGGAUUUGUGAAAAUAGUACCACCUCAUUUGGUUUUUUUUUUUUUUGGUCGAAAAUGAUAGCUUCUUUCAUUCAUAAAGUGCAAGAGUUACAAGAAGUCGAUAGGUAAGAUUCCGCACAUAAAAUUUCCAAAAGAGAUGGAGGAGAGAAGGAGCUCCAGUGUUGAGGUAGUGAACUAGUUCUAUGCAUCUUCGCAAUCAGAUCUGCCGUAUUAUUUGCUUCCCGCAAGCAAUAGGCCAACAUCAUCGAUUCCGAACUGGAGAGAAGGUUUCUGCAUUGUUCAACAAUGGGUUUCACAGUCCAAGGAGGUUCGGCCCGGCCCAUGAUGUUUUGUUUUGCGAUUAAACAGUCCGUUUCACAAACUACUUUGCCCUGUUGUACUUUAUCAACUUUUACCUCUCCCACGUGUAGUUCCUCUCUGCACUGCAGAAACUUCAACCCGUGCAAAAUCGCUAGGGUUUCAAUUUGAAGAGGGGAUGAAGCUCGAACUUGUCGCGCAAAGCCAUCGAUGAGUUGGCCAGCUUGAUCUCGCAAGAUUCUGACGACUGAUCCUACCUGUUCUCCAUGGACCCAAGAGCUGUCGACAUUGAGUUUCAGCACGGCGGUAUCCAUCUUCGUGGUGAGUGCAGGUUUGGGGAUUUCUCUACCUCUUUUUUGUUCAUCCAUUUGCUGAAAUUUUGGAGAUGUGCUUGUGCCAGGUCCACUAUGGUGUUCCGAUUCAGUUGUUUAGCUCUGAAAAUCGAGUUGUUUUGGGUUUUCCAGAUGAACCACAUCACCGUUGCCACCAACUCCUUUUCGGGUAGGUCUCUGUCACUUGCGAAACUCUCCAACAGCCAUUUAUCAAACCGGGUUAUGAAGUUAGGAUUACAAGCAAGAUUGAGCCGUGGAUCUGUCCAUAUGUUCUUUGUCCAUUUGCAAAGUAGGAACAUGUGCUCAGUAGUUUCCGGAUGUGUGUUGCAGAGUGAACAUAUUGGGUCAGGUAACACCUUUCGCUUGUAGAGAUUCUCUCUUGUUGGGAUUGCAUUAUGGCAGAUACUCCAUAUAAAGAUGCGCAUCUUAGGGGGUAUAGAUAAAUGUUAGAGCUUUGUCCACAAUGUUCGAGGAGGCUGAAAUGAUAUUGAUGCUCUGUUUUGUUCUACUUCUUUAGUCUGUGCACAUACUUUGUUGUAUCCGCUUUUAACUGUAUAUUUUCCAACCCUGUUACCCUUCCAAAUUAGGGUAUCUUCCUUCUUGUUGGGAUUUAGAGGAAUAGAUAAAAUUUCAUUUGCUAUUUUGUCUUCAAAUAGGUUCAGCACCUCUGUUUCUUUCCAUCCCCUGUUUUCAUCACUUAUAAGUUCAGCGACAGUUAUGGGGUCGUUUUGAUUUGCCGGGCCACCUAUCACAUCGGAUUCCAGCCAUCUAUCCUCUCGUAUUCUGAUUUUCUUGCCGUCACCUACCCUCCAUUGUACCUCCUUUUCAAUAGUUUCUCUCCCCACCAGAAUGCUUUGCCAACCCCAUGAUGGACGCUGCCCUUUACCUGCCUUCCACAUAUCUCCAUUUGGAAAGUAAACUCCUUUGAAUAUUCUACUCCAUAAGGCUGAGGGAGACUGAGAUAACCUCCAGGCUUGUUUUCCCAACAUUGCUUUGUUAAAAUUUAUUAAAUCUCUAAAUCCUAGCCCCCCUUCAUCCUUUCUCGUUUUCAAAACUUCACACUUCUUCCAGUGCAAACCCCUGCUUGUAUCAUUUUGUUUCCACCAAAAAGAUGCGAUUCUUCUUUCAAUUGCGUUACAUAUUGAGAUGGGUACUUUAAAGAGCGACAUGGCAUAUUGAGGAAGGGCUUGUACAACACUUUUAAUCAGCGUUUCUUUACCUGCUUUGGACAGAAUUUUCUCUUUCCAACCCUCCAUCUUCAUGUUUACUCUAGCUAGGAUCUAGACGAACAUCUCUUUUUUUGAACCGCCCCAAUCGGUCGGGAUGCUAAGAUAUUUUCCUGUCUUGUCUAUGAUCGGGACUCUGAGCUCUUGUGCCAAAUUCCUUUUCAGAUUCAAAGGGCAGCCGCUGUUGAAACUCACUCCUGAUUUAUUUAGGUUAAUUGCUUGGCCUGUAGCAUAACAAUAUUGGUUUAAGACUGCCACAAGGUUUUGGCAUUCUGAAAUGGUCCCAUCCAAGAAGAAAAUAGAAUCAUCGGCAAAGAGAAGAUGUGAUAAGGUAGGGCAAUGUGUAUUCAAUGUUAUCCAUUUUAUGCUCUCGUCUGCCAAAGCCUUAUGCAUUAGCCAUGACAGAACAUUCGACACUAGUAUAAACAGAUAGGUGAUAAAGGAUCACCUUGCCUUAAACCCCUGGAUGGUUUGAAAUAGUUCAAAAGCUCCCCAUUUACCUUCACACUAAAAGUGACUGUUGAGACACAUUGCAUUAUCAACCCUACCCACCUUGAAUCAAAUCCUAGUUUCAGCAAACAUUCACUCAAAAAAUCCCACUCCACUCCGUCAUACGCUUUUUGCAUAUCUAGUUUCAGAAUGGCUUGAAACUUCUUUUUUCUUUUCUUAAUUCUGAGCUGGUGGAUAACUUUCUGAACUAUUAAGAUAUUGUCUUGAAUUUGCCGCCCUUGCACAAAGGCACUUUGUUCAAAAGUAAUAAUAUCUGGGAGCCAUCUCUUCAUUCUGUUUGCCAGCACUUUAGCAAUAAUUUUGUAGUUGAAAUUACAGAGGCCAAUAGGUCUGAACUGGUUUAUACUUUCUGGAUUUUUGACCUUUGGUAUUAGGGUAAUAUAUGUUUGAUUUAGGAUGGGAUCAAGAGUACCUGUCUCAAAGAAGAGCUAUACUAGCUGAAAAACUUCAUGCUUUAGUUCCUCCCAAUAAUGCUGAUAGAAUUGCCCAUUUAACUCAUCGGGACCUGGUGCUUUGAGUGCACCAAAUUGGAAGACCGCCUCUUCCAUUUCUUCUAUUUUCACAAUUUCCAUAAGAUGUGUGUUCAUUUCCUCAUUUAUUGGGCUAGGACACUGAUCUAGGACCGGUUGAAAGUUCCUCGGGCCCACGAUUUCAUAGAGUGUUUGAUAAAAGUCCCUGAUAUGUUGCUUCAGCAAAUUUGGUUCCCUGCACCAUGUAUCUUCAUUAAUCUUUAGCAUUGUUAUUCUAUUUCACUACCUUCUUUGCACUAUUGUGGUGUGAAAGUACUUGGUGUUUUUGUCUCCCCAUUUAAGCCAAUUAAUGUGCGCCCUGAGCCCCCAAUACUUUUCCUCCUGUCUCCAUAAUAUUUGAUUUGAUCCACUACCUGCUAAUAUUCCUCCUUGCUGAAACAUUCUGGCUGUCUGUUAGUAAGCUCAGUUAAUUUCCUCUUUAACUCUCUUAUGCGAAUGGCAGCAUUUGGGAACUUGUUCUUGCUCCAUCUUGCUAAUUCUUUAGAGACAUCUUGCACUUUGUCUGAAAAACUGUUUUCAUUGAAGAGAUUGCCAUCCCAUAUUUGCUUUAUAAUCUCUCUACAUUCUUCUUCUUCUAGCCAAUAAGCUUCAAACCUAAAUUGUUUUUUUCGUUUCUAAUUUUCAGGGUGCAUCACUAGAAGAAGUGGGCUGUGGUCUAAGCCUACAGCUGGGAGAGCUUGAACUUCAGCAUUUGGGAAAGUCACCCGCCAGUCCAUGGUACAUAGAGCUCGAUCUAAUCUUUUUUUCACCAUCUCCUCUCCUGCUUUAUUAUUUGUCCAAGUAUAGGGCACGGCUUUUACUUUCGAUAUCCAUUAGGGAACAAUCAUUCAAGAGUUCACGAAACACUGCCAUUCAGUAGUAAUCAGCUGCUCUUUUGCAUUCCUUCUCCCAAGCAUAAAGAAUUUCGUUAAAAUCCCCCAUACAAAUCCAUGGAAGUAGAUUUUGUGACUGGAUUUCCCUUAGUUUGUGCCAUAAGAGAAGCCUCUCCCCAUAAUUGGUAGGGGCAUAGAGAAAGGUUAUUCGCAUAAGACAUCCACUUGUCCGAUCAUGACAUUCAACAUCUAUGAAAGUUUUGUUGCUAGAAUUUACUCUUAAGUCCACCUCUUCACUCCACAUAAGUGCUAAACCGCAUGCAAUACCUUCCGGAUUCUCUAUAAUUUUAUUCGGGAAUUUUAGGUGUUUUAUGACGCCUUCAACCAUCGACUCCUUAUUCUUAGUUUCCAUUAAAAAGAACAUAGUAGGCCUUUCAAGAGCAACUAAUGCUCUCAGCUCUUGGAACGUCAGGGGGUUGCCCAGCCCCUGACAGUUCCAGCUAAUGAUCUUCAUGACGUCUUCAGUGGCUUAUUAGGGCUAGCCACCAAAGCCCAAUCAUUCUAUUCCUUUACUAUCUGAACAGGUGUUUCCAAAAGCUCUAUAUCAUCGAUGAGUAAAAUAGCAUUGUCUGCUGAUCUCUUCUGUUUUUUGGUUUUCUAGGACUUCAAAGUUUUUUUACUGUUGCUGUCCACAGUCUGAGAGAUUACUUUAGGAGGAUCAAUACACAUAAUCUGCUUUCCUUUAUCUUUUUUCCUGUGGUCCAUGGUCGAGCCUUCUAGUAAAUAAUGAGAUGAAUCACAAUCUGCCCUUGUCUUGUCACGAGUAGUAGUAGCCUGGAUCUCCGAGUCAUUUCUCAUGCCUCUUUCCAUAUCAUUUUCUGAUGCAGGCAUUUCAGGGACAACUUCUUCAGCAUAAGAAAUUGUCUCUAAUUUGCCAUAGAAGGCUUCCCAAUGAGGGCUGUGAUCAUGUACUUCCGCUUUUAGCUAGGGUCCGUACUUUCCUACCUUAUUUUCUGCCCAUUUAGUUUGAUCAUAGGGAAUUUCCUCACAAUUUGUGGCGUAAUGACCAAUUCUCCCACAUGAGUGUGGAAGUCUUUCAUACUUAAAUUCCACCCAUAGCUUCUUAUGCCCUAUGUCCAAUGUAACCCCUGAUUUCAAGGGUGAAUUCAAAUCCAAAUCUACUUUCACCUUUCCUGCUUUGUAGGGACCAUUUCCUCUUGCCUCCAUCUAUAUAUCUACAACUCAUCCCACUCUCUCAGCCAAAUCAGCAACCACAUCCUCUCUAAACCAUCCUGGAGGUAUUCCUCCCAUUUGAACCCAGAAGGCGCAAUAAGAGAAAUCAUAACAGUGUUAUAGGAUCUCUAGAAAUCAUAACAGUGUUAUAGGAUCUCUGGUUUGCACUGUUUCAGAACUAGAAGGUUACUUGCAAAAGACCAUUGACCUGUUUUUAGGAUUCUAUCUUUCUCCUCUUCAAUUUGAAAAACAAAAGAGAAUAAUCCUGGCUCUUUUUGUAAACAAGCAACCGAAUCUGUUUUCCAUGCCUUCUUCAUCGUGUUAGAAAAGGCUUGGAAGUUAACAUUAGGUUUAGAGAAUAGCUUACCAAAUAGAGUGAGAUUGCAUUCCUGCCUUUUGAUAGGAGGGAUUUCUGUUGAAACCUCAACAACAUCACUAGCUGACCAGAGAUCCCCCAAGCUUUUACACAAUGCAGCUACUGGCAAAUCAUUCUCGUUCUCACCUUCCAUCUCUUCCUUUCGUAGGUUGUCUCAUUGCUCUUUGUCUACGUCGAUUUUGGGCUGAAUCACUACUCUGAACUUGUUUAGAGCUAGGAGUCGGGGCCACUUCUCUUAGUUUACUCGAAACCCCAAACUGGGUUCCUCAGUAGAGACAAUGGUUGGAACAUUCGUAGUUGCUGGAAUUUCUUGUGGUUUUUGGUAAUAAUCGGGUGCAGUUUGGAGUUAGAUUGAAGGGGGCUCUGUAAAACUGAUAUGGAAGGACUAAGUAUGGCGAAACUAUCAGCUGAAAGAAGAAAGCUAGAAGAAGACAGUGUUGUGGAAUGGGGAGAAGGUUUCAUGGUGAUGAUUCAUAUUUGGGUUUUUGGUGUUUUGAAGGAAAUCUGGGGAAGGAAAGGGUUAGGGUUCUGAGAUUAAACAUACCAGAUCUAAAGUGCUCUCAAAUCCAUUUGGGGUGAGCGGCGACUCCAGAAUCAUGGUGGUUGCAGGAGAUGAUUUGCACUAUCAGCCAUUGAAGAAAAAGGGGAAAGUCUACCCUAAGGAGAGAGAGGAGCUCUUCCGAGAGAAGAGAGGAUACUUGCCUCAUACCUUCUGGGAAAGGCCCAUUUGUGUCCCGGUAGCAUUGACACCUAAAUUACCGUUGAAAAGUCAAACAUUCAUUUUUUUUUUUGUAAAAAUAAAAUAAAAUAAUGAUGGUGAUAAAUUAUGAUAAAAAUAUUUAUAACAAAAACGAAUAAAAAGAUGAAGCACCAGGACCAUCAAAGCUCAUCACUCCAGCCAAGUCCGACCAUGAGAGUAGCCCAAACCACUAGCGAAGCUCAUUAAGCACCUGGCCCAAGUGGCCUCAGCCCAUUAGAUCCACAAGAGCAGCCUAGGCAACACCAGGCCCAUCAAAUUCUAAUAAAACCGAGUAAGCCCAAUUAGGUGAAACCCAUAAAGAUUUGAAUUGAGCCCGGUCCACCUCAUCGGAAUUGGGCCUCCUCUUCCCCACCAUCUUUCUCUCUCUAUCGCUCUGAAUGUUGGAAACGAACUCGCGCACGUGCACUGGGGAAGCUCAAUGAAGGGAAAUUUGCUGCAUUACAAUUUUUAAUCACCUUUUGUGUUUGUGACCGAGACACACCACGGUUUGGGUCCAUUGGUUCUCUUCGAUAUUGACUUCUUGUUGCAGUUUUGUCAUUUGAGAGCCUCAGCCACAAAACUUUCCAUUUAACUCGGACUUGAUCUUUUCCGACUCACGUUGCAUUAUGCCUAUAUUUAACGUAAAAAUAAUAUUGCAAUAACUUGAAUGUAGUGAUUAAAAUUUUGAGCAAGAUUUUGAUACUUACAAACCUAAAAAGUUAAUAUAUCUAGAGAUCAUUGACGUACAUUUAUUGCUCACUUUACAAUCUCUUUGUAUUAUAAGUUUAUCAUGGGCAUUAUCUUUUGAAUUUAUAUUUUACUCGUUGCUUCUUCUUUUUGGCACACGCAUAGGCAGCCCUUUAUUCAAUAAAGUCAAAAGAUAAUUCCAUCCAAUCGAAUGAGUAUUGGCAUUUAAUAAAUCCAUUUCUCAACAAGAAAAUGCUUUCGAGUUCAUGAUUAGAUAAUAUCUAUGAAUCACACUUGAAAUUUGUCUAGGUCAGUUUGACGACACACCACUUGGGAUGGCCAUGCAAAGAAGCAUGGUUGAACCCGAGAUAAGAAUAAAAUGUUAAAUCAAAAUAAUAAAUCAAAAUAUAGAAAAGCAUAAUGAACAUCAUAUUACAUGAUUUGAUCAGUAUGACCUUGUCCAUGGAAAGAGUAACAUAAAAUUUCACUUUUGAUCAAGCAAUACAACAAAGGUUAUAACCAUGCUUGAGUCAUUCAAAGACUUUUAAUUUUUCUUAGUCCCCAAUUACAUCCAAUAACUCACAUAAUAUAUAUAUAUAUAUAUAUAUAUAUAUAUAUAUAUAUAUAUAUAUUUAUGUCAAAAACUGACACAAUGUCUAACAUGCACCAUCACUAAAUUUAAUCGUGAUUUUCAAAACAAUUAAACACCCGGUAAUCAACUCUCUCCUAAUAUAAUUCACAAACUUAUGCACAACCUUGCAUAUUGAAGUUGAAGUAUUCACUGAACUUGUACUAAAAAGAACUCCCAAAACAGCCUUCCCUCAAAGUGGAAAAUAUGAUCCUUGCAAAUUGAGUUGAACUCUUCACUACUCACUAGCAGACAAUGAUGCGAGCUACUUCAUAGGAGCACAAAGAAAGACAUGGCAUUUGGCAGCCGUGUAAGUGAAUAAUUCUACUUUAAUUUUGGUGUGACAUUUCUCAUGUUCUUCACUUAGGGACAAUAAUUUUGCAAUUCUAAUUAACAUGUCACUCUUAUCAUUCCUUUCUCUAACCAUUAGCAUGGGAGGGGAUCGACCAGCUCAAUGACUUCAAGUUCGUGAGGCUUGUGGCUCAGGCUUGCCACCUUGAAAAUAGUACCCACAUUCAGUCCAAAUUUAGACCGAACACUUUGUCAAUCAGGUCUAGAAUUAGCAUUCUAAUGCGCUAGAGUAAGACUAGCUAUAGGUACUUUUUUUUUGGUCAGUAGCUAUAGGUACUUUCUUAUUGUUAUUUUGCUAGGUGAAACAAAUUUAUUGAAUUUGAAUAAAACACAUGUAAUGACUCGAAGCAUUCAACAUGAGUCAAACUCUCCAAAAAAGUACUUAGGUUGUGGUUUUUGGAGUAGGUUUCAACUUUCAUCUUAAGUUCUUUACCAUCUCACAUGGGAUUUUGAGUGUCACAAACUCUCCUGCUUAUAAUGUUAAUAUCUCAUUGUUGUCAACUCAUAGUAGGCGGUGACAUUUCCUAUUCUAGCAAGAGCCCCACUUUUUCAAGCUUUCACAUCCCGAUGAUCAUUCCCCGCUUUGUUGGAUUGGCUAAAGGCCAUCCAGUCCAUCACCAAAUCACGAAUCUACCAAAAAGAAAUCUUGUUAAGAUUCAAUGUGCCAAGACACAUUUAUUGCCCAUGUUUGUAGCAUGACUUAGCUUACCAUCUGACUAGGAGCUUACUCAAGUAAUGUUACUUGUGAGAGCUACAAAGGCCUUAGUUAAAGUAUUUAUGGUACAUUUAGUUCAGCAUUUUCAAAGCCUACUGGAGAAAUGCAAAGGCCUUAGCCUAAAGAGAUUUGGGGAAAUGCAAAUUGUAUUUGAUUAAAAAAAAAAAAAAAACCUUUGUAAAGCAACUUUGAGUAAAGUAGUUUUGAAUGGUAGCAACAAGAGGCCAAAUCGGAAAAUUGAAUAAUUGGUGAGAGUAGUUUUAGAAGAAAAAAAUAAUCAACCCUAGUUUCAGCAUUCCAAAGCUAGCAUUUAGUAGAACGCCACUUCAAAAAGCUUGCCGAACACCCCAAUAUUUUCUCUAGGGACUUUGGAAGCCGAAAAUGCCUCGAGAAAGCUAAACCAAACACAUCACCAUCACGGAAAGAAGAAAAGAAAGGCUAAAUCUUGAGGUGACCAUAUUUAUUAUGAUCCAAGAUCUUGUAAGUUUUGACUGUCUUUGCUUCCUUCAAUUACUGCCCAGCAAAAAUGCCGAAAGAGAGUAAGAAUGAUGAUGACACCAUCUAUGAUGACAUACUGAUGCAAUUUGGUAUUUAACAUCCUUUUAGUCCCCAAGACCACAUUUGUUCAACCAGUACAACUAGGUGGAAAACGCACCUAACUAAUAUGCACAACUACACGAGUGAGUAUUGUAUAUCAUAUCAAGAUAUUCACAUUUCAAGAAUCUCUAGAUCCCACACUAAAUCUUAUUAAAAAAAUAUGAAUUUUCAUAUAGCUUAUACAUUUUAUUUAUUUUUGUCUAUCACAUUACCCAAAGAAUAAAUCUACUCAUGUUUUCUAUGUGCCAACUUACGGAGAGAGUUCUAAAUUUCUAGUUUUUUGACGCUUGUCAAUUUCAUCAAAUUUGGAUCGAUAAAUAUGAUAACAUAUCAUUUGAUUAUUCGUGAUAUUUUGGAAAAGGUCCAAUUGGGUCACAAUGGUAUUAACAUCUGAAUUUUCACCGACAAGUCAAACAUGUAUUUUUUUCUUUAAAAAAAUACUAUUUAUAGAAAAUAAAAUAAAAAAUAAAAAGGAAAACAUAAUGAUGAAAAAUAAACAAGAAAUAAAAUAAAUAAAUAAAAUAAAGCACCAGGUCCAUCAAAGCCCAUCUCUCCAGCCCAGUUUGAUAACCUCGUUAUAGCCCAACCCGGUCCGACCACAAGCGUAGCCCAGACCGCUAGUAGCCGCCACUCGUCUCCGAUUGCCGACCAACACACGCUCUUUGCAUUUGAAUCUCAGAUAGCAGAGCAGGGAGUACAGAGAAGGAAUUCUCGUAUUGAGUAGCAAUUCUCUGUCGAUUUUUCCUCUUUGAAUCUUUGCCGCCCUCUCUGUCAGUGAUCGCAGCCGCAGGCCACCGCCGAACACCACCAGCAUCGCGGCCACUGGAAGUGCUUCGUUCGCCCCUGUUUUCCAGCCAGCGUCUUCGACGUCCUCGGAGAGUGUUCGUUUCUCCUUCCCCGGGUCCGAUCAUCAUCCUCAUCGUCUCCGGUGAUGGCGGGGCCAGCACCUACGCUUUCAAGAUAUAUUUCUUCAUGCUCUGUUUUACCGAGGUAGAAACCGAGGAUUCUUAAUUCCAUCGCUAUGGAAAUUGUGACUUUCUGAAGCUAUCAUGAGAACCUCGAAUGUUUCGUGUCGAUUGUGUUUUACAUUGGCUGUGAAUCUCUCUCCAUUUACUGUUUCAUUUUGUUCACCGGUCAAGCGCCUGCUACAUAGUUGGUGAUAUUCCUAAGCUAGAUCAUUUUGGAAGAAAUAAAAGCCGAGGUCAUUCUCCUUUAUAUUUAGCAUUGAGUCGAGAAAUUUUGCUAUACUACAAUGGUUAAUUACCUAAUGUGUUCUUAACCGAGACUUUCCAGUUAUGAAAUUAGCUCAUUAACAGGCAAUUUGGUCGGUUUCCUCAUUGUAUAUGGAUGUAUGUUGAUCGUGUUUUGCUGUAUAGGCAUUCCCUAAGUUCUGUUGUCUUGCAUUAAGAAUGAUUCUAGGUGGAAUAAAAUUAUAGUUCCUUUGCUGAUACAAUGAACUGAUGAAAGAAGGAUGGACUUCUAAAUUGAGAAUGGAUCUGGCAUUAGUCUUGAUUCAUUCAUAGGCCACAGUCCACCUCCAUUGGUGUUAGUGGAGAAUCCUUAAAUGCAUAGGUUCAUCGGUUCUCUUUUGAUAUUGAUUUCUUGUUGCGGUUUUGUCAUUCGAGACCCUCAGCCAUGAACCUUUUCAUUUGACUCAGACUUGAUUUUUUUCCGACUUACAUUGCAUUAUGCCUAUGUUUAACGUAAAUAUAACAUUGCAAUAAAUUAAAUUUGAUGAUUAAAAUUUCGAGUAAGAUGUUCGUAGCUACAAGCCUAACAACUAAUAUAUCCAGGGCUCAUCCACAUCCAAUUUCUCACUUUCGAAUCUCUUUGUAUUAUAAGUUUAUCAUGGGUAUUAUCUUGCAAAUUUAGAUUUUACUCAUGUUUUGCUUUGUUUGCACGCCGCACACCGCGGUUCACCUCUAUUUUCUUCUUUUUAUUUCCUUCCACUGGUGGCAGACAAGGGGCACAAAUUCUUUCUUCUAGAUGUUGUAAAGUUGUGCUUGCUUCACCGAAUCAAAGCGUGUGAUCAACAAAACUGUGUCUAUGGAGCCAAAGGGAGAAAGAAAGGCUUGACUUUCACUUGUGCUGUAAUAACCAGUAACAAGCUCGAACGUCGUGAAAUGCCUGUUGUUGAUGGAGAAAGCAGCUUGGGAAAAUCCAAUCAAGGCUCUUGGAGAGAGGAGAACUUAGAUCUUUCCUUUUUCUUAUCCUUCUCACCUGCAGCCUCGCGAACCGAGUGGAUCUCCUAAACAUCAUCAACGAAAGUGAGUGCAAGUUAAGCCUUGGAUGCUCUCCUUUACUCCAGGAAAGGCCAAUAUUUAGUAUAGCCUGGUCCUCUCGUUUCACCAACAAAUUGUGUCUUCCCAUACGGCUUUUCGAUGAUCAGUGAAUAACAUUACUUUCUAGCAAAAAAGAAAAGAUAUAGUAAAACUGAUUUAUUAAAUUGAAUAAUUACGCGAUGUUUCGAACUUCUCUUUAAUGUUAUAUAUGACAAUUUGUUUAGUGGUCCAGUUGCAAUUUGUUAUAUAACUCGAUAUAUCAGUCUAGUUGAUUAUUGUUAACAUUAUCUAGCUUAGUAACCUCUAAAGUUGGAGAGCACCGGCUAACGUCACUAAGGACGGCUGACAAUGAUCGGACCACCAUGUCAACAAUUUUAGAUGAAAAUUGACGGAAACGACUACAUUAAAAAUUAAUACAAAAGUUUAUAAUUACAUUAAAAAAAUUAAAAGAUUCAUGUUUCCCAUGUCGAUCCAUUAUUUUACAGAGUCCACUACGGGUAUUUAGAGAACAAUUAUGUCUACUUUUCAUUUUGUUUUUUCCAAAAGCAACACUAAUGCCACUACUGGUCAUGUGAUGCAUCGUUUGAAUGGAUAUGAAAAGGUUUAAUAUAAGCACGGGUUUUUUCAAUUAAAAUAAUGACGACAUGACUUUUAAAGGAAUUAAAUUUGGGGGUGCUUAUUAAUCAAUUAAUAAAAAUUUUAUUGUAUUGAUUUUCGUCGGAAUAUGUAGGACCAAUUUUUAGGAAAUAAAUCAUUUUUAUUGAGUAAAAUAAACAUACAUGCGGACCUAAUAAUUGCUCUCACUUUUGAAACGCUUAAAAUUUGACCUAUGCGAAUGUACAUGAUCGAUUGAAGUAUACACCUCAAUAUCUACAUUUUGUUUUUUGGAAUUUGUUUCAUUAUUGGAGAAAAGAUCCUUUGCAAAAUGUUUAAAUAUGUUACAAAUUUCAUGUUGAGUUAGUUAAUACUAGAUAGGCAAAAAAUGAUAAGCGAAACUUAUAAUUUUGUAAAAUUUGAUUUGCCUGUCGUCAAAACAUUCAAUAUUGAUUCAAGUAAAAUAAGCCAAACGUAUAAUUUCGCGAUCCCUAGUCUACGGGGAAAAUUCUAAAUAAAAGUCUAAAGCGGUUCUAAAUAAAAAGCUCAGUGAACUCGUCGACCGGCCGAACGUUCGCAGAUAAAUAUUUUCCGAGGACUAGAACAGAGUUAUUUUGGUUCGAAAUUUGCAAUUAGGUAAAAAAAUUUAAAGAAAAUCCCCAAAUUGAAUUAGCAUUUUCAAAUUUUCCCGUUUUCUUUCUUCUCUCCCGCCGCUCAAGCAGAUUGCUCUCAGCCGAUCCUCCGCCGCGCCGCUCCGGUCCUCCGCCGCUCCUUGCGAGCUUCAUUCGCCGCCGUCUCUUCUUCUCUCCCCGGUUCCGUCGUCCCCAAGCUUUCAAGCCCUUCUUCGCGAGCUUCAAGUCCUUCAUCCGCCGAGCUUCGCUCCCGUUCGAACGAGGUUAGCGUCGCUCAAAUUGGUGCAGUUCGUCCAAGAGACAGCGAUCGCAGCUUGUCGAAGCAACGCGGCGACAGGGUGCGGGCUCGUCGUGGGAACAUCACGCCGAUGGCGGCGAGGCGCUCUUCCCAAGCCCGAAUGGGCCGCUCUGAUUUCAGUCACGGAGCGUGCAAUCUCUUGGGAAAGACCCCGGCUUCCGCAUUCUCUCUUCUUCGAUGCUCCUCGGUCUAUUCGUGCCGCUGCAAUUCCCGAAAGAAAGGGAUUUCCUUUCCCCCCCUAAUGCCGUGCGCCGUAAGAUGGACCGAAGCUGGCGAGGUGGGUUCUUCUCCCUCGGCGUAAAUUUGGGAUUUGUCUCGCAGCGGCGGUGCUCCAGCAAAUGCUUUUUUGUUUUUGGCCUCCGAUGGUAAGCUCCGAUGUCUGGCUUUUCUCGCUGCUGUGAUCUAUGAACUGUUUGUGCAUUCGCCAGAUGCGCUCGUUGGUGAAUUUAACAGUAAGAUUAGUGACUUUUAAGGACAUUGCACAAAAGGGGGCCGAAAUUCUUCUUCUUUUGUCUGUUUUUAUGGUAUGUUUGAGUUAGUAAUUUGAUUCUGUUAUCGUUGGUAAGCUAGAUAUGGACUUCUCUGAGUAAUGCUUCCGUGGUAAUCUGCAGGAGGUGGAUGAAUUCAUCAUCGGGCUAUCAAUGUCUUCUGAUAGAAACAGAGACUAUUCAGUCUAGUAAAGUUCGCAGCGUUGCCUGGAAGACUCGCGGUGGGGAGGUGAAAUCAUUGCAUAUGUUUUGUUGAUUGUUGUCUAUGUUCUGUCUCUAGGGCUGAUGGUAAAUACUAAACGAGUGGUGAUUUUGAUUUGGGAUCAUAUAUUACUUCACUCCAUUUCAAAUGCAUUUAUAGACUGCAUGUCUACCGGUUCAGUGAUGUCUCCUGACUUGCUUUAUAAGUUGCUUCUGGUUUCUGCUUAACAUUUUCAUGAUAUAGUAAGAAUUUGCCUCUGCUGCUUUGGCUCUAACAGUACACCCAACAAAAACUUUAAGUAUUGGCUUUUCUUUCGUUGGAGAGUAUAUCUGUUGGAUGAGCAUAGCACAAAGGCUGAAGCCACUUGCCAUAUGAUCAAUAUGUAGCUUCCCUUUGACCAGGUGAUUUGCUUGUUACUUGCUUUAAGAUCUUGUUUCUCGGAACGUCAAUGUACUUUGCUAAAGAUGGUCAUGAGGAUCCCUCAUCUAUGCCAUUAAAGGGCAAAGCUGGGAAGGCUUGAAAUUAAUAGAGUUACUGAACUGAGGAAUUAAUGUAACAAGUGCAUGAAUUGCUUCAAUUCAAGCUUUAAUAAGUUACGAGGUUGUGAAAUAAUUUGUUGUUUUCAGGUUGAGAAGAGUCAUGUAGUGAGAAAAUCGAGUGAGAAAUUGAUUGCACGUCUCUCUCUUCAAUGCUGCUACUCUCUUAAUCCUUAUUUCCCCUUUCAUGUCCCUAAUUGGGACUUCACAUUUCUUAAGCUUGUCUUUACGCCUUUAUACAUUUGAUGGGGAUGAUGUCACAUUUUUAAGUACUAAUAGUUGGUUCACAAUAUGCUAUUCAUUUCUUGUAAAAGAGAUGGAUUCUUCAAGGAGUCUUUCAUUGCAAGUGGAAACAAGAUGCUUCUUGAGGCCCGGCCCUAGACGACGAUGGUCGUCUCAAAGGAACUGUGCAUGCAUACUUUGCAUUCAAAGCUCGAUCUUCCAAAAUUCUCAUUUUAGCAGAACUCAUUGUGUGCGAAUUUGAAGCUCCACUUUGAAUUAGUCAGGAUUUGAGGAAUGGUCUUUUAUCGCAAUCAUCAUCAAUUUCUAUUUCUGUGAAGUGGGUACUUAUACAUUGAUAUUCUUCUGAAUGAGUUGAAACUAUCUGGCUGAAAGUUUCAUGAAUUUGACAGGCAAUAAGUACGGAAACUCAAGAUGAAGGGGAUUUCUCUCUCUAUGAUCGAUGAUAGAAGAUUGACUAUCAGUGCAGAUAGGCCAGAAGUACAAGAAGGAAAUUGCAAGCAGAAAUAGGAAGUUAUGUGAAUUUAUUACUGGGCUAAGAACUUAGAUUAACUUGUCAAAAUGAGAUUACAUGACCACAGAGAUACAUCUGCCUCUACUUCAGUGACCAUGGUUCAAGCUUCAACGAUGGUGGCAUGAAUCUAUUCAACAAAGGUCAACAUGAUCAGAGGCCGAAAAAGGCAGCUCUCAGAGGUAAACAGUCUAAAACUGUACCAAAGCUAGUUUACAUUGACAAAAGUCUGCUAGAAAGCUCAUGUGUAGACUUUGAGGCCUAUCUAAACCGGGACAGUCCUCAACUCAGCUGCAUUAUCUUCCUCAUGUUCUCCAGAGAUAUCCUCGGGUGAAUGGCCCUUCAACUCUGGCACCAAGAAGAUGAAGACUAUCCCGAAGAAAUUGGUCACGCCGAGUGUGAUCAAAGUCUUCUUGACACCGAUCCCGUCCACUGCAUGCACAAAACCGAAUGCAUCCACCAAGGACCCAGCCUUGCCAGCUGCGGCAUAUAUGCCAAGACACGUCAACCUGAGCUGCACUGGGAAGAUCUCAGUGGGCACCAAAAAUGUGGUGGCAUUAGGGCCGAAGUUUGCGAAGAAGAAGGUGAAUGAGUACAUAAUCAUGGACCCGAUUCGAUUGUCUGGCAAGGUCCGUUGCCCAUCAUCAAUUGUAUUGCGAGCCCUCCGAUCUUGUCGUUGAAUGCCAGCGUGAACCAGUAACUUUACACAGCUAUUAUUAUACGAAGCUAGAGUUCGAGCUCAUGCUUAGUUAUGCAAAGAUAAAUCGCUCAUUGCAUUCAACUAAGCCCCAACUACCACAUUGUAGUACGAGUUCUUCAGCGCCUAGCUGGUGAUGGCUGAGCUUGAGCUCCGGCCCACGCCUCCCGUCACUGAGAGAGUUAAGGGAAUAAGAAUUAAGAAAUAUACCUCAAAACGUCGUGAAAUGAUGAUUAAAAUUUAGAGUAAGAUGUUCGUAGCUACAAGCCUAACAACUAAUAUAUCUGGGGCUUGUUCACAUCCAAUUUCUCACUUUCGAAUCUCUUUGUAUUAUAAGUUUAUCAUGGGUAUUAUCUUGCAAAUUUAGAUGUGCCUCGACAAUGAAGAUGACCUCAAGUUCCAUCUCAGUGUUUACAAGGUUGCAGUAAUUGUAGCAGUAAAUAAAGCAAACACUUUGCCUGAAGUAAGAAAUCAUUUGACUAGUUCUCUACUGUAGAAUGGGAAAAACGUUGUAACUUGCGAAGUUUUCGCUCCAGUUAAGUGGUGAAAUACAUGGAUGAUUCGACUCUGAGAAGAUAAACGAAAAACUAAUCCUAGAACAUGAAGCUUGAGAGAUUCAGCUGCAGACUCUGCGCAUUACCUCACAUAAACAUUCGACUUUCAGAGCCAUAAGGUUGAGGUUCAUAUGAAUUGUGUUUUGCUUUUGUGGACAUAGGCUUAAGUUGCAAAUUCUCUUUUCGUGCGGGUUCUGUUGAGCACUCCUGCAUGCCCGAGCCUCCCACAGUCCCAUCCGUUCCAUACAACACAUCUGUCUUCGAUCGUAAAUCAUCUUCACCUCCCUCAUCCUUUUGGUACAUAAGUCGUGUCGAAGGAAUUUCUGGGCAGCUUGCUACUGGAUAUAUCGUGGAGGAAGGACAUGCACGAAGUCUGCAACUUAUGAGUACACUUGCCAGUGCGAUGCCGGUUACACUAUUCUCGUGAAUGUUGGCAUCUUCCCAUGCUUCAGUGAUUGUAAGAUAUAAACUCAGAGACUUGAGAUUGCAAUUCAUACUAAUUCCCAGUUUUUCCACUCAUGCAUACCUUCCUUUUAGCAUGUCUAGCGUUGGAUUCUCUGAAGGCACAAUCGGUAACGACUGUAAAAAGCUCGGAAUAAAAGUUUCCAACUCAUCUACCACAAGAUCAGACAGCGGAAGUUAAGGUGAGAUUCUGAAUACGUCUCUCUCUUGAUCUUAUCUUUUUCCAAUGGCCAAAACAAGUUUUCCAAAGAACAGGUUAUAUGCUUCCUAAGGUUUCGAUUAAGUUCAAUCUGAAAUGGCAGCUAUUAACAGUCACAUUUACAUAGUCAUACCUCCUACAACAGCCUUUGACAGUGCAUUUGGUGUUGAAUGAAGACAAUCCAAGUCAUCAACUUCCUUUAAGAACAUUAAACAGGGCAUUUAUGAACUACAAUCUAGUGAAAUUUUUACCAAACGUAAUGCCUAGUAUCUUGUUUCUCAUCAGCGCACAUGUUCCUACCUCAGAAGUCGCUGUGGAUGACCAUCUUCACACCAUCUAUGGCUUUGGUUCUAUGGAACUAGUAAGAGGGCAUCAUGACGUGACGGAGGCUUCAUGUGGAGUUGCACGAAAGACGUAUAGAUUAUACUCAAUUUCCCUUCGUGCAAUGGCUUAUGUUGCACUUUGUUCUUUAUUUGUUGAAGUGACAUUCCUGUGUAAAAUUGUUAAAGAAACAUGUCUAUUGUAUGGUUUGACACUACACUACACUAUAUUACGUGUAUAGAAGAGACCAGUGCUUUCACUACUCCUUUCACUGAGGCUUUCGAAGAUUGCAACCAUUCCAGGAUCAAACGAAACUGGCGUUUUGUGAAACAUCUUGAUUGCGCAUUUCUUUCACUUUUCUUUCAGUUUUCAGCCUGCAAACAGAGCUAUCAACGCCCUAGGCAAAGCAUUGCAUCAUGAGUUGUAUCUUGGGGGAGACAGUCCUUGUGUUUAGCCAGGCUGAUUGCAUCAUCUCUAGAUAAUUUCACAGAAAGAUUUGAUAUUCGUGGAGAGAUUCUGAUGCUGAUAAAUAUUAAUCACAGAUUAAGGUGAUAAAUCAUAGAAAACUGAUAGUCCGUAUAAUAGCAAAUAGAGAGGAUGGCAGAUAACAAGGAUGAAUCCAUGACAUAUUGCUGAAUCCUGAAAAUAAAACUAGAAAUCUCAACAUCCUCAAUUAGCAGGAUCAUCUUUUAGUCGCACUCUCUCCAUUUCUAUACCAAUAGCCAGUAUUUGUGAAUAUCCGUUUCCUCAAAAGAAACGCAAACGAAAGAAUAUUGACAUGUAUCAUGCUUGAAUGCAAUAAUGCUUUAAAAUUGAAGGCCAAAUCGCUUCACACCAGAAACCUCUGGCUUUCGUCUCCCUUCAGUUGAAUCACUUCCAUAGUCUCCCUAGCAACGUUAAAUAGUAAACGAAGGAUACCCAAGAGUCUACAGGAGUGUACUCACAAAUCACAACCACGAAGGCAAUUGUCCAUCAUAACAACAGAAUCGAAAUGGCUUGAUAAUGAGCAUUACAAGGGCUGCCGCAAAUUGAAUGAUUUACACUUAAAGCAUGGGAGGACCCAUCUGGACAUUUGAGUUGAUUAGAACAAAUUAAACAUGAUUACACAUCAAAAGAAUGCAAGAUACAAUCUAUUGAAAUCUAAUGAAGAUUACAACUCUCAUCAAGGUGACUGCUGGGCAAAAAUGUUACUUCGCCUUCACAUCUACACCGGUUUUAAUGGAAAUAAUCACAGCUGUCGCCAUGUCUAAGAACAAAUCACGGUCCACCACUCCCUCCAGUGGAGAUAUCUUCUUCCUACAGCAGGCGUCCUUAAUUGGAGUCUUGAAAUGCAACUCUACAAUGUAGUUUGAGUUAUCCGUCACGUAAGGCUUCCUGUCUUCAUUCAACUGUAGCUUUGCCUCACACACCCUUCUUAAUUGAACAACUCUUGAAGUCACACCUAUCAACAUCAGAAUUCCCAAAUCGAUCAGGUUCUCACAACAUCAGUAACCAAAUAGUAUCAUGAUGAACCCCUGCUAUUUAGGAGCGAAAUCCUUCGUCGAUUCCAGUUGGAUCCCAAAUAUGACUCCCAUAUAUCGACAAUGUAUUGUCCUCUUAAACUGCAAUUAACACUGAAUUUCUAUUUGACAGCAUUCUGAGUACUUAAAAAAGGCUCUUGCUUCCGUGUGUUCAAAUUUAAAAAAGUAAACAAAACCAUCCGCUCACAACUUCACUCAAUUGCCGGCUUAAAAAUGAAAGACGGCCGAAUUUAGGAGUUUUUUUUUGCCAAGAUAUCAUCUUCACAACUAGAUGAAUUGUCUAACUAACGUUCCCCACAUUGAAUCCAUCUAAGAACAUCAUUUCAUGAUCAAAGAGUCCUCCUACACUCAUCUUAAAUCCACAAAGCAAUCACUUCCUAGCACAAUAACCUCAUAAUUAUGGGUAAAAAUCCGCCUUUUCCACACCUCUCUAUUUCAAAGUGGACUUGCCCUAAUAUGUAACCUACUAUUGACAUGGUUUAAAUGGACUGAUGGAAUUUAGUAAUGAGACCACUUACCAGAUUGUACUUCCAAGUUUGUAAUAGGCACUUCUUCGUACCCUGUCCUUGUCAUGGGAGAGCUGAUGGAGUGGCCGCGUGACAGAGGGAAAUGAAGGUGAGGAUGAUGGUGUGGAGAGCUGAAGAAGCAGAGGUAGGUGAUUAAGCUGCAGUGCAGACAACGGGGGGGAAGGAGACGAACCCUAGUUACGCCCAAAAGCUUCAGCUCACUAAAAAUUUGCUGAAAAAAAAAAAAACACGCUUGUUAAGUACACAUAUAAUUUUCAAAUAGCCAGCGCGGAAAUUUAUUAUACCCCAUAAUCCAACUUCUGGGAUUUCGCGGAUGAGGUGCUGAUAUCGUUUUGUGCAUCGCUUCUGCAGAAUCCCACAUCCGAAGAUCCAGAGUCUUUCUAGGGAGAGAGGGAGGCCAUCCUGGGGUAACUCCCUUAGCUUCGGGCAAUGAAAGAUCCAUAAGGUCCAGAGAGGAAGGGGGAUUGCUGGACAGUCUUUCCAUGUUCCCCAUAAUUACAGCGGUUGCCAUGUCCAAGAACAACCCCUCCUCCUUCACUCCCUCCAGCGAAGACAUCUCCUUUCCUGCUGCAGGACCGUCCCUGAUUGGAGUCUUGAAAUACAAGUCUACAAUGUAAUUGAGUCAUCCAUCACAUAAAGCUUCCCAUCUUCAUUCAACAGUAGCUUUGCUUCAUGCCCUCCUUCAUUGAACAAAACUUGAAGUUGCACCUAUCAACAUUAGAAAUCCCAAAUUGAACAGCUUCUUGCAACAUCAAGAACCAAAUAGUAUCAUGAUGAGCCCCUGCUUUCCAGGAGUGAAAUCCUCCUUCAAUUCCAGUCGGAUCACAAAUAUGACUAACAUGUAUUGACAACAUGUUGUCCUCUUAAACUAUAAUUAAUGCAGAAUUUCUAUUCGACAGUCUUCUGGGUACUUAAAAGGCUCUUGCUUCAGUGUGUUCAAUUUCACAAGUAAACAAAACCAUCCACAACUUCACUUAAUUGCUGACUUAAAAAUGAAACGCAGCCGAUUUUCGAGUUUUUUUCCAAAACAUUAUCUUUGCAACAAGAUGAAUUGUCUAACGGUCACCACAUUGAAACCAUCUAAGAACAUCAUUUCAUGAUAGAAGAGUCCUACUAUACUCAUCCUACAUCCACAAAGCAAUCACUUCCUAGCACAAUAACUUCAUAAUUACGAGAAAAAAUCCGCCUUUUCCACACCUCCCUGUUUCAAAGCGGACUUUCCCUAAUAUGUAACCUACUAUCGACAUGGUUUAAAUGGAUCGAUGGAGUUCAGUAAUGAGACCACUACCCAGAUUGUAAGUGUAAUAGACACUUCUCCGUACCCCGUCCUUGUUGUGGGAGAGCUGAAGGAGCGGCGGCGCGAAAAGAGGGAGAUGGAGGUGAGGAUGACGGAGUGGAGAGUGGAAGCAGAGGUAAUUGAGGUGCAGACAACAAUGGGGAAGGAGAUGAACCCUAUUUAUGCCCAAAAGCUUCAGCACACUAAACAUCUGAUGAAACAGAAAAAACACACCUGUUAAGUACACAUAUAAUUUUUGGUCUAAAAUUAAAAUACGCACCCUUUUCAAAGAGCCAGCUCAGAAAUUUAUUAUACCUAUAAUACAACUUCUGGGGUUUUGCAGAUGAGGUGCCAAUACCGUUUCAUGCAUCACUUCUGCAAAAUUCCACAUUUGAAGAUCCAGAGUUGUUCUAGGGAGGGAGGGAGGCCAUCUUAGGGUAAAUCCCUAAGCUUCGGGCAAUGGAAGAUCCAUAAGGCCCGGAGAGAGGAAGGGAGACUGCUGGACAGUCUUUCCACGUUCCCCAUAAUCACAGGGGUUGCCAUGUCCAAGAACAACCCGUGCUCCACCACUGCCUCCAGUGAAGAUAUUUCCUUUCCCGCGGCAGGACCGUCCUUAAAUGGAGUCUUGAGAUACAAAUCUACAAUGUACAUGUAAGGCUUCCCAUCUUUAUUCAACCGUAGCUUUGCCUCACGCCCUUCUUCAUUGAACAACUCUUGAAGUCUCACCUAUCAACAUCAGAAUUCUCAAAUCAAUCAGCUUCUUGUAAAUCAAGAUCUAAAUAGUAUCACGACGAACCCCUGCUUUGCAGGAGCGAAAUCCCCCAUCGAUUCCAGCCAGAUCACAAAUAUGACUCCCAUGUAUUGACAAUAGUAAUGUACUCUUAACCACAAUUAACGCAGAAUUUCUAUUCGACAGCAUUCUGAGUACUUAAAGGGCUCUUGCUUCUGUUUGUUCAAUUUUACAAGUAAACAAAACCAUCUGCUCACAACUUCACUUAAUUGCCGACUUAAAAAAUGAAACGCAGCUGAUUUUCGAGUUUUUUCCAAGACAUUAUCUUCACAACAUGAUGAAUCGUCUAACGUUAACCACAGUGAAUCCAUCUAAGAACCGAAUUCACAGUCCAGAUACUCCAACAUUCAUCUCGACUCCACUAACCACAAUUAUUAUAUCUAACCUGUCGAGAGUAGAGAUUUCCACUCAUCUUGAAUCCAGAAAGCAAUCACUUCCUAGUGCAAUAACUUCAUAAUUACUGGAAAGAAAAAAAAAACAAUUCACCUUAAUUACCCUAUUUCAAAGCAGACUUGCCCUAAUUCGUAACCCUAUUACUGACAUGGUUUAAAUGGACCGAUUGAGUUACAGUAUCGAGACACUUUACCAGAUUGUACUUCCAAGAAAUUAUGUAACCCUUCUCUGUACCUUGUCCUUGUCGACAAGAGGGAAGGCUCUAGUGGGAAACACGGAGGGGUUGAUGGCGGUGCAUGAGAGCUGAAGGAGCAGCAGUGUGACAAAAAAAGAGGGAAUAGGAUGACAGAGUGGAGAGGCGAAGCAGCAUUAGGUGGCGAUGGAGGUGCGGACAAGACAACACGGGGGGAAGGAGACGAUGUUGAAAGAAGAAGGGUGGGUUAUUCUUGGCACCCCCCUAGUGUAGUUAUGCUCAAAAGCUCCAGUUUACUCAUCCAUCUGCUAAAAUUAUAUGAACUUAGUGGGAUUUCGCCAAUGAGGUGCCAAUCACAACCGAUCUGUUCUGUGCAUCGCUCCUUUAGAAUCUCACCACAUCCUUGGAUAGAGACCAACCCUCUAGACCUAGCCGCAGGCCAUUUCCAAUGAGAAUAACGAAUUACAGCAGAUACUUUGGCCUGCAAAGGAAGAGAAGAGUCAUAAGUUAUUUUCCUUGAGAAAUGAUUUUGGCAAGAUCCCAGCAUGGUGUCACAAAUCAUACCAAGAGAAAUAUUAUCUCCAACGCCUACUAUAUAUCUAAUGCAAUAUUCCCAACUUUAAUAAAUUCUUCCAAGUAUAAGUAGCAUCUGGUUUACAGUCAAGAUGAUAGCUAUAAAGCCAGGCAAAACAUAGAAACCACACCUCUACAAAAUUCUCCACAAACACUUUAAAAUACAAGCAAGAUUUCAUAAAUCCAGUCUUCGAAUGCUAAGGCCUGCAAACUACUUAAGAGGAUAGACAGUCCAUCUAACUUUUGCUCCCUCUUUAGCAUCAGGAUCUGCCUUCCAAAGGAAAAGCUCUACGCUUACGCUCAAUCAUUUCAAAAACUUUCUUGGGCAACAAAAAGAGUUGACACUAAAAGCUAAUCAAACUAUGAACAAUAGAUUUGAUAAGCCAAAGUUUUCUGGCAAAUGAGCGGCUUUUAACAAUCCAAGCUUUAAAUCUUGAUGCAAUUUGAUGAUUUAUGAGAGCCUCAUAAUCCUUGUCUGAAAGUCUUCCAGAAAACAAGAACAUAGGGCGGGCUGAUUGGUCAUGCUAUUUGAUUCAAUUGCUGCAUGUCACACAAAUGCAGUUUUUAAAAACUUAAGCUGUUAAGAAACGUGCCAAGCAAUGCAUAUGUAACGUAUAACUUAACACUUCCCUUGCAUAGAACUGAUCCCUUACACACACAAACACACAAAACAGAAUGUGGACGUAAUCACAUCAAUGAGAUAACUGGGGAAUGAUAACAAACAACAUAACAUACGAUAAAUUUUAAACCAUUGACGUGUGCUUAGAUACAACGCUAAAAUUGAACAAGUAAAAUGCCGACAAUACGCUAAUCCUUCAGAAGAGAUUCUUCCUAGAUUAUGAUCACACCCCAUUACCAUUACCUGUGUCUUUCAAACAGUGUGUCUUUCAAACAGCCAGUCAAAAGAAACAGCAGAAACAAAUCUACUCACCCUUUAAACUUUGCCAACCAGCGUCUCCAGAGUCCAUGGCUAUGCAUCUUUGAUUCCAAAGCAGCUUCUCCUCCUCCUCCUCCUCCUCCUCCUCCUAGACUUAACAUAGACCUUUCCAUGGGUCCUUGUGCCGUACCGACAAAAUUCAUCAAAGGGGGAAUUCCAAUGUAAUCUGCAAGGCGUGCAAGAGUUAGAGACUCUUGGCGAAUGGGCAGAGCACAGCAGAUGACGAAAAGAAUUGCUGGAUGAGUACAGAAAACUGCUGGAAUGGAAUGCACAAAAAUAAGUCGAGAACUCCAAAUCCAAAUGCAACAGGUAAGUUAAGACAAAAGUGACUACGAGUAGAGGAGUAGCAAAUGGCAGAGAUCGAUCGAUACCUUGAUUUUUGAAUGGAAAUAGUAUGUCCGAGGCAUAGGAAUCUUUGGGAGAUGGAGACAUGGGGUGAUCUGAGGUGAGGAUGACGAUCGAGUGGAGAGGCGGAGCCUAGGGAGGCGAUCGAGGUGCAGAGACGACAGAGGGAAAAGUGGAGGUGAUUGACGCUAUGGAAUCCCCUUCUUCAAAAAGAGCCAAGGCUCAGACAUUAAAAAUACCCUAAUCUCUUCCGCGUAGAAUAUUCAGAGUCCAAAUCCCUUUUUUUCAAGUAAUUGACGUGUAGUUAUUACCCAAUGUGACUUCUGGGAUUUCGCGGAUGAGGGGCCAAUAGUAGCCGGUCCCUUUCCUGCAUCGCUUCUCCAGAAUCGGGCAAUUCAUGAUCCGGAGUAUUUCUAGGGAGGGAAGGAGGCCAUCCUGGGGCAACUUCCUCAGCUUCGAGCAAUUCCCAAAGGCUAAGAGCUUGAGAGAGGGAGGGAGAUUGAUGGACAGUCUUUCCACUUUCCCCAUAUCAUAGAUAUAGAGAUAGAGCAGAGAGGAAGGGAGCGGAAGCACAAGAUCCUCCUCCUCUCCCACUCCUCCCACGCUGCCGUCGAUCUGCAGAGAUUGAAGGGAGGUGAGGGGGGUGAGCCACUCCCUCACCGGCUGCUUCAUAUUCUCGCAUUUAGUCACUUCAAGUCUGUUUAGCUGGGGCGGCAAUCCUCCAUCGGGGAAGCGCGUAAUACUCACAGACUCCUCAAUUGUCAGAUUUCGGAGACUCGUGAGCCGAUGCAACUGAUUAGGUAACGAUUUUAUCUUCGGACAAUUCCAAAGCCAAAACGUCGAGAUGCCGGGAGGAAGAGGAGAGAAGCACUCCAGCUCUAGAGCAACACAGUCGAACAAGUGCAAGGUAUUGAGGGCGGAGAGUGUAUUUAAGCCCUGGGGUAAGCUUCUCAACUUAUCGCAACCCUGAAUUUUAAUAUAUCGAAGCGACUUAAGGCAAUCUAGAUUUAUUCGCGCAAGCGACUCUUCGUUCUGCCAAUUGUAAAUUAUGAGACUCUUGAGGGUUAUAGGUAAAAAUAUGCCUCCGCUGAACAGAGCGGCUGGCCAAGAAGUGCAGUUGCCGAUCACUAAACUUUGCAAACCAGACGUCUUGUCCCCCUGGGUAUUGAUGGUGCUUAGUUCAUCCAGGUCAACAUUUAAUCCCCUGGGUAAAUAUUGCAACCUAUUGCAAUCGCAGAUUUUUAAUGAUAUCAUAGAUAUCGGUAUACCUGUUUCGGGGAAGGACAUGAGAUUUGAACAGUUUUCGACCGUCAAGUUUCUAAGAGAGUAAAGGUUGUACAUCUUGUUGGGGAGCUUCUCUAAUUUGAUGCAAGCACUCAGGCUGAUGGUCUCAAGGUUGCCAGGCAGCUCUAUAUCUCCUUCUUCAGCCACAAAAUACAUGAAUUCAUAACACGCGUUGAUGAAUAACUUCUUCAAACAACCAAGAUUUUGGAUUACAUCUCUCUCUUGCCAUAAGUAAGUUAACUUUUUACAUCUUUUGAUAUCUAACUCCUCCAACUUGAUUAGGGAACUUGUAAACCCAUGAUUUAAGCAAGUCAAUUCAGAGACAUCUUCUAUGACAAGAGAGGUUAGAGAUGUCAAGUUUACCAAUCUCUUCAGCACCCCCUCAUUACAAUUUUUGAAUUUUAAUUCUUUGAGAGAUGGAAGGCUAAUGAUGGAGGGCAACGCAUCCAUAUGCGGACAGGACUUGAUUUCAAGCUUUGUGAGGGAGCCUAGUUGACUAGGCAAUUUUCCUAUCAACACAGGACAAUCUUGAAUCAGGAGAUGCUCAAGAUGAGGGAACAAAACUCCUGCUUCUUCAAUCCCGAUUGAAUGAGACCAGUCUUCCCACAAUAGCAUGUCCUUGAAUUCCAGAGUUAUUAAGGAUGGGAAAGGACUCUCAUUAGUUCCAUAAAAUUCAGACCCUAUCGUGCAUAUAGCAUUUAGACCUUCAAUAUAUAAUUCUUUGAGCAGAGAUAGCUGCCCGAGUGAUGGCAAUGUUUUGGCCCUGCAACAUCCAUGUAAACGUAAAUGCACAAUGUUGAGACAUGGGGGACUUUCUAACCAUGACGGGAAUUUUAGGCCACCAUAGUAGGAUAUCACGAGAUUUUCAAUGUUUUGGUGAGGUUGAAGANNNNNNNNNNNNNNNNNNNNNNNNNNNNNNNNNNNNNNNNNNNNNNNNNNNNNNNNNNNNNNNNNNNNNNNNNNNNNNNNNNNNNNNNNNNNNNNNNNNNGGUGCCUUAGGUGCCUCAGUUUGCCAAGGCAAUCUGGUACCUCUCUGAUUUGAUAGCCCCUCAAUGAAAGCACCCUUAAGUAUUUUACUGUCGACAACAAGUCACAUAGCACUUUUUGGGACAAAGAGGGCUGACCGCAAUAUCGCUUUCGUAAAGAUAUGAAGCUCCUAAGUCCCUUCAUUCGAUGAUAUAUCUUGAGUCUUUUUGGCACAAUGUGAUCACUGGGAAUGAAUGAGGCAUGACGAGCAAAAGAUGCAUUACUUUGAUUACCCUCAAACUCAAACUCCUCUGAGCUAAAACAAGUUGCAUCAGCAACUAGCUUUGCAAGGUCAUUCACAAGAUCAUGCAUCAAGAAUUGUGAUCCGUUUAUACUCGACUUUUGAAAUAACGAUCUAGAUUCUAGCUCGUUAAAAUAAUUCAAACCUACAUUCCAAAGGUUCUUUGCUUCUUUUACCUCCAACAAGCCUUCUGCAAUCCACCAGUGAAUCAAGUCGUCCCGUUCAAUUUCAUAGUCCUUUGGAAAUAUAGCACAGUACGCAAAAACAUCUCCUCAAAUUGUAAGGGAGAUGAAGAUAGCUAAGUUUCAAAGCCGGAACGAUCUCAUCUUUUUCUUUUGGUAGGUCCCAAAUUUUGCUAUUCAAUAUAGCUUCCCAUUCUUGGGGAUUGAAUUUAUUGCGUAGCAGCCCAGCCAAUGUCUUCACAGCUAAUGGCAACCCUUUGCAUUUUUCUGCUAUUUUCUGGCCUAAUACUUCAAGAUUUGGAUGAUGAUCAAAAUUUCUUACUCCGAGAGCAUGAAAUGCAAACAAAGUCAUACAAGCAUCUUGUGACAACUCUUUGAGAUGAUAUGGUGGAGCACCGGCCAAUGAAGCAACGCCGUCGUUACGAGUGGUAAGGAUGAUCUUGCUUCCCUUCUCUCCCGAUUGAAAAGGCUUCAAUAGGGUAGUCCAAUUUCCGUAGUUCUCGUUCCAAACAUCAUCUAAAACGACAAGAAACUUCUUCCCCGAAAGGUUUUUCUUGAGCUUAUCUUGAAGCCAAUUCAAGUCAUCUCCUUCACAGGACAAAUGGCCGUUGGUUAUUCUAAGGAUACUCUUUGUGAUAGCAAGCACGUCAUAAUCUUCCGAAACGCAAGCCCAUGCUUUCACAUGGAAAUAGCCAAUGACUCUCGCAUCAUUGUAAAUUUGCUGGGCCAAAGCCGUCUUCCCCACACCCCCCAUCCCUACGAUGGGUAUCACUUUUAGAUUUGCACAUGUUCUAUCCUCUUCAUCUCUGGUCAAUAAUUCAAGGAUCUCGCUUAUUUCAUCCUCCCUACUAACAAACCCAGGCUCGGGCAAAUACGUGGUGGGAAGCGGCUUAUCCUGUCGACGGUAUACUGAUCGAUUCCCAUUAUUCUCUCCAAAGUUAAAAGUAUCUUUCCGAGUGAUGAUAUCUUGUAGUUUGUUAUCCAUCUCUUCGAUCGUGGAUCUCAUUUUACGGUCAAACAUAAAUGCUCUCGGGCUCAAUUUGAAGCAACCAACUUCGGAAAGAAGGGAGCGCACCUUGCUAUUGCCGAGUUCUGCCUUGGAAAUUAUUUUCUGCAGACUUUUGGUGGCGAACUCAUCAAGGCAAGUCUUCGAUGUCAUAGGGCGAAGUUCCCCGAGAUCUUUUGAGCCACGACUCCACUCCCAGGAAGCGCUGGUCAGUUGUCUUCUUCCUCUUGCACCAUCCCAGGGACUUGAUUGGAUGGCUAUNNNNNNNNNNNNNNNNNNNNNNNNNNNNNNNNNNNNNNNNNNNNNNNNNNNNNNNNNNNNNNNNNNNNNNNNNNNNNNNNNNNNNNNNNNNNNNNNNNNNUGGACGUUGAGGCCACAAUCUGUGUAAUGCGACAUUUGUUGAUUCUACCCGAGGUAAAAUGUCCUAAUGAAGGGCAGACAGAACUUCAGCUUUUUAUCUAGUGCCCUGCCUUGGGCGUGUAGACGGAAAGAUUCCUUCCGCAAUUCUAGUGCAUAUUGGCCCAAAUCCCCUUCCUCACCGUCUCCAUCUUCACCGAGCCUGCGCGCUUCACCCGCUGUUCACCUCUCUUUUGUUUUCUUAUUUCCUUCUCCUAAUAAUGGCAGACAAGCGACCCAUUUCUUGUUCUUGUCUUCUUUUUUUAAUGGGUUAAUACCUUGAAAAACCCUAAACUGGUACACUUAUGACAAAUUUACCCCAAACUAUUUUUUUGACUAUGAAAAACCCCAAACUGGUAAACUUGUGACAAAUUUACCCCGACUGAUUAUAAAAAACCCUAAACUGGUACAUUUAUGACAAAUUUACCCCAAACUAAUUUAUUCGACUGCAAAAAACCAUAAAAUGGUAAAUUUGUGACAAAUAUACCUAUGCUAAAUUAAAUUAAUACCACAAAAAAAUCAUAAAAAUUGUAAACUGUGACAAAUGGAAUGUAAAAUCAUAAAUUGGUAUACUGGUUAACUGUCACGUGUCAUUUAACUUAAUAAUUUGAGAAUAAAAUUUAACGAAAACUAACAUAGGAUAAAUUUGUCACAAGUGUACCAGUUUGGGAUAAAUUUGUCAAAAGUAUACCAGUUUGGGGUUUUUGGUGGUCAAAAAAAUAGUUUGGGGUAAAUUUGUCACAAUUGUACCAGUUUGGGGUUUUUUAGGAUAUUAUCCCUUUUUUAAAUGUUUUGAACUUGCGCUAGCUACACUGAAUUUGCAAUCAACAAAACUGUCGAUGGAGCCAAAAGAAAAAGGAAAGGCUUUAACUUUGCAGUCGUCACUUGCGCUGCUGAAGUUGAGCCUCUCUUUGAAAUUGCCAGUGACGAGCUGGAAUGUCGUGAAAUGCCCGUCGUUGAUGGAAGAAGCGGCUUGAGAAAAUCCAAUUACAACCCAUGGAGAGAGGAGAACAUAGAUCUUCCCUUUUUCCCAUCCUUCUCGCCUGCAGCCUUGCAAACCGACCUGGAGGUCCAAAACAUCCUGAACCAAAGAGAGGAGUAAUUGUACUCAUAUCCACGGCCAAUUUUCAAUCAAAAUGACCACCACUUUUUAUUUAAAGAAAAUACUUUUAGGGUGCUUAUUAAUCAAUUAAUAAAAAUAUAUAACUUGCUUUGUACUGAUUUUUUCGCAUAACAUAUAUGACAAAAUUUUUGAAAGUGGAUCCAUCAAUAUUAAGGAAAGUGAUCAUAUAUGUAGACCUAAUAAUUACUCUCGCUUUCAAAAUAAGUAGAAUGUGACCCAUGCAGGUGCAUGGAACCAAUUGAAGUUUACACAUUGACAUAUACAUCUUGUGUCUUAAAAUUUAUUACUUUAUUGUAGAAAAAACUUGCAAAAUGUAUAAAUAUGCUAUCAAUUUUAUAAUGACUGGCUAAUAGUAGACUAGACAAAGGAUUCGGUCAAUACAAAAGAACACAUAUAAGUCAAACUAAGAAUAAACAUAUCGGUAUAUUUAUCUUGAUUUUUGUUGCAAAAACAAAUUAUCGAACAAUAAUAAACCAGAAAAUAAAAAAGUAAAUGGGAUAUAGAAUAUAUUUGAUUCAGUCAUUAUGACCUAAUUCACGGGAAAAGUAGUAUCAUAUUGACACACGUGCCAUAUAAGAUUGCCAAUAAUAAUUGGACCAUCACAUUAGCAAUUUUAGGUGAAAAUUGAUUGGGAUGAUUAGAUUGAAAAUUCACACAAAGAUUUAGAACAGUAUUAACAAAAUUGAUAAAUUAAGGACUACGUUAAAAUUCACACAAUAAACACUUUUAAAAUUGAAUUGGUAAUUUUUCUAUUUGAAAUCAAAGUGGAUGUGGUACAAUAGUUAUGACAGCGAUAUCACUCUUAUCCCAAAUUUUUUGUGCAAAUUCAAGAUCAUAUUGGUCUUCACGCGUCUGAUAUGUCAAUUCGUUGUUUUAAAUGUCCGCUGUCCACUAUAGGUCCUAGGACAAUAAUGUCUACUGCUUCUUUGGCUUUUUCUCCCAAGCGAGUCAUUUGCAAUGAGAAACGCAAUGUGUUUCACAUUAGGACGAUCAUGGUCUUUUCACAACUUGCAUAUCCUUUGUUUUUUGGGAAAAAAUCACAAAAAACCCCACACUUUAUUCAAAAUGAUAAAUUUAUCCCAAAUUUUUUUUAUGACGUGAAAAACUCCAAACUUUUCAAACUGUAACACAUUUACCCCAUCAUAAGUAUUUUUAUCUUAUUUUUUCUGUUUUUCCUCUUUUUUUUCUUUUUUUCUUCUUCUUCCCUCCGCCGGCCAUGGCGGGGAGCCAGCAAAGGAAAGCUAGCAUCCGGCGAGGAGUGCCCUUGCCGACGUCGGGCGAGGGCUGUCCUCGCUCAACGCAGGCAAGGGCGAUCCUCGCUCAAUGCCGGCAAGGGCCUCCCUUGCUAGCUCCGCCAUGGUUGGCGGAGGGAAGAGAGAAGGAAAAAAAAAAUUUAAAAAUAAAAAGAUCGAAAUGUUCUAUAAUUUUAGAAUAAAUGUAUCAUACGAUAGAAGUUCAUAAUUUUUUAUGUCACAAAUAAAAAUUUAGGAUAAAUAUAUCACGAUUGAUAAAGUUGAAGAUUUUUCAAGUCACAAAAAAAAAUUAAAAUAAAUCUGUCACUUUAAAUAAAAUUUGAGGUUUUUUGUUAUUUUUUCCCUUAUUUUUUUAAGACAAGAAGUAGCAAAAAUCUUCGAAAUCAGGUCCACCCUCCAGUGAGGACAAUGGUGUCUUCUUUUCCUUUUGCUUUUUCCAAAAGUGACGCCACUAUCAAUAAUGGAUGUCCGUCGUUUGUUUUAUUCGGACAAGGAGUAGCAAAAGUCUCUCCGAAAUAAGAUCCGCCCUCAAGGACAAUGAUAUCUCCUUUUCCUUUUGAUUUUUCGAAAAGUGACACCACUAUACGUUUGAUUUGGCACGAAAUUGUUGGAGGAUACCACGAUUUUUUUCAAUCAAAACAAUUAUGACUGCCUUUUAAAGGAAUUACCUUUAGGGUGCUUACAAAUCAAUUAGUAAAAGUUUCAUUAUACUGAUUUUUCCCAGGAAUAGAUGUGAAGAUAUGAUGGACCAACUUCUCGUCAAAAGCAAACUGACAAAAAUGAUGUGAAAAGUCUGGCCUGUGGUUCCUAGCAGAUAAAUUACAGUUAAACACUAGGUCAAUUGCUCAUGUGACUACGGUACUAAAAACAUCUCGUUCAAAAAAAAUUAGGGAGCCCUUUCUCUGUUUCUUCCGGAGAUAACUACAGGACUCUGCAGGCAUCAAAUCUUGUACUUGAAGUCAGAACAUUACAAUAUUGGUUUUAAAAUUGUAAAGUUGAUCUUCUCACACAGAGUUCAUAUAAACCCUGAUUGCAACGAAGCUUUUCUUGAUUAACAGCUAGUUGCCAUUUGUAGGGACUGACUUCGUUAUAAUGCAUGUGAUGCGACCUUCUUGACCAAAUCUGAGAGAAUAAACAUCCAAACAAGAAAAGAAAAAACAAGUUCUCGCAACUCAUGAGCCAAAAACAUGUCCUCGAUCUCAGAUUUCACCGUUGUUCCCCUAUCAGAGAUGCCCUAGGAUGUAUUCUAGUGUGAGAAUGCACGAGUUCCAGGGUCCACAAGUUGUCACUUUACCUGAAUAACACGAGAUGACUCCAAGUAGAACUCUCUAAACCAGAGAAAGCCAAGAUCACUCAAAGUCACCGAUGUCGCUGCAGCACAGCAAUACGAAGCUAAAUUAGUCCAAAAGCUUUCUGUGUAUCGUCUACAGCAAUACAAGUAAACAAUAAUUGCUGCUGACUGUUAAAGAAAGUUUAUUUAUCCCAAGAAAUGCUGACAUGUCCAUAAGCGAAUGUAAUCACACAAAUGACAUUAAUGGGGCCAGGGAACACAAAAUAUAAAACGGUUAACAGAGGGGAAAGGGAACGAUCGACAAAGGACAUUCAUGUCCUUUUGUCUUUUUCUAACCAACUAACUUCGAAGGAAGCAAUAAUCAAGUGUUAUUGCUUGCCCUCAUUGGAAGCUCAAUUAGGAAUCUUAUUGUGAAAUUAGAAAGCCAGUAAAGGGUCAAAAUUUGGAUUACACAUCGAGAACGAUGGUAUUAGAAAGAAAUAAAAAAACAAUGUGGUUAUUACAUUUGCAUCCGGACCAAAAGGCAUUCUCUAUCCUAUAGGAGCAUGUCGUUUCUCACCUAGUAAGUGCAAAGUUCUAACACUAAGGCAAAUGUAAAAUAGCUUCUCCCUUCACAAUGCUGAGCCACUUCAACUGCUAGUAAAACUGCGGGAUGCUGGUUGUGAGAUCACCGGUAUAAUUUUAGGGAAGGUAAAGUUGAAGUUAUUGAAAGAGUCUUCUAGUCUGCAUUAAACUCCUCUUAUAAACUAUUUUCACAAAGUGACGAAUGCCGAUAGUUUGACAUAACAGAAUGUGCGGGAUUAUAGAAAAGUAAGAUGCACUGAAAGAAGGAAAGAUAAAAGAUCUUGAGUACAUCGAACUGUAGAUGAAAAGCAUGAGGUCUAAUACAGUGCAAUCGCAGCAGCAAUUGAACCGUUUUUCAUAAAAAUUGUACUAAAACAAGUAAAACAAAACAUAUGUUUGCGACCCGCUUUGGAACUAAUUAUGCGUACAAUUUAAGGCAAAUAUAAUUCAUCUUCUCAACUCAUAUUUUUUCUGAUCUCUGGUCAAGAAUGGAAAAUAUUAAACAGCAACAUGAGUAAAUGGAUAUGUUAUCAAGGCUUUAGUCCAAAAAACUUAAUAACUCAUUUUAAUAAGUUAAAAUGAAUCUUUUCUAUAUUAUAUUUCCAUUGCUUCCAUUUAUCAUAUACAUUUUCAGAAAAGUUAAAGCCACGUCAUCAAACUAGUGUAAACGUUUAUAUGUACAUAUCUUUCCAAGUCUCUGAAGAGUAAACUAUUACGUUGUACUAAACAAAAGCGACUUUUUCCUCAAGGCUAAAGUUUCGAAAACAUUAAAUAUUAUUUUUUAUUGUUUAUAUAAACAAUGUAUAGACACAUGUAGAUUCUUUAAGUGAUUAUUCUCAACUUGUUUAAAUUUUUCCAACUAUUGUGAAAUAUUUUUAGUCGAAAAAACUAUAUAUAGAUAUAUAUCAACAGUGAAUUGCAUUAUUUCAAAAUUGAAAAACAGAAUUGAUCUGCCCAUUAUGACAGCAUGUGCUUCUUAGCAACUUUAUAUAGGUAAAGUAGAAAAAACUGUCGGCAGACAAGGGGCCCAUUUCUAUUUCUUAUUAUUAUUAUUAUUAUUAUUUUAAAUGUUUUAAACUUGUGCUAGCUACACUGAAUUUGCGAUCAACAAAACUGUCGGUGGAGCCAAAAGGAAAAGGGAAGGCUUUAACUUUGCAGUCGUCACUUGCGCUGCUGAAGUUGAGCCUCUCUUUGAAAUUGCCAGUGACGAGCUGGAACGUCGUGAAAUGCCCGUCGUUGGUGGAAGAAGCGGCUUGAGAAAAUCCAAUUACAACCCAUGGAGAGAGGAGAACAUAGAUCUUCCCUUUUUCCCAUCCUUCUCGCCUGCAGCCUCGCAAACCGACCUGGAGGUCCUAGACAUCCUGAACCAAAGAGAUGAGUAAUUGUACUCAUCCGCGGCUAAUUUUCAAUCAAAAUGGCCACCGCUUUUUUGUUAAAGAAAAUACUUUUAGGGUGCUUAUUAAUCAAUUAAUAAAAUUAUAUAACUUGCUUUGUACUGAUUUUUUCACAUGACAUAUAUGACAAAAAUUUUGAAAGUGGAUACGUCAUUAUUAAGAAAAGUGAUCAUAUAUAUAUAGACCUAAUAAUUGCUCCCGCUUUCAAAAUAAUCAGAAUGUGAUCCAUGCGAGUGCAAGGGACCAAUUGGAGUUCACAUAUCGAUAUAUACGUCUUGUGUCUUAAAAUUUAUUACUUUUUUGUAGAAAAAAAUUGCAAAAUGGAUAAAUAUGAUAUCAAUUUUAUAAUGAUUGGCUAAUAGUAGACUAGACAAAGGAAUCGGUCAAUGCAAAAGAAUACAUAUAAGUCAAACUAAGAAUAAACAUGUCGGUAUUUUUAUUUUUAUUUUUGUUGCAAAAACAAAUGGUCGAACAAUAAUAAACCAGAAAAAAAAAAGUAAAUUGGAUAGAGAAUAUAUUUGAUUUGGUUAGUAUGACCUAAUCCACAGUGAGAGCAAUAUAAGAUUUCAUUAUUAAUCAAGUGAUACAUCGAGGUUAUGACAAUGCUCGGUAAUUCACAUGGUAUUUAGUGUGCACAAUUCCUUGCAAAACAACCAUUAAAUCUCACGAAGAAAUUAUGUAAAUCUUAUCAAGAUUUCGUAGUUGAUUGCUCAACUAGUGUUCAAAAACACUUUGAUAUAAAAAAUAAUUUUUAAGUAAUGGUUAGAAAUAAAUAUUUGUUACUUUGAUAGAAAACUAUUUAUUGUUUCUCUUCAUUAUCGUCAUUGCUACCUAGAUUUGGUCUCAAAGAUACGUCAUGCAUAAGAUUAGGGUGAAAAAAUUGAGUGGCCAUGCAUCGAAUUAAAUUGAGUUUGUGAUUAUAUAAUAUCUAUGAAUCAUACUCAAAAUUUGUCUAGGUCAUAUCGCUACACAUGUCAUAUAAGAUGGUCAAUAAUAACUGGAUCAUCACAUUAGCAAUUUUAGGUAAAAAUUGAUUGGAAUGAUUAGAUUAAAAACUCACACAAAGAUUUAAAACAAUAUUAGCAAAAUUGAUAAAUUUGGGACUUCAUUAAAAUUCACACAAUAAACAUUUUUAAGAUUGAAUUGAUAAUUUUCCUAUUUGAAACCAAAGUGGACGUGGUAUAAUAGUCAUGACGGUGGCAUCAUUCUUAUCCCGAAUUUUUUGAAUGAGCGUUUGCAAAUUCAAGAUCAUAUUAGGGUGCGAAUGGUAACGUUUCUGUUCUUUUUUUGUUCUAGGGAACAGAAACAAAAAAAAGUGUUUCUGUUCCGGGGAACAAUUUUUGAACAAAAGAACGCGUUUGGUAACGUUUGUUCCGGGAAUAAAAAAUGAAUAGAAACACAUUUGGUAAAUUUUAUUCUUUUUUUGUUUCUUUUAAUUUUUUAAACAUUUUUAUUUUAUUUUUCAUUUUUUCCUUUCUUUUUUAUUUUUUCUUUUUUCGGCCGGUCCCCGGCCUCCGGCGACCGGCCGACGGGGCCGGCAGCCUCGCCGGAUCUAGGCGAGCCUGAGCUUGCCCAGCCAAGGCGAGGCUCGGCCUCGCCGGGGGCCGGCGACGCUUCGGCGAGGUCGCCGACCCUCGACAGUGUCGCCGGCCCUCGACGGCCGGUCGCCGGCCAUGGCCGAGGCCGGCGACCGGCCAAAGAAAAAAGAAGAAAAAAAGAAGGAAGAAAAAGAGAAGAGAGAGAAGAAAUUUUUUGUUCUUUUUUGGCUUCGAAGAAGUUUCUUUUCUCUAGGAAUAACUUUUUUGUGUUUCUUUUUUUUUGCUCCAAUUUUGUUCCGGAAACAAAAAAAUAAAAAAAGAAUAAAAACGCAAUCAUACGCGUUUCUGUUCUUUUUUUGUUUCUCGGAACAAAAUCUGUACAUAAGUGUUUCAGAAACGUUUUUUUUUUUAGCGUUUCCAUGCACGCUCUUAGUCUUCAUGCGUCUCAAAUGUCAAUUCGUUGUUUUAAAUGUCCGCAGUCCACUACAGGUCCUAGGACAAUAAUGUCUACUGCUUCUUUUGCUUUUUCUUCCAAAGUAACAUUAUUAUCGCGAAUCAUUUGCAGUGAGAAACGUGAUGUGUUGACAUUAGGACGAUCUUGGUCUUUUCACAACUUGCAUGUCCAUCCUUUGCUUUUGUCAGACAAGAAAGGGCAAAAGUCUCCGAAAUGAGGCCCGCCCUCCAGUAAGGACAAUGAUGCCUCCUUUUCCUUUUGCUUUUUCCAAAAGUGACACCACUAUCGAUAAUGGAUGUCCGUCCUUUGUUUUAUUCGGACAAGGAGAAGCAAAGUCUCCGAAAUAAGAUCCACUCUCAAGGACAAUGAUAUCCUCCUUUUCCUUUUGAUUUUUCGAAAAGUGACACCACUAUUCUUUCUUUUUUUCUCCAAAUUAAUGAUAUUUCAUUACUAAUUCGAUAUUGUAGGAAAACAUAAGGCACAAAAUAGUUGGAGAAUACCACGAUUUUUUUCAAUCAAAACAAUUAUGACUGCCUUUUAAAGGAAUCACCUUUAGAGUGCUUACAAAUCAAUUAAUAAAAGUUUUAUUGUAUAUUUCCCCAAGAACAUGUAGGAUUACCUUUUUAUAGAGUAUGUAUGUUGGAUAAACAUGAAAUUAAAAUGAAAAAAUAUAUUUGUAAACAUAUGCAAUUAGUGCGAAUCUAAGUAUGUGGAUUUGUGUGGAGUUUUUAUUAUUAUUUAUUAUUAUGUGUUUUCAUGUCAAGGAUUGCCAAGUACAUAAAAGUUCACAGUUUUAGACAAUUACAUUUGACCAAAAAAAAAAAAAAGACAAUUACAUAAAAUUAAGGAAAAAAGUUUUGAAGCUGGGAGUAGGAAAAGACUGGAGCGGCAAUAGAAGAGUACUUUCCCUCAGCCGUGGCCAAUGAAUGGUUCAACCGUCCCAUUUUAAUGUAUUAGCUUAGAAUCAGGCUUAGGUCUUUUAGGCUUUUUGUGUACUUCUUGUGGGGGAUGAGAUCCUUUAUCUUUGUUUAUGUCCUCGUAACUCUGUAAUUAAUAGCUCAUUCCACUCUCUUCGUUUCUGGUCCAAUUUUUAUGAGGUCCAAUUUCUAUAUUACUGACUUUCGUAUUUCUCCUAGGAAGAACCCUAAUCGAUGAAAGAGAGUUGCUAUAAGAUUUUAAAAAACAAUUAUCUAUUGACUACAGGAUUCAAAGAGGGAAUUUAGAAAAUAAUUAUCUAAUAAGGACUUAUACUAGACACUUAAAAAAAUAAUUAUCUCACGGCGUGGAAUUGGGAAGAAUCUGUGCUUACUCGCAGUCAUUGAAUUUGCAACAUCUAUAUAAUAAGGACUUAUACUAGAGAUAUUUCCAAGAUAAUUCCUAAUGAGCAUAUUAUAUCUGUAUUUACUUUUUUUUUUAUGGCAAAACCUUUGUAUGAUAAGGUAUUAUUGCAAGAAAUGAAAGCAUAAUAGAAAGAACGAGUUUGCGUGUGAUUCAAUUAAUGUGCAGAAAAAAGCAACAAACAAACUAAAAACUAUUGCGGGAGAAUACAGAGGUAUAAUAGAUUCAGUUUAAUAUUUACACUUGAUUCAUGAAAUAAUUGCACAUAUCCGAUAUAUUGUGAUCAAGGGUUAGAGUGAAUUCUUCAAAUGGAUAAUUAACGUGUAUCUCGGGAAAUUUGUUAAGCAUAUUUAGUUUUAAUGAUUGUAUGAUAAUCUUUAAUGUAUUGUGAAAACAACAAUCUAUUCUGGAUAAAAAAAAAUCAAAUCUCAAAUAAUUUUUAAUUAUUGCGAAGUUCACUUUUUCAAGAAUUUGUUGCUCAUAAUAUAUUGUUAUUCUUACAAUACCCUAAGAAAUGUUAACCCAUUAGAAAAUCAACUUGAAGCAUAUAUUCCACAAAAUAUGAGAACUUGACGCGUUGGAAGCUAAAAAUUCACGGAAUUGACUGCUAACAAGUAUUUCGAUGCAUUCUUAGACCCAAAAAAGAAAAAGAAAAAGGUAUCUGGAAACAUUCGAUAACUUAAUUCCUUUUAAAAAUUGACCAGAAAAAAGGGUCUUUUAAAAUUCACUCGAGGAUCAAAUCGACAAACCCAUCCAAAUUGUUAGUUCCAUUGCUCCCAUCUCCACCCAGUCUGCGUGCUUCACCCGCCGUUUCCUCUAUUUGUCUUUUUAUUUCCUUCUAACAAUGGCAGACAAGGAGCAAGUAAAUGAUUAGGACUUAAUACCUAAUUAAUUGUACAUUAGUGGUGUAGGUAAGAAUGGAGACUUAAAGACACUGGUGGAGGUGACUGGCCAAGUAAAGUAGAUAUAAAAUGCAGAAAAUAAUCCAUCUCUCUCUGUAUAUAUAUUAUUUAUGGUCACCAUUUGUAUACUUGAUUGUUUAUAAGUCUGCUACUCUUGUGUUGAUUGAUACCUAAUCGAUUGUCCACUAGCGAUGGUGGUAAGAAUGGGGACUAAAGACACCGGUGGCACUGGUGGUGGGGACUGGCCAAGUAAAGUAAACAUAAAAUACAGUGAAUCAUCUCUCUCUCUCUCUCUCUCUCUCUCUAUAUAUAUAUAUAUGGUCACCAUUUGUAUUACUCGAUUGUGUCUAAGUGCGCUGAUCUUCUCUCGAUAGAGGCGACCAACAACAGUCUUUUUUUAAUAUUAUGUUUGGGCCUUAACUUAAUACCUAAUCAAUCGUCCGCUAAUCCUGUCUUGAUUGAGGUGGCCAGCAACAGUCUUUUUUUAAUGUUCAGUUUGGGCUAGUGACGACUUGGAGCAACCUGCUACAAACUUUUCAACUUCCCCAAAGAAUUAACUGGUGUUUAGUUAAGGCCUCAACUAAAGUUAGGUGUCCAAGCCCCGUAGUCCACACUAAUCUCAUUUAAAGAAAAAAUGUCGAUUGAUGCUGACGUUGCAUUUCAUUUCUCAAGAACAAAUAGGUCGGAAAUCAGACCAGGUUUCGGCAUGAUCGGAGUCACCAAAGGCUGGCUGAAAUCAGAAAAACAAGUUCCUCACGAUAAAUUGCUCGCUUUUUUUACGGUGAAGUACAUGCUUAUCAUGAUACACGCUCUCGUCCACAUCACGUGCACAUUUCUUAGAGGCCAAGUGCAACCUUCUAUGGGUUGAGUGAACGCUCAUAUGGUCAACAGCGAUCCUUCUAGCAUCUGAAUGAGAAAUGCUCCUCUUUCAAUGAGGAGCAUGCCCAUAAAGCAGGUCAAUGUUGAUGGUAACAUGAUGCUAAUGUCCUGUCAACAUGAUUGUGGAAUUAUCUAGAAAGUCAGUGUUCGGUUUCUAUUUUUGUGGGAACUGGUUAAUCCAAACUAAUGGUUGCAUGCUGUACGACUAUUUGCAAGAUAGAGACAGAUCUUUCUAAUAUUUUUACCAUUGGUCAAAAUCUAGUAUAAGUUAAAUCCACAAGACACAUCUCUAAAAGUGAAAAAAAAAAGAAAAAAGAAGAAGAAAGAAGCUAAACCCACGCGACCACAAAUAUAAUUUUUACAGCUUGCUUUCAACUACUCGUGAUAGUAAGAUGUGCUACUUCGCUAGAAAAGAAAGCAUGCAUAUCCAUAUAUAUAAGUUAAAAGCGUUUUUUACUUCAUUUUUUUGUUACAUGAAAUUACCCCCGACAAAUACAAUUUCUAUAUACAAGAGUGACCCCCCAUUUUUUUAAUGCAUAACCAACAUCUUUUCUCAAAAUCUCGCAUUUCAUCUAUAUAUUAAAGCUAAAAGCGUAAUUUUUUUUUAAGUUUACCCUUACAAUUACAAUAUCCAUUUACUGAAUAAUCACGUAAUUUUUUAUGCAUAACCAUUAUUUUAAAUCUUCACAAUUGAUUGUUUAACAAGUAUUUGGAAAUACUGAACGACAAAAUUCCAUUUAAAUAAUGACCGGAAAGAAAUUGCCCGUUAAAUUCACCCCUAAAAUGGCUCCAUACGCCCUUGGAGGAUCAAAUAGACAAACCUAUCCAAGUCGGGGGUUUCAUUGCUCCCAUCUCCACCAAGUCUGCGUGCUUCUCCCGUUGUUGACUUCUAUUUGUGCUUUUAUUUCCUUCUAAUAAUGGCAGACAAGGAGCAGGUAGACGAUUAGGACUUAAUACCUAGCCAACUGUCCAUUAGCGGUGGAGGUAAGAAUGGGGACUCGUGACCCUGGUGGAGGGAAAAGGCCAAGUAAAGUAGAUAUAAAAUGCAGAAAAUCAUCCAUCUCCUCUCUCUAUAUUUUUUAUGGUCAUCAUUUGUAUUACUCGAUUGUUUAUAAGUCCGCCACUUUUGAUUGAGGCGAUCGGGAUUAGUCUUUUCUUAAUAUUUAGUUUGGGCCAGUGAUGACUUGGAGCAACCUACUACUAACUUUUCAGCUUCCCAAGAAAUUAUUCGGUGUUUAGGUAAGACCUUAAUUAAGGUUAGGUGUCCGAGCUCUGUAGUCGAUUCCCAUCUCAAUUAGAGAAAAAUAUAGAUCGAUGCUGACGUUCCAUUUCUUUUGAUUUAAUUUCAUGGGAGCAAGUUGAUUGGAAAUUGAAUAAUGUACUGGCAUGAUUGAAGCCACCAAAGGCUGGAAUCAGAAAAAAGGCUGUUUUUUUUCAAUUUCACCCACCCUUUUCUUGUCGACCCCAUAUUUUUUAUUUUUAAACUUUUGAAAAAGCAAAGCUCAGAGGGCCAACCCAACCCCAAAACUCUGCUUUAUUAAGGCGUCAUCAGCCCCAUCGCAUUAUCAAAUAAAGGAGUAGUUAUUACACAAACUUAGUUUAUGUAGAUCAAAACAAUCAUAACCAUUCAUCAUAUGGUCCCAAUCACAAUUCAACCUAACACGACAACUCAAUGUGUUGAAAGCUAAAAGACUUUUGUAGUUGAUUGCUCAACUAAUGUCCAAAAAUACUUGAUAACAAAUAAUUUUAAAAUAAUUUUCAAAAAUAAAUACAUGUUAUAUUUUCUUCAUUAUUAUGGUUGGUACCUAGAUUUACUCUCUACAUUAUUUAUAAGAUUAGGGUGAAAAAAUAAAUGCCCGUAGGUUGAAUAAAAUUACAAACCUUCAAGCUUCGUUUUCUUUCUCCCUUCUUGCCAAGUGAUAAUGAUUGUAUUCAUAAUGAAAGCUUCCUUAUUCUAUUCUGUCCACGGGUCAAAUAAAAACUGAUUAUUGUUUCGUCCCCGAAAGAAAGGAGCUACAUAACUUCAAUAUGCCCACCGGCCAUUUGCAUAGGUGGAAUUUUGACACUUAAUUAGUCAUAUCCUAUUAUUACAGUUUGUUGCGACAUCAUUUCAUAAAAAUGGCCAAUAUGCAAGAUCGUGCUCUUAAAAUGGCUUGAGGAGGUGGACUAGUUGAAGUAUGUGAACACUAGUUCACAUCCCACUUGAUCGCUAAGUGGGGAAAAAAACAUAGUUCAUUGGUGUCAAGGUCAAAUAGAAUAUGAAAUUUCAAAGCCGCAAAGUUAUAUAAGAUAGACUUAUGUUUCAUUAGGAGAAUGGUGGGACUACCUAAGUACAUUUGUCCAGUACGAACAUUUUGAAAUAGAGAUGAAACAUUUCCAUUAAUUUAACCAUCGGUGAAUGUCUACUAUAGUUCCCAACUAAAAUUCCCAAUUCACCGUGUUUUGUCCUCAAGGUCAAAAUUGAAGCAGAGGUCAUCCUUUUCGCCGGCAACCUUGGAAAUGGGCCUGGACCUCCCAACAUCAUCAAUGAAAGGCCAGAAUUGAGUGCGACCUGGUCCUCCCAUUUCUCCAGCAAAAAAUAAUGACAUUACUUUUCUAGCAAAAAAAAAAAAGGAGGAAAAUAGAAAUGGUAUUUUAAGGCUCAUAUAUUAACUAUGCGAUGUUUGAAACUUUUCUAAAUUGUUGCAUAUGAUCCAUUUUGUCUAAAUGCCUAUUUGUAGUCAGUCAGAUCCUUGAUAUAUCACUGAAGUCUACUGUUCUUAAUAUUAUCUAUGUUAGUUGUCUCUACAAAUGAAGAGUGCCCACUAACAUUGACUAGCGAUUGAUUGAAUACCGUACUCCAUUUUUUUCCCAUAAGUUUAGUUUAGACAUGAGCAUAUUCAUCGUGUUCCUGACAUGGGAUAGUGCAUGGCAAGAUCUAUCUUCUUUCAAACACGAAAUAGAACCUGAGAAAAUUCAUAGGACUUUCACUUUAAUCAAACGCUAUUCUAUAAAAGAAAAAAAUAAUUUAUUAGUACGGAUAGAAGUUAAGGUAGUUUACCUAGUGAUUUCGGAAAGCUAGCUUGAUAAUGGAAACAUCAUUUAAAAUGUUGCCAUUCUUUCAAGAUUCCAAUACCAAAUGUGAUACCUUCAAAGUCUUUAUCAUUUUUUGAAAUUGUUUUACUUAAACAAGGUAGGAUUAAAUGUGAUUCACAAUGGUUAUCUAAAUCUCUCAAUUUUGUCCUUGUUUUCACCAAACAUUUUAUUCUUAACUUGGGUUCAACCAUAUUGGUAAUCUAAUAAAUCCAAUUCUUGACAAGAAAAUGCUUUUGAGUUCAUGAUUAGAUAAUAUCUAUGAACCACACUUGAAAUUUGUCUAGGACAGAUCGACAACACACCACUUAGGAUGGCCAUGCAGAAAAGCAUGGUUGAACUUGAGAUAAGAAUAAAAUGAUAAAUUAGGAUAAUAAAUCAGAAUACAUAAAAGCAUAAUGAACAUCAUAUUACAUGAUUCGGUCAGUAUGACAUUGUCAAUGAAAAGAAUAACAUAAAAUUUUACUAUUGGUCAAGCAAUACAGCAAAUGUUAUAACCAUGCUUGAAUCAUUCAAACACUCUCAGUUUUUCUCGGCCCUCAAUUACAUUCAAUAAUUUACACAAAUUUUUUUUUUUUAAUGUCAGAAACUCACACAAUGUUUAAUAUGCAUAAUUCCCUACAAAACCAUCACCAAAUCUAAUCGAGAUUUUCAAAACAAUCAAACACUCAGUGAUCAACUCUCUUCUAAUAAAACCCAUUAAGCCCAAUUCGAUGGAGCCCAUAAAGAUUUGGAUCGAGCCCGGUCCUCUCUCAAUCUGAACGUUGGAAACGAACUCGAGAUGGUCGCGAUUCCCUCUCCAUACACUCGGCCACCUCCGGUCCACUAGUAGCCGCCACUCGUCUCCGAUUGCCGACCAACACGCACUCUUUGCAUUCGAAUCUCAGAGAGCAGAGCAGGGAGUACAGAGAAGGAAUUCUCGCAUUGAGUAGCAAUUCUCUGUCAAUUUUUGCUCUCUGAAUCUUUGCCGCCCUCUCUGUCAGUGAUCGCAGCCGCAGGCCACCGCCGAACACCACCAGCAUCGCGGCCACUGGAAGUGCUUCGUUCGCCCCUGUUUUCCGGCCAGCGUCUUCGACGUCCUCGGAGAUUGUUCGUUUCUCCUUCCCCGGGUCCGAUCAUCAUCCUCAUCGUCUCGGUGAUGGCGGGAUCAGCACCUACGCUUUCAAGGUAUAUUUCUUCAUGCUGUGUUUUACCGAGGUAGAAACCGAGAAUUCUUAAUUUCAUCGCUAUGGAAAUUGUGACUUUCUGAAGCUAUCAUGAGAACCUCGAAUGUUCCGUGUCGAUUGUGUUUUACAUUGGCUGUGAAUCUCUCUCCAUUACUGUUUCAUUUUGUUCACCGGUCAAGCGCCUGCUACAUAGUUGGCGAUAAUCCUAAGCUAGAUCAUUUUGGAAGAAAUAAAAGCCGAGGUCAUUCUCCUUUAUAUUUAGCAUUGAGUCGAGAAAUUUUGCUAUACUACAAUGUUUAAUUGCCUAAUGUGUUCUUAACCGAGACCUUCCAGUUAUGAAAUUAGCUCAUUAACAGGCAAUUUGGUCGGUUUCCUCAUUGUAUAUGGAUGUAUGUUGAUCGUUUUUUGCUGUAUAGGCAUUCCCUAAGUUCUGUUGUCUUGCAUUAAGAAUGAUUCCAGGAGCUAUGCAUUUCGAUACGUUUAGUGUUCUCGUGACAAAUUCGAUUAUGAGUAUUGCUGGAUUUGGACCAAGAAUCUCUUUGUAUGGAGCUAAAUUUGAAUCUGAUGCUUUUUUGUUGAGUCCACGUGUUGAAUUUGUUGUGUUCACACUUAGAUCCCACUGAUCUUGUUGUGGAAUAAGAUUAUAGUUCCUUUGUUGAUACAAUGAACUGAUGGAAGAAGGAUGGACUUUUGAAUUGAGAAUUGAUCUGGCAUUAGUCUUGAUUCAUUCAUAGGCCACAGUCCACCUCCAUUGGUGUUAGUUGAGAAUCCUUAAAUGCACAGGUUCAUCAGUUCUCUUUCAAUAUCGAUUUCUUGUUGCAGUUUUGUCAUUCCAGAGCCUCAACCAUGAACCUUUUCAUUUGACUUGGACUUGAUUAUUUCUGACUUACAUUGCAUUAUGCCUAUGUUUAACGUAAAAAUAACAUUGCAAUAAAUCAAAUAUGAUGAUUAAAAUUUCGAGUAAGAUGUUCGUAGCUACAAGCCUAACAACUUAAUAUAUCCAGAGCUCAUUCACAUCCAAUUCCACACUUUCGAAUCUCUUUGUAUUAUAAAUUUAUCAUGGGUAUUAUCUUUUAAAUUUAGAUUUAACUCAUGUUUUGCUUUGUUUGCACACCGCACAGACAUGUGCGCUUUUUCAGUAAUCAAAGGAUGAUUCCAGCCAUUCGAAUGGCUGCUGGCAUUUGCUAACUGGCCAGUUGAGGGUGCAAUAAGUUACAAAUCAAAAGAAAUAACAUUUAAUUGACCUAAUUUGGACCCAAUCCAUAUCUACCCAUUUGACAGACCUGAACCUUGUCCCAUGUGCAAUGUCAUCCUUGGGUAUUCAAUUUGUUCAAUGUGAUUUAUGAACUAUUAGUAGAUGUUCAAUCUACUUCCUAAACUAUAUGAAAAAUGUUCAAUGUUGUCAUUUAUUAAUUCAAAUUAACAAAAUCUAUUGAUGUGGCUUCCAAUCCGUUAUGUUUGAAUGGUGACAACAAAAAAAGUGACACAUGCAUUACACAAUUAAGACAUUCAUAUCAAAUUACGAUUUAACAUGUUAAUGUUCUAUUUUUUUUUUCUUUUCACAAUUAGAUAUAUAAACGAUGGAUAUGUUCACUCAUCAUUUUUAAAAAUUUACUCAGGAUAUAAUAAUCUAGGUUAUAAACAAUGUCUUAUUUGUAGUUUGAGCAAACGGAAGAACUACACCUAACUGUUCACCAAUAGUUUAGGGAUCAAUCGGAACAAAUUAAAAGUUAAAGGACUACAUUGUAUUGGGCCAAAAUUCACGAACCAGUUAUAUCAUUAGUCCAAUAAUAAGUGACAUUCUAACUAUCUUAAAUUUUAUAUUAUUGGAGAGAAAAUUUGGCACCAAAUUAUUACCCAUCUCUACCAUACACUUCUUUGUUGUCAAAAUCGAUAAUGAUCCCUCUCCUAACGAGAGUUAUUAGCGCCUCGGAAUAUUUUGUUCCACGUUGACUAAUUAGAGUCUGUUUGUGUGUUCAAUAAGCAUAAUUUUGGAUAGAAAACAGAUAAAUUUUUUUUUUCUGAAAUGUUAUCAAGAAAUAAAUGUGUUUAAUUUUGUAAAUUCUAAUUAGCUUGUCUGAACUACAUAGCAUACGAGCAAAAGGUACUGUCCAAUAAUGAAAUAGACGAAGCGUGUAUAAAUUAGACAUGACAAAAGUUAUCCAAUAAAAUUGAUGUCAUUUAACAUGUAUCAUUCGGCGCUUUCAAUCAAUCAAGAAAUAUUUAAAUAAGCUGAGGAUAAAUUGAGAAACGUUUUAUUGUUUCUCAACAAAAAAUAAAAAUAAAAAUAAAAAUAAAAAUGAAGAAUCUAAAGGGCACCUACUUCGUGAGAUGAGAAUAUUAUAAAAAAUAUAGCGGGAGCACGACUUACAUCGCCGUUGAUCGAAUUCGAAUAUUCAAGAUUAUACCUGUUGUCCAAAUCAUUAUGUUUUAGUCCCUAGCAUCCUUGGUAGCAAGAAGUUUAAUGCGUUUGAUAAUCGUUUCAUGCACUCGAAAUGUGAGGAUUAUCACACCCGAUUAGAAUCUGUACGGCACGGAAAACGGAAAUCUGCAACACUGUUGAACUGCAAUACUGUAUGGGUUAUUAAUAAAUACAGACACUGUAUGCAUAAGUUCCCAAAAUGUCGGAAGGGAUCACUCGCAUGAGAGAGCAAAUCUGAUGCUUAACCUGCACAUGCUCUUUCUUUCGUGUGAUACAAGGUCAAAUCUUCUUGUAUGUGCUCAACAACAUGUAUAAUUGGUAUUCGAGUAUGUGAAUAACGCACUACCUUAAGAUAAGAUGCAAAAUGCUCAAUUAGCUUAUUUAAAAGCAAACUAUAUGGCAAAUUAGUGAAGUACUAAAUAAAAUGACCAGAUCUAACGGGGAUCAUGAGGAGUUCAAGUAAUAACCUUUUUUUUUUUUUAAAUAUGUAUAUGUAUAUGUAUAUGUAUGUAUAUAUAUGUAUACUCUUUUUUUAAUGCCGUUGGGUGUGUAGGCUCUUUGAGCAUGGUGGUGUGACUAGUUAGGUUUAAUUUGGCGGUUCCAACACAUGAAGUAUAAAACUUUUCGAACAAUUCUUAAAAAGUAAGACGGGAUGUCGAUCCAUAUGUAAGGACUUGUGAGGUAACAUGGAAUUGGUCGAGCAGAGAGGGAAUCACUUUUCGAGCAGUUGGGGAUCAAAAAGUCUGUGCAACCGUGAAGUCAAGAGGGAAAAUAUUAAACAUUGUGGGAGAUGGAAGAACAGCCAAGCUUGGAGGGAGCCGGUGAUCCGACGGAAGCAUGCUAUUCGGGCAAGCGAAGGACUCAGAGUCAAGAGUGCCACGAGCGUCGUCAAUUAGAUGUUUUCAGAGCGCAAUGGGCCAAGGAAAUGGCUAACAUAACCUAGCAGUUCUUGAUUUAGAGUUUCAUGCGUACUCUAAAAUGUUUCUAGCAGUAUCGAUUUUGCAGACGAGCUAUGCGGUGAAGUGCAAUGUUGAAAGGGGCCGUGCGUCCUGAACGCCAGCACUCUAUUUGGCUUCGAAUGCCAGUGCGAAGCGGGUCAGAAGCAGACGCGCCUCAACAAUGAAGAUGACCUCAAGUUCCUUCCCCGUGUCAUUCCAAACUGGGAGCUUACUCUUUUCUAUUCACUCUCAGUGUUCACAAGGUAGCAGGAAUUGUAACAGCAGAUAAACCAGACACUUUGUCUUAAAGCAAGAAAUCAUUUGACUAGUUCUCUGCAGUAGAAAGGGAAAAAAGUGUAACUUGCCAAUUUUUCGCUCGAGUUAAAUGGCGAAAUACAUGGAUGAUGCGGCUCUGAGAAGAUCAAAGAAAAAUCUAAUCCCCAAACGUGAAGCUCGAGAGUUUCAUGUGCAGACUUUGCGCAUUAACUCACAUAAACUUCAAACUUUCAAAGCCAUAUGUUUGAGGUUCGUAUGAAUUGUGGUGGUUUUAUCGACAUAAGAUUAGUUGCAAAUCUUCUCUUUGUGCAGGUUCUGUUGAGUACUACUGCAUACCCAUGCCUCCCCCAGUCCCAUCCGUUCCAUAAAACAAUCCUUCUUUGAUUGUAAAUCAUGAAUGUCAGCGUCUUCCAAUGCUUCAGUGAUUGUAAGAUAUAAAUUCAAAGACUCAAGAUUGCAAUACAUACAAAUUCCUGGUUUUUCCACUCACACAUGCUUUCCUUUUAUAUGUCUCGUGAUGGGUUUUCCUAAUGCGCAGUCAGUAACGAUUGUGGAAAGCUCAGAAAAUAUAAGUUUCCAACUCAUCUACCACAGGAUCAGACGGUGGAAGUUAUGGUGAGAUUCCAAAGACCUCUCUCUCGAGAUCUUAUCUUUUUCUGAGGCCAAAACAAGUUUUCCUAAGAACAGGUUACUUGCUUUCUAUAAAUUUCAAUUAAAAAGAGAAGUUCAUCCUUCAUAAUCAGUACCUAUUGAUGACCAUGCAGUUCAAUAGACAGCCUUCGACGUGACGUUGGUUUUUUCCCUCACGGCUUUAAAACUCGUUACCCAGGUUAGAGGGACCCAAGCUUUAUAAACUUACCAAGACUUCCCUCCCUAGGCGAUGUGGGACAAGAGAGGAGGCUAUCACAGUUUCUUAGUACUUAUUUGCACUUGCUAAAUUGCAGCACUAUAUUCGUCCCAAAAAAAAAAAAAUUGCAAUACCACACGAGUUACUAAUAAUUACACACACUUUAUGUAAUUUUAAAAAUUAUUUUUACCUACCAUCGGAAGAUUCAAUAUUCAUUUAAGUAAAAUAAGCGAAACUUACAAUUUCGAGAUCGCUAAAUAUAUGCUAAGUCAAAAUAAGUAUACAUUAUAAUAUAAUCUAUGAAAAAAAUUUCAAACAAAAAUCUAAAGUGGAUCAUCUUCUGAAAAAUAAGUUCAGUGGACUUGCCAGCCUAUCAAAUGUUCGCGGAUGAACAUUUUCCAGCUAUUAGAAUGGAGUUAAUUUGGUCCGAAAUUUGCAAUUAGGUAAAAAAUUUAAAAGAAAAUCCCCGAAUUAAAUUAGUAUUUUCAAAAUUUUCACGUUUUCUGUCUCCUCUCCCGCCGCUUAAGCAGAUCGCUCUCGCCCGCUCCUCCGCCGCUCCUGGCGAGCUUCAAUCGCGGCCGUCCCUUCUUCUCUCCCAGCUUCCGUCGUCCGCAAGUUUCGAGUCCUUCAUCCGCAAGCUUCACUCCUGUUCGACCGAGGUUAGCGUCGUUCAAGUCGGUGCAGCUCGCCCAAGAGACAGCGAUCGCAGCUUGUCGAAGCAAACGGGGCGACGAGGUGCGGGCUCGUCGUGGAAUGUCUCACCGAUGGCAGCGAGGCGCUCUUCCCAAGCCCGAAUGGGCCGUUCCGAUUACGGUCAGGGAGCCUGCAAAUUCUUGGGAAAGACCCCGGCUUCCGCAUUCUCUCUUCUUCGAUGCUCCUCGGUCUAUUCGUGCCGCUGCAGUUCCCGAAAGAACGGAAUUUCCUUUUCCCCCCUAAUGCUCUGCGCCGUAAGAUGGACCCAAGCUGGCGAGGUGGGUUCUUCUCCCUCGGCAUAAAUUUGGGAUUUGUCCCGCACCGGCGUUGCUCCAGCAAAUGCUUUUUUGUUUUUGGCCUCCGACGGUAAACUCCAAUGUCUGGCUUUUCUCGCUGCUGUGAUCUAUGAAUUGUUUGUGCAUUCGCCAGAUGCGCUCGUUGGUGAAUUUAACAGUAAGAUUAGUGACUUUUAAGGACAUUGCACAAAAGGGGGCCGAAAUUCUUCUUCUUUGUCGGUUUUUAUGGCAUCCUCGAGUUUGUAACUUGACUCUGUUAUUGUCAGUAAGCUAGAUAUGGACUUCUCUGAGUAAUGCUUUCGUGGUAAUCUGCAGGAGGCGGAUGAAUUCAUCCGGGCUAUCUAUGUCUUCUGAUUGAAACAGAAACUAUUCAGUCUAGUAAAGUUAACAGCGUUGCGGGGAAGACUCGUGGUGGGGAGGUGAAAUGAUUGCAUAUGUUUUGUUGAUUGUUAUCUAUGUUUGUCUCUCUAGGUCUGAUGGUAAAUACUAAAUGAGUGGUGAUUUUGAUUUGGAAUCAUAUAUUUCUUCACUCCAUUUCAAAUGCAUUUAUAGACUGUAUGUCUACUGGUUUAGUGAUGCGUCCGGACUUGCUUUAUAAGUUGCUUCUGGUUUCUGCUUAACAUUUUCAUGAUAUGGUAAGAAUUUGCCUCUGCUGUUUCGCUCUAACAGUACACCCAACAAAAACUUUAAGUAUCGGCUUUUCUUUUCUUUUUCUUUUUUUUUUUGGGGGGGUUGUUACGGUUUAUAGGAGUAGAUUUGAAUUGUUGAGAUUGUGUGCUGGCCAUUCAUGGGAAUUAAACAUGGUUAUCGCCUGCUUUCCAUAAAUAUUGAUGUUAAUGUUCUUCAAUAGUGCCCAACAUUUUCCUACGACAUUUUGGUUUUCGCAUAGAUUCACAUAGAUCAUGUUUAUGUGAGAACUGAACGAUGGCAUGGGAUCUGCAUUGCUUGAGAACUGCAAUGGUUGCCCACACUAUCCAUUUCUCUAUAAUUGUCUAGCUUUGGACAAAAACCCCUUCCUUGCCUUCUUCCAUUUAGAUAUGAAGAUGACCGAAGCUUUGGAUUUCAGGGGUUGGAGGAUAUAUCUGUAGGGUGAGCACAGCACAUAAGCUGAAGCCACUUGCCAUAUGAUCAAAAUAUGUAGCUUCCCUUUGACCAUGUGAUUUGCUUGUUACUUGCUUCAAGAUCUUGUUUCUUGGAACGUCAAUCUUCCUUUCUAAAGAUGGUCAUGAGGAGCCUUCAUCUAUGCCAUUAAAGGGCGAAGCUGGGAAGACUUGAAUUUAAUAGAGUUAUUGAACUGAGGAAUUAAUGCAGCGAGUGCAUGAAUUGCUUCAAUUCAAGCUUUAAUAAGUUACGAGGUUGUGAAAUAAUUUGUUGUUUCCAGGUAGGAAAGAGUCAUGUAGUGAGAAAAUGGAGUGAGAAAUUGAUUGCACGUCUUUCUCUUCGAUUCUGCUACUCUCUUAAUCCUUAUUUCCCCUUUCAUGUCCCUAAUUGGGGACUUUACAUUGCUGUAAGCUUGUCUUUAUGCCUUUCUACAUUCGAUGGGAAUGAUGUCACAUUUUUAAGUACUAAGAGUUGGUACACAAUACACUAUUCAUUUCUUGUACGAGAGAUGGAUUCUUCAAGGUGUCUUUCAUUGCAAGUGGAAAACAAGAUGCUUCUCGAGGCCCAGCCCCAGACGAAGAUGGUUGUCUCAAAGGAACCGUGCAUGCCUACUUUGCAUUCAAAGCUCGAUCUUCCAAAAUUCUCAUUCGAGCAGAACUCGUGCUUGUGUGCGAAUCUGAAGCUUCACUUCAAAUUAGUCAGGAUUUGAGGAAUGGUCUUUUAUCGCAAUCGUCAUCAAUUUCUAUUUCUGUAAAGUGGAUACUUAUACAUUGAUAUUCUUCUGAAUGAAUUGAAAGUAUCCAGCUGAAAGUUUCAUGAAUUUGAUGGGCAAUAAGUACAGAAACUCAAGAUGAAAGGGAUUUCUCUCUCUAUGAUCGAUGAUAGAAGAUCUAACCGUCAGUGCAGAUGGGCCAGAAGUACAAGAAGGAAAUUGCGAGCAGGAAUAGGAAGUUAUGUGAAUUUAUUUCUGGGCUAAGAACUUAGAUUAACUUGUCAAAAUGAGAUUACAUGACCACAGAUAUACAUCUGCCUCUACUUCAAUGACCAUGGUUCAAGCUUCAGCGAUGGUGGCAUGAAUCUAUUCGACAAAGGUCAACAUGAUCAGAGGCCAAAAAAGGCAGCUUUCAGAGCUAAUACGGUCUAAAACUGUACCAGAGCUGGUUUACAUUGACAAAGUCUGCUAGAAACCUCAUAUGUCUAGACUUUGAGGCCUAUUUAAGCAGGGAAAGUCCUCAACUCAGCUGCAUUAUCUUCCUCAUGCUCUCCAGAGAUCUCCUCGAGCAAAUGGCCCUUCGACUCUGGCACCAAGAAAAUGAAGACUAUCCCAAAGAAAUUGGUCGCGCCGAGUGUGAUCAAGAUCUUCUUGACACCGAUCCCAUCCACAGCAUGCACAAAACUGAAUGCAUCCACCAAGGACCCAGCCUUGCCAGCUGCGGCAUAUAUGCCAAGACACGUCGACCUGAGCUGCACUGGGAAGAUCUUAGCGGGGACCACAAAUGUGGUGGCAUUAGGGCCAAAGUUUGCGAAGAGGAAGGUGAAUGAGUACAUGAUCAUGAACCCGAUUCGAUUGUCUAGCAAGGUCCGUUCCCCAUCAUCAAUUGUAUUGCGAAUCCUCCGAUCUUGUCGUUGAAUGCCAGCGUGAACCAGUAACUUUACACAGCUAUUAUUAUAGAAGCUAGAGCUCGAGCUCCCGCUUAGUUACGCAAAGAUAAAUCGCACAUUACAUUCAACUAAGCCCCAACUACCACAUCUCUAGUUCGAGUUCUUCAGCGCCUAGCUGGUGAAGGCCGAACUUUGAGCUCCGGCCCAUGCCUCCCGCUACUGACAGAGUUAAGGGGAUAUGAAUUAAGAAAUAUAUCUCCAAACAAGAAUUCAAAGGAAAGAAAAAACGAGUACUUCUAGAAGAGUUUUUUGAAAAUUUACCACCUCAACAACGCCACCGACAGGGUUAAGGGAAUAAGAAUUAAGAAAUAUUUUUCCAAACAAGAAUCCAAAGGAAAGAAAAAACGAGUACUUGUGGAAGAGUUUUUUGAAAAUUUACCACCUCAACAACCUGCAUCGGUUUGAAACGAUGUUGAUCAAUCUGCAUUGCAUUCACGAAUAAUUACAACAAAUGGCGGACCGAUUUUCUUGCUCGGUUUGAAUCGAUGUUGCGGAGGAGCUAUGCGGCGAAGUGCAAAGUGGAAAGGGGUCGUGUGUCGUGAAUGCCAGUGCUCUAUUUGGCUUCAAAUGCCACUGCGAAGCGGGUUGGAAGCAGAUGCGCCUUGACAAUGAAGACGAUUGCAAGUUCUAUCUCAGUGUUUACAAGGUUGCAGGAAUUGUUGCAGGAAUUGUAACAGUAAAUAAAACAAACACUUUGCCUUAAGUAAGAAAUCAUUUGACUAGUUCUCUGCAGUAGAAUGGGAAAAAAAGUGUAACUUGCAAAUUUUCGCUCCAAUUAAAUGGUGAAAUACAUAGAUGAUGCUGAGAAGAUAACCGAAAAAUCCUAGAACAUGAAGCUCGAGGGCUUCAUCUGCAGACUCUGCGCAUUACCUCACAUAAACAUUCGACUUUCAGAGCCAUAUGGUUGAGGUUCAUAUGAAUUGUGUUUUGCUUUUGUGGACAUAAGCUUAAUUUGCAAAUCUUCUUUUCGUGCAGGUUCUGUUGAGUACUCCUGCAUGCCCGGGUCUCCCCCGGUCCCAUCCGUUCCAUACAACACAUCUGUCUUCGAUCAUAGAUCAUCUUCACCUCCCUCGUCCUUUUGGUACAUAAGUCUUAUUGAAGGAAUUUCUGGGUAGCUUGUUACUGGAUAUAUUGUGGAGGAAGGACAUGCACGAAGUCUGCAACUUAUGAGCACACUUACCAGUGCUAUGCCAGUUACACGAUUCUUGUGAAUGUCAGCAUCUUCCCGUGCUUCAGUGAUUGUAAGAUAUAAACUCAAAGACUUGAGAUUGCAAUUCAUACUCAUUCCUAGUUUUCCACUCAUGCAUACCUUUCUUUUCACAUCUCGUGUAGGAUUCUCUAAAGGCAUAAUCCUUUACAAUUGUGAAAAGCUCAGAAUAAAAGUUUUCAACUCAUCUACCAUAGGAUCAGACAGCGGAAGUUAAGGUGAGAUUCGGAAAACGUCUCUCUUGAUCUUAUCUUUUUCCAAUGGCCAAAACAAGUUUUCCAAAGAACAGGUUACUAGCUUCCUAAGGUUUUGAUUAAGUCAAAAAAGAGAAGUUCAUGUAGUUCAAUCUGAAAUGGCAGCUAUUAACAGUCACAUUUACAUAGUCACACCUCCUACAACAGCCUUUGACAGUGCAUUUGGUGUUGAAUGAAGACAAUCCAAGUCAUCAACUUCCUUUAAGAACAUUAAACAGGGCAUUUAUGAACUACAAUUUUUACCAAACCUAAUGCCUAGUAUCUUGUUUCUCAUCAGCGCACAUGUUCCUACCUCGGAAGUGUCUGUGGAUGACCAUCUUCACACCAUCUAUGGCUUUGGUUCUAUGGAACUAGUAAGAGGGCAUCAUCACAAGACUGAGGCUUCAUGUGGAGUUGCACUAAAGACGUAUAGAUUAUACUCAAUUUCCAUUCGUGCAAUGGCUUAUGUUGCGCUUUGUUCCUUAUUUGUCGAAGUGACAUUCUUGUGUAAAAUUGUUAUAGAAACAUGUCUAUUGUAUGGUUUGACACUACACUACACUAUAUUACAUGUAUAGAAGAGGCCAGUGCUUUCACUCCUCCUUUCACUGAGGCUUUCAAACAUUGCAACCAUUCCAGGAUCAAACAAAACUGGCGUUUUACGAAACAUCUUGAUUGUGCAUUUCUUCGCUUUUCUUUCAAUCUUCACCCUGCAAACAGAGCUAUCAACGCCCUAGGCAAAGCAUUGCAUCAUGAGUCGUAUCUUGGGGGAGACAGUCCUUGUGUUUAGCCAGGUUGAUUGCAUCAUCUCUAGAUAAUUUCACAGAAAAAUUUGAUAUUCAUGGAGAGAUUCUGAUGCUGAUAAAUAUUAGUCACAGAUUAAGGUGAUAAAUCCUAGAAAACUGAUAGUCCAUAUAAUAGCAAAUAGAGAGAAUGGUAGAUAACAAGGAUGAAUCCAUGACAUAUUGCUGAAUCCUGAAAAUAAAACUAGAAAUCUCAACAUCCUCAAUUAGCAGGUCCAACUUUUAGUCGCACUCUCUCCAUUUCUAUUCCAAUAGCCAAUAUUUGUGAUAUCUGUUUCCUCAAAAGAAACGCAAACAAAAGAGUAUUGACAUGUAUCGUGCAUGAAUGCAAUAACGUUUCAAAAUUGAAGGCCAAAUCGCUUCACACCAGAAACCUCUGGUUUUCGUCUCCCUUCAGUUGAAUCACUUCCAUAGUCUCACUAGCAAAAUUAAAUAGUAAAUUAAGGAUACGCAACAGUCAACAGGAGUGUAGUCACAAGUCACAACCACGAAUGCAAUUGUCCAUAACAGCAGAAACUGAUGAGCAAAGUAUAUUCGAAGUGGCUUGAUAAUGAGCCUUACGAGGGCUGCCGCAAAUUGAAAGAUUUACACUUAAAGCAUGGGAGGACCCAUCUGGACAUUUGAGUUGUUUAUAACAAAUUAAACAUGAUUACACAUCAAAAAGAUGCAAGAUACAAUCUAUUUGAAUCUAAUGAAGAUUACAAUUCUCACCAAAGUGACUGCUGGGCAAAAAUGUUACUUCACCUUCACAUCUACACCGGUUUUACUGGAAAUAAUCACAGCUGUCGCCAUGUCCAAAAACAACCCGUGCUCCACCACUCCCUCCAGCAGAGAUAUCUCCUUCCUGCAGCAGGCGUCCUUAAUUUGAGUCUUGAAAUGCAACUCUACAAUGUAGUUUGAGUUAUCCGUCACAUAAGGCUUCCUGUCUUCAUUCAACCGUAGCUUUGCCUCACACGCCCUUCUUAAUUGAACAACUCUUGAAGUCACACCUAUCAACAUCAGAAUUCCCAAAUCGAUCAACUUCUGACAACAUCAAUAACCAAAUUGUAUCAUGAUGAACCCCUGCUUUUCAUGAGCGAAAUCCUCCAUCGGCUCCAGUUGGAUCCCAAAUAUGACUCCUGUAUAUUGACAACGUAUCAUCCUCUUAAACUACAACUAACACUGAAUUUCUAUUUGAUAGCAUUCUGAGUACUUAAAAAAGGCUCUUGCUUCCGUGUGCUCAAUUUUACAAAAGUAAACAAAACCAUCCGCUCACAACUUUACUCAAUUGCCGGCUUAAAAAUGAAACACGGCCGAAUUUAGGAGUUUUUUUUCCCAAAACAUUAUCUUCGCAACAAGAUGAAUUGUCUAACAUUCACCACAUUGAAUCCAUCUAAGAACAUUUCACAAUCGAAGAGUCCUACUCUACUCAUCUUAAAUCCACAAAUCAAUCACUUCCUAGCACAAUAACUUCAUAAUUACGGAAAAAAUUCUGCCUUUUCCACACCUCCCUGUUUCAAAGCUGACUUGCUCUAAUAUGUAACCUAUUACUGACAUGGUUUAAAUGGACCGAUGGAGUUUAGUAAUGAGACCACUUACCAGAUUGUACUUCCAAGUUUGUAAUAGACACUUCUCCGUACGCUGUCCUUGUUGUGGGAGAGCUGAUGGAGCGGUGGCGUGACAAAGAGGGAAAUGAAGGUGAGGAUGCUGGAGUGGAGAGCCAAAGAAGUAGAGGUUGGUGAUUAAGCUGCAGUGCAGACAACAAGGGGGGAAGGAGACGAACCCUAGUUACGCCCAAAAGCUUCAGCUCACUAAAAAUUUGCUGGAAAAAAAAAAAAACACUCGUUAAGUACACAUAUAAUUUUCAAAGAGCCAGCUCAGAAAUUUAUUAUACACCAUAAUACAACUUUUGGGAUUUCGCGGAUGAGGAGCUGAUACCGUUUCGUGCAUCACUUCUGCAGAAUCCCACAUCCGAAGAUCCAGAGUCUUUCUAGGGAGAGAGGGAGGCCAUCCUGGGGUAACUCGCUCAGCAAUGGAAGAUCCAUAAGGUCCGGAGAGAGGAAGAGGGAUUGCUGGACAAUCUUUCCACGUUCCCCAUAAUCACAGCGGUUGCCAUGUCCAAGAACAACCCCUCCUCCUCCACUCCCUCCAGCAAAGACAUCUCCUUUCCUGCUGCAGGAUCGUCCUUAAUUGGAGUCUUGAAACACAAGUCUACAAUGUAAUUUGAGUCAUCCAUCACAUAAGGCUUCCCGUCUUCAUUCAACAGUAGCUUUGCUUCUUGCCCUUCUUUAUUGAAAAACCCUUGAAGUUGCACCUAUCAACAUCAGAAUUCCCAAAUUGAACAGCUUCUCGCAACAUCAAGAAUCAAAUAGUAUCAUGAUGAACCCUUACUUUUCAGGAGUGAAAUCCUCUGUCAAUUUCAGUCGGAUCACGAAUAUGACUACCGUGUAUUGACAAUGCGUUGUCCUCUUAAACUAUAAUUAACACAGAAUUUCUAUUCGACAGUCUUCUGGGUACUUAAAAGGCUCUUGCUUCUGUGUGUUCAAUUUCACAAGUAAACAAAACCAUCCACAACUUCACUUAAUUGCUGACUUAAAAAUGAAACGCAACAGAUUUUCGAGUUUUUUUUCCAAGACAUUAUCUUUGCAACAAGAUGAAUUAUCUAACGGUCACCACAUUGAAACCAUCUAAGAACAUCCUUUCAUGAUCGAAGAGUCCUACUAUAGUCAUCUUACAUCCACAAAGCAAUCACUUCCUAGUGCAAUAACUUCAUAAUUACAGGAAAAAAUCCGCCUUUUCCACACCUCCCUAUUUCAAAGCAGACUUGCCCUAAUAUGUAACCUACUACUGACAUGGUUUAAAUGGACUGAUGGAGUUCAGUAAUGAGAUCACUUACCAGAUUGUAAGUGUAACAGACACUUCUCCGUACCCUGUCCUUGUCGUGGGAGAGCUGAAGGAGCGGCGGCGCAACAAACAGGGAGAUGGAGGUGAGGAUGACGGAGUGGAAAGCGGAAGCAGAGGUGAUUGAGGUGCAGACAACAAGGGGAAAGGAGAUGAACCCUAUUUAUGCCCAAAAGCUUCAGCUCACUAAAAAUCGACUAAAACAGAAAAAACACACUUGUUAAGUACACAUAUAAUUUUUGGUCUAAAAUUAAAAUAUGAACCCUUUUCAAAGAGCCAGCUCAGAAAUUUAUUAUACCCCAUAAUACAACUUCUGGGGUUUCGCGGAUGAGGUGCCGAUACCGUUUCGUGCAUUGCUUCUGCAGAAUUCCACAUUUGAAGAUCCAGAGUUGUUCUCGAGAAGGAGGGAGGCCAUCCUGGGGUAAAUCCCUCACCCUCAGGGUUGCCAUGUCCAAGAACAACCCGUGCUCCACCACUGCCUCCAGCGAAGAUAUCUUCUUUCCUGUGGCGGGAUCGUCCUCAAAUGGAGCCUUGAGAUACAAGUCUACAAUGUACAUGUAAGGCUUCCCAUCUUCAUUCAACUGCAGCUUUGCCUCACACCCUUCUUCAUUGAACAACUCUUGAAGUCUCACCUAUCAACAUCAGAAUUCCCAAAUCAAUCAGCUUCUCACAACAUCAAGAACUAAAUAGUAUCACAAUGAACCCCUACUUUUCAGGAGCGAAAUCCCCCAUCGAUUCCAGUCGGAUCACAAAUAUGACUCCCAUGUAUUGACAAAAGUAAUGUACUCUUAAUCACAAUUAAGGCAGAAUUAUUUGACAGCAUUCUGAGUACCUAAAGGGCUCUUGCUUCCAUUUGUUCGAUUUUACAAGUAAACAAAACCAUCUGCUCACAACUUCACUGAAUUGCUGACUUAAAAAAUGAAACGCAGCCGAUUUUCGAGUUUUUUCCAAGACAUUAUCUUCGCCACAUGAUGAAUCGUCUAAGGUUAACCACAUUAAAUCCAUCUAAGAACCGAAUUUACAAUCCAGAUACUCCAACAUUCAUCUUGACUCCACUAACACAAUUAUUAUAUCUAACCUGUCGAGAGCAGAGAUUUCCACUCAUCUUGAAUCCACAAAGCAAUCACUUCCUACCGCAGUAACUUCAUAAUUACUAGAAAGAAAAAAAAUUAAUCCACCUUAAACACCCUUUUUCAAAGCAGACUUGCCCUAAUUCGUAACCCUAUUACUGACAUGGUUUAAAUGGACCGAUCAAGUCACAGUAUCGAGACACUUUACCAGAUUGUACUUCCAAGAAAUUAUGUAACCCUUCUCUGUACCUUGUCCUUGUCGACGAGAGGGAAGGCUCUGGUGGGAAACACUGAGGGGAGAUGGCGUUGCGGGAGAGCUAAUGGAGCAGCGGCGUGACAAAAAAAAGGGGAAUAGGACAACAGAGUGGAGAGACAAAGCAGCAUUAAGUGGCAAUAGAGGUGCAGACAAGACAACAGGGGGAAAGGAGACGAUGUUGAAAGAAGAAGGGUGGGUUAUUCUUGGCACCCCCCUAGUGUAGUUAUGCUCAAAAGCUUCAGCUUACUCAUCCAUCUGCUAAAAUUAUAUGAACUCAGUGGGAUUUCGCCAAUGAUGUGCCAGUCGCAACCGGUUUGUUCUGUGCAUCGCUCCUCUAGAAUCUCACCACAUCCUUGGAUGGAGACCAACCCUCUAGACCUAGCCGUGGGCCAUUUCCAAUGAGAAUAACGAAUUACAGCAGAUACUUUGACCUGCAGAGGAAGAGAAGAGUCAUAAGUUAUUCUCCUUGAGAAAUGAUUCUGGCAAGAUCCCAGCAUCAUUUCACAAAUCAUACCAAGAGAAAUAUUAUCUCCAAUACCCACUAUAUAUCUAAUGCGGGGUUUCAAAACCUUCCCGACUUUUAAUAAAUUCUUCCAAGCAUAAGUAGCAUCUGGUUUACAGUCAAGAUGAUAGCUAUAAAGCCAGGCAAAAUAUAAAGACCACACCUCUACAAAAUUCUCCGCAGACACUUUCAAAUACAAGCAAGAUUUCACAAAUCUAGUCUUCAAAUGCCAAGGCCUCCACACUGCAUAAUAGGACAGACAGUCCAUCAAACUUUUGCUCCCUCUUUAGCAUCAGGAUCUCCCUCCAAAGGAAAAGCUCUACGCUCACGCUCAAUCAUUUCAAAAACUUUCUUAGGCAACAAAAAGAGUUGACAAUAAUUGUUUAUCAAACUUUAAAUAUAGAUUUGAUAAGCCAAAGUUUUCUGGCAAAUGAGCGGCUUUUAACAAUCCAAGCUUUAAAUCUUGAUGCAAUUUGAUGAUUUAUGAGAGCCUCAUAAUCCUUGUCUGAAAGUCUUCCAGACAAUCCACAAUUACUAAAAGAAAGAACCAAACAAGAACAUAGGGUGGGCUGAUUGGUCAUGCUAUUUGAUUCAAUUGCUGCAUGUCACACAAAUGCAGUUUUUAAAAACUUAAGCUGUUAAGAAACAUGCCAAGCAAUGCAUAUGUAACGUAUAACUUAACACUUCCCUUGCAUAGAACUGAUCCCUUACACACACAAACACACAAAACAGAAUGUGGACACAAUCACAUCAAUGAGAUAACUGGGGAACGAUAGCAAACAACAUAACAGACGAUAAAUUUUAAACCAUUGACGUGUGCUUAGAUACGACGCUAAAAAUGAACAAGUAGAAUGCUGACAAUACGCUAAUCCUUCAGAAGAGAUUCUUCCUAGAUUAUGAUCAUACCCCAUUACCAUUACCUGUGUCUUUCAAACAGCCAGUCAAAAGAAACAGUAGAAACAAAUCUACUCACCCUUUAACUUUGGCAACCAGCGUCUCCAGAGUCCAUGGCUAUGCAUCUUUGAUUCCAAAGCAGCUUCUCCUCCUCCUUCUAACUCCUAGACUUAACAUAGACCUUUCCAUGGGUCCCUGUGCCGUACCGACAAACUUCAUCAAAGGGGGAAUUCCAAUGUAAUCUGCAAGGCGAGCAAGAGUUAGAGACUCUUGGCGAAUGGGCAGAGCACAGCAGAUGACGAAAAGAAUUGCUGGAUGAGUACAGAAAACUGCUGGAAUGGAAUGCACAAAAAUAAGUCGAGAAAUUCAAAUCCAAAUGCAACAAGUCUGUUAAGACAAAAGUGACUACGAGUAGAGGAGUAGCAAAUGGCAGAGAUCGAUCGAUACCUUAAUUUUUGAAUGGAAAUAGUAUGUCUGAGGCAUAGGAAUCUUCGAGAGAUGGAGACAUGGGGUGAUCUGAGGUGAGGAUGACGACCGAGUGCAGAGGCGGAGCCUAGGGAGGCGAUCGAGGUGCAGAGACGACAGAGGGAAAAGAGAAGGCGAUUGACGCUAUGGAAUCCCCUUUCUUCAAAAAGAGCCAAGGCUCAGACAUUAAAAAUACCCUAAUCUCUUCCCAUGUAGAAUAUUCAAGAGUCCGAAUCCCUUCUUUCAAGUAAUUGACUUGUAGUCAUCACCCAAUUCAACUAGCGGGAUUUUGCGGAUGAGGGGCCAAUAGUAGCCGGUCCCUUUCCUGCAUCGCUCCUCCAGAAUCGGGCAAUUGUAGAUGUGGAGAUAUUCUAGGGAGGGAGGGAGGCCAUCCUGGGGCAACUUCCUUAGCUUCGGGGCAAUUCCGAAAGCCUAAGACCGUGAGAGAGGGAAGGAGACUAAUGGACAGUCUUUCCACUUUCUCCAUACUCCAGAUAUGGAGAUAGAGCAUAGAGGAAGGGAGCGGAAGCACAAGAUCCUCCUCCUCUCCUACUCCUCCCACGUUGCCGUCGAUCACCAGAUGUUGAAGGGAGGUGAGAGGGGUGAGCCACUCCCUCACCGGCUGCUUCAUAUUCUCGCAUUUAUUCAUCGAAAGAUACUGUAGCUGGGGCGGCAAUCCUCCAUCGGGGAAGCGCGUAAUACUCUCACACUCAUGAAUUGUCAGCUCAUGGAGACUCGUGAGUCGAUGCAACUGAUUAGGUAACGAUUUUAUCUUCGGACAACGGUAAAGAUAAAACUCCGAGAUGCCGGGAGGAAGAGGAGGGAAGCACUCCAGCUCUAGAGCAGCACAGUCUUUCACAUGCAAGGAAUUGAGGCCGGAGAGUGUGUUUAGGCCCUGGGGUAAGCUUCUCAACUUAUGGCAACCCCAAAUUUCAAUCUCUUGAAGCGACUGAAGACAGUCCAGAUUUAUUUGCGCGAGCGACUCCAUGUUCUGGCAAUUGUAAAUUUGGAGACUCUUGAGGGUUAUAGGUAAAAAUAUGCAUCCGCUGAACAGAGCGGCUGGCCAAGAAGCGCAGUUGGCGAUCACUGAAAUUUGCAAACCAGACAUCUUGUCCCCCUGGGUAUUGAUGGUGCUUAGUUCAUCCGGGUCAACAUUUAAUCCUCUGGAUAAAUAUUGCACACCUAUUGCAGUCCUGGAUUUUUAAUGAUAUCAUAGAUGUCGGUAUACCUGUUUCGGGGAAGGACACGAGAUUUGAACAGUUUUCGACCGACAAAUUUCUAAGAGAGUAAAGGUUGUGCAUCUUGUUUGGGAGCUUCUCUAAUUUGAUGCAAGCACUCAGGCUGAUGGUCUCGAGGUUGCUAGGCAGCUCUAUAUCUCCCUCUUCAGCCACAAAAUACAUGAAUUCAUAACACGCGUUGAUGGAUAAGCUCUUCAGACAAGUGAGAUUUUGGAUUACAUCUCUGUCUUGCCAUAAGUAAGUUAAAUUUUUACAUCUUUCGAUUUGUAACUCCUCCAGCUUGAUCAGAGAGCUUGUAAACCCAUUAUUUAAGCAAGUCAAUUCAGAGACAUCUUUUAUGACAAGAGAGGUUAGAGAUGACAAGUUUACUAAACUCUUCAGCACCCUCUCAUUACAACCUCCGAAUUGUAAUUCUCUGAGAGAUGGAAGGCUAAUGAUGGAGGGCAACGCAUCCAUAUGCGGACAUGACUUGAUUAUGAGCUUUGUGAGGGAGCCUAGUUGACUAGGCAAUUUUCCUUUCAACACGGGACAAUCUUGAAUGAGGAGAUGCUCAAGAUGAGGGAACAAAACUCCUGCUUCUUCAAUCCCGAUGCAAUGAGACCAGUCUUCCCAUAAUGGCAUGUCCUUGAAUUCCAGAGUAAUUAAGUAUGGAAAAGGACUCUCAUCAGUUCCAUAAAAUUCAGACCCUAUCGUGCAUAUAGCAUCUAGACCUUCAAUGUACAGUUCUUUGAGCAAAGACAGCUGCCCGAGUGAUGGCAACGUUUUGGCCCUACGACAUCCAUGUAAACGUAAAUGCACAAUGUUAAGAUGUGGGGGACUUUCUAACCAUGACGGGAAUUUUAGGCCACCAUAGUAGGAUAUCACGAGAUUUUCAAGGUUUUGGUGAGGGUGAAGAAAGACGAGGACCUCUGCUUCAAGGUCUUCAUUCCGGGAAUUUUCAAAAUCUGGACUCCACUGCAUGGUCAAGCAACAUAUUCCCUCCUUCGUGAUUAAAUCGAUCUCCUUAGCAUCUCCAACUUCUUGAACCUUAUGCAAAUCAGAGAUGCACAACUCCCCUUUGAGGUCUUUCAAGUUUUUUAACUCCUUCAAUCUUAACCCAUUUGUCGUUCCCACUACAAAUUUGGAUAGCAUCUCAAGACCCACCAAUUUACCUAUAUACAUUGGCAUCACUCUUAAGUUUAGAGUAUGGGUAAUGUCGAGAAAUUUUAGAUUGAUCAAUUUCUCCAUAUCUUUCGGUAAUUCGGUGAGAUAAUGACAGGCCCGCAACAUCAAAGCCUCUAGGUUAUAUAAUGCAACAAUCGACUUUGGAAGCAUUCCAAUAUCAGUAUAUGACAGAUUAAGGUGCCUUAGGUGCCUCAGUUUGCCAAUGCAAUCCGGUACCUCUCUUAUUUGAUAAUGACUCAAUGAAAGCACCCUUAAGUACUUUACUGUUGACAACAAGUCACAUAGCACUUUCUGGGACAAAAUGGACUUACUGUACCAUUGCUUUUGUAAUGAUAUGAAGCUCCUUAGUCCCUUCAUUCGAUGAUAUAUCUCGAGUCUUUUCUGCACAAUGUGAUCGCUGGGAAUGAAUGAGGCGUGACGAGCAAAAGAUGCAUUACUUCGAUUAUGCUCAAACUCCUCUGGGCUAAAAUAAGUUGAACCAGCGACUAGCUUUGCAAGGUCAUUCACAAGAUCAUGCAUCAAGAAUCGUGAUUUGUUUAUACUCGAAUUUUCAAAUAAUGAUCUAGAUACUAGCUUAUUAAAUUUCUCUAAACCUGCAUUCCAAAGGUUCUUUGCUUCUUUUACCUCCAACAAGCCCUCUGCAAUCCACCAAUGAAUCAAGUCGUCUCGUUCAAUUUCAUAGUCCUUUGGAAAUAUAGCACAAUAAGCAAAACAUCUCCUCAGAUUGUAAGGGAGAUAAAGAUAGCUAAGUUUCAAAGCCGGAAGGAUCUCAUCUUUUUCUCUUGGUAGGUCCCAAAUUUUGCUAUUCAAUAUUUUGUUCCAUUCUUGGGGAUUGUCAUUAUUGCGUAGCAGCCCGGCCAAUGUUUUUACGGCUAAUGGCAACCCUUUGCAUUUUUCCGCUAUUUUCCAACCAAAUACUUCAAGAUUUGGAUCAUGAUCAGGAUUUCCUACUCCGAAAGCAUGAAAUGCGAAUAGAGUCAUACAAGCUUCUUGUGACAAUCUUUUGAGAUAAUAUGGUCGAGGACUGGCUAAUAAAGCAACGUCGCGGUUACGAGUGGUGAGAAUGAUCUUGCUUCCCUUCGCUCCUGAUUCAAAAGGCUUCGAUAGCCUAGUCCAAUUUCCAUACUUCUCGUUCCAAACAUCGUCUAAAACGAUAAGAAACUUCUUCCCCGAAAGGUUUUCUUUGAGCUUUUCUUGAAGCCAAUUCAAGUCCUUACCUUCACAAGACAAUUGGCCGUUGGUUAUUUCGAGGAUACUUUUUGUGAUAGCACGCAUGUCGUAAUCUUCAGAAACGCAAGCCCAUGCUUUCACAUCGAAAUAGCCGGUGACUCUCACAUCAUUGUAAAUUUGCUGAGUCAAAGCCGUCUUCCCCACACCCCCCAUCCCUACUAUGGGUAUCACUUUUAGAUUUGUUCUAUCAUCUUCAUCUCUGGUCAAUAAUUCAAGGAUCUCGCUUUUUUCAACCUCACGACUAACAAAACCAGCCUCGGACAAAUUCGUGGUGGGAGGCUGCUUAUCCUGUUGACGGUAUGCUGAUCGAUUCCCAUUAUUCUCUCUGAAGUUAAAAGUUUCUUUCCGAGUGAUGAUAUCCUGUAGUUUGCCAUCUAUCUCUUCGAUCGUGGAUCUCAUUUUACGGUCAAACAUAAAUGCUUUGACAUGAUGACUCAGAUGAAGGGAGCGCACCUUGCUAAUGCCGAGUCCUGCCUUGAAAUUAUUUUCCGCAGACUUUGUGGCAAACUCAUCAAGCAAGUCUUCGAUGUCAUAGGCCAAGUUCCCGAGAUCUUUGAGCCACGACUCCACCUCAGACUCCACCUCAGGAUCCCUGGUCAGUUGUCUCUCCUCUGCAUCAGCCAGCACUCGAUUGAUGCUGAUCAGCAUCUUCUCCCAUUUCUUCAGCAGCUUAUCGAUCCCCUCACGGCGCGCAAAGUUGAGCAGCUCGGGAGAGGCCAACCUCUCGAACAGCACAGCAAGAAGGGCGCCAAGAAAGAGCUCCGCGAUGGGCAUGAUGGCUUGAUCCGGGAGCGGCGGAGGAUUAAACAAGAGUGCCUGAAUAGUUUGAAAGGAAGUGUUUUGAGUGGAGAGGAAACAAAAGUCCUUACGUCCGGGACAAUAGCAUCAGGUGAUGGGUGUGAAUAAAAGACUUUUUAAGCAUUAAGUACUCUAGUCAGAUUCGAGGUGGCCUUUGCCUUGGUGGACAUCUCUUUCGUCCAGUUACGCUGAAAAAUGGACGUUGAGGCCAGAGUCUGGGUAAUGCGACAUUCGUUGAUUCUACCCGAGGUAAAAUGUCCUAUUGAAAGGCAGAUAGAACUUCAGCUUUUUAUCAAGUGGGCUGCCUUCGGCGUGUAGAUGGAAAGAUUCCUCCCGCAAUUCUAGUGCAUAUUGGCCCAAAUUGUGGGUCCCCUUCCUCACCGUCUCCAUCUCCAUCAAGCCUGCGCGCUUCACCCGCUGUUCACCUCUCUUUUGUUUUCUUAUUUCCUUCUCCUAAUAAUGGCAGACAUGGCGCCCAUUUCUUUUUCUUUUUUUCUUCUUAAAUGUUUUAAAUUCGUGCUCGCUACACUGAAUUUGCGAUCAACAAAACUGUCGGUGGAGCCAAAAGGAAAAAGAAAGGCUUUAACUUUGCAGUCGUCACUUGCUCUGCUAAAGUUGAGCCUCUCUUUGAAAUCGCCAGUGACGAGCUGGAACGUCGUGAAAUGCCCGCCGUUGAUGGAAGAAGCGGCUUGAGAAAAUCCAAUUACAACCCAUGGAGAGAGGAGAACAUAGAUCUUCCCUUUUCCCCAUCCUUCUAGCCCGCAGCCUCGCAAACCGACCUGGAGGUCCUAAACAUCCUGAGCCAAAGAGAUGAGUAAUUGUACUCAUAUCCACGGCUAAUUUUCAAUCAAAAUGACCACCACUUUUUUGUUAAAGAAAAUACUUUUAGGGUGCCUAUUAAUCAGUUAAUAAAAUUAUAUAACUUGCUCUGUACUGAUUUUUUCACAUAACAUAUAUGACAAAAAUUUUGAAAGUGGAUACAUCAUUAUUAAGGAAAAUGAUCAUAUAUAUAAACCUAAUAAUUGCUCUCACUUUCAAAAUGACUAGAAUGUGACCCAUGCAAGUGCAUCGGACCAAUUGAAGUUUACACAUCGACAUAUACUUCUUGUGUCUUAAAUUUAUUACUUUAUUGUAGAAAAAACUUGCAAAAUGGAUAAAUAUGCUAUCAAUUUUAUAAUGACUGGCUAAUAGUAGACUAGACAAAGGAAUCGGUCGAUACAAAACAAUACAUAUAAAUCAAACUAAGAAUAAACAUGUUGGUAUAUUUAUCUUGAUUUUUGUUGCAAAAACAAAAGGUUGAACAAUAAUAAACCAGAAAACAAAAAAGUAAAUCGGAUAUAGAAUAUAUUUGAUUCAGUCAGUAUGAUCUAAUCCACGGAGAGAGCAGUAUAAGAUUUCAUUAUUAAUCAAGCGAUGAAUCGGAGGUUAUAACAACGCUUGGUAAUUCACGUAGUAUUUUGUGUGCACAAUUCCUUGCGAAACAACCAUUAAAUCUCACAAAAAAAUUACAUAAAUCUUACCAAGAUUUCGUAGUUGAUUGCUCAACUAGUGUUCAAAAACACUUUGAUGAAAAAUCGUUUUUAAGUAAUGGCUAAAAACAAAUAUUUGUUACUUUGAUAAAAAAAAAAAACAUUUAUUAUUUCUCUUCAUUAUUGUCGUUGCUACCUAGAUUUGCUCUCAAAGAUACAUCAUGCAUAAUAUUAGGGGGAAAAAUUGAGUAGCCAUGCAUUGAAUUAAAUUGAGUUUGUGAUUGGAUAAUAUCUAUGAAUCAUACUCAAAAUUUGUAUAGGUCAUAUCGCCACACGUGCCAUAUAAGAUGGCCAAUAAUAACUAGACCAUCACAUUAACAAUUUUAGGUGAAGAUUGACUGUAAUGAUUAGAUUGAAAACUCACACAAGAUUUAGAACAAUAUUAGCAAAAUUGAUAAAUUUAGGAUUAUGUUAAAAUCCACACAAUAAAUACUUUUAAGAUUGAAUUGGUAAUUUUCCUGUCAGAAACCAAAGUGGACGUGAUACAAUAGUUACGACAGCGACAUCAUUUUUAUCCCGAAUCUUUUGGAUGGGCGUUUGCAAAUUCAAGAUCAUAUUGGUCUUUACGCGUCUUAUAUGUCAAGAUCAUAUUGGUCUUUACGUGUAUCAUAUGCCAAUUCAUUGUUUUAAAUGCCCGCAGUCCACUACAGGUCCUAGGACAAUAUUGUCUACCGCUUCUUUUGCUUUUUCUUCCAAAGUAAAGUUAACGUCGCGAGUCACAGUGAGAAACGUGAUGUGUUUCGCAUUAGGACGAUCUUGGUUUCACAACUUGCAUGUACAUCCUUUGAUUUUUUCAGACAAGAAGUAGCAAAAGUCUUUGAAAUGAGGUCCACCCUCCAGUAAGGACAAGGAGAAGCAAAAGUCUCCUUUUCCUUUUGCUUUAUCCAAACGUGACACCACUAUCAAUAAUGGAUGUUCGUCCUUUGUUUUAUUCGGACAAGGAGAAGCAAAAGUCUCCGAAAUAAGAUCCACCCUACAAUGAUAUCACCUUUUCCUUUUGAUUUUUCGAAAGGUGACGCCACCAUACGUUUGAUUGGGCACGAAAUAGUCGGAGGAUACCACGAUUUUUUUUCAAUCAAAACAAUUAUGACUGUCUUAUAAAGGAAUCACCUUUAAGGUGCUUACAAAUCAAUUAAUAAAAGUUUUAUUGUACUGAUUUUUCCCCGGAACAUGUAGGAUUACUUCUUUCCAAAUGGAUAUUACAUAAUUAAGUAAAAUGAAUAUAUAUAUAUAUAUAUAUAUAUGUAGGAUUACUUCUUUCCAAAUGGAUAUUACAUAAUUAAGUAAAAUGAAUAUAUAUAUAUAUAUAUAUAUAUAUAUAUAUAUAUAUAUAUAUAUAUAAAGAUGGACCUAAUAAUUGCCCUCGGUUUCGAAACAACUAGAAUUUGAGCCGUACGGUUGCGCAAGAUCAAUUGAAAUUUGCACCUCAACACAUACAUUUUCUUUCUUAGAAUUUGCUUCCUAUUGUGGAACAGAUCAUUUACAAAAUAUUUAAAUAUGUUAAUACUAGAUAGACCAAAAAAAAAGAAAAAAAAGAAGAAGCCAAUACAAGAAAAUACAUAUAAGUCAAACUAAAAAUAGACGUGUAUUAGAUUUAUCUUGAGUUUUGAUGCAAAAGAAAGAAGGAAUAGCAACAAUACGAGAAAAUCAAAAAGUCAAUUGGAUACCGAAUAUAUGUGGCUUGGUCGGUAUGAUCUGUCCAAGGGGAGAACGGCCUACUAUUAGUCAAGUAAUACAAUGAAUGUUAUAAACCACGCUCAAAUCACUAAAGCACUCACGAGUUUUCCCAACCCUUAAUCCAUAACCCAAACAGUAUUUAGUCUAAACAAUUUAUAAUGAAACAAUAAUUAAAUCUCACAAAUGAAUUACGAGAAUAUUAUGAAGAUUUUCGCAGCUAUCAAAAACUCAUGAUUAAUUAUCUCCGGAUCUAAUUGACAAACUAAUGCACAGCCUUGCAUACAGUAGUUGAAGUGCCCACUCUAGUUGGACAAAAAAGCACACUAGAAACAGCCUACCCUGGAAGUGGAGCAUAUGAUGUUGCAAACUAAGUUGAGGCAUUCGGUACUCAUUAGCAAACAAUGAGGCGAGCUACUUUAUAGGAGCCGAGGAUGCAAUUGAGAAAUUCUAGUUUCAUUUUGGCACAGACGUUUUUCAUGUUCUUAACUUUUGUUUUAUUUUGGCGUGACGUUUUUUGUGUUCUUAACUUUGGGACUAUGAUUUUGGAUUUCUAAUUAAAAUGCCAUCUCCUAUCAUUCCUUGCUCAGACCAUUAGCAUGGAAUAGGUAUUGAACUGCUCAAUGAUCUCAAGGCUAUGAGGCAUGCAGGUCAGGCUUGCCGCCUUAAAACAUAAUACCAAUCUGUUUACAUUCAGAUCGGAUUUUUUAUCAAUUGGGUUUAGAACUAAUUUCCGAAUGCACUAGAGUAGCAUGAGCUAUAGGACUUUCUUAUCAUAAUUAUGCUUCGUCAAAUAUUACAAGGCGAUACAAAUUUGUUCAAUCUAAAUGAAAACAUAAAAUUACUCGAAGUGUUCAACGUGGGUCAACCUCCCUAGAAAAGAUUUUAGGUGGUAUUUUUGGGGGUGGAUUUCAACUAACAUCUUCAAUUCUUUUCUAUUUUAUGUGAGUUUUGAAAUGUCACAAAUUGCCGAGAAUCACAUUUUUUUAAGCUUACACAUCAUGGCGAUCAUUCGCCACUUUCUUGGAUUGGCUGUCCAGUCCAUUCCUGGAUCAUAGAUCUUCCCAAAAUAAUCUUGCUAAGACUCAAUGUGCCACGAUGUAUUUAUUCUUCAUGUCCAUUACAUGACUUAACUUACGGUCCAACUGAGAGCUGACUCAAGUAACGUUACUUGCGAGAUCCACAAAGGCUCAAGUUAAAUUAUUUAUAACUAUCCUUGGAAGAAAAACAGAAAAAGAGAGUUGGUCUUGAGGUGACUCUAUGUAUCAAGAUCCAGGACUUCUUUUUAAGUCUUGAUUGCUGCUGCUUCCUUCAAUACUUGCCCAGUAAAAUGCUGAAAGAGAGAGUAAGAAUGACGAUGAUGAUGACGACAACAACAGAAGUGCAAUUUGGUGUUUUACAUCCUUUUAGCCUUGAGGCAUAGGCACAAUUGCAUGAGCAAGCAUAAAUUAAACUACUAAACCAAAGUAAUCACAUUUCAAGAACUUCUAAAUCCUCACGGAUCUUAUUAAAAUAUAAAUUUUCAUAUAGCUUCUACGCUAUAAUUUGUUCUACCUAUCACGUUAUCCAAAGACUAGAUCUACAGAUAUUUUCUCCAUUUGCACUUAAACCGAGUCUUUUUUAGAUGAUGCACUUCGCAAAUCCGUAGGGAGUUCAUUCACUAUGGUAUCUUAUCUUAUGGAAGAGAAUUUUGACUUUGUAAUCCUUUGACACUUGUCAAUUUCAUCGAAUUUGAGUCGGUAAAAAUGCUACCAUCUCAUUUGGUUAUUCAAAAUAUUUAGAGAAAGGUUCAUUUGCAUCUCAACAACUAGAUAAAGUUCGUUACAUAAAGAAAAUGCAAAUAUUCGAUUUUAUAUAAUUUUACUUUUUAUCUAUCGUCUUUAUUUUUAAGCAUGGAGUCAAUUGUUAAGGGAAGCAUAGUUUUUACUUGCUAAUCUGCAUGUUCUCACCCCUAAAUUUUUUUACUUAUCUAUAAUAAGCUCCGCAGUCCACUAAAUGUCCUUAGUGGACAAUAAUAUCUCCUCCUUUUGCUUUUUCUCUAAAGUAACACUAAUGUCACAAAUCAUUUGCAGCUAGAAACAUGGUGCGUUUCACAUGGACAUGAGACGUUGGAUUGGAUGAACUUUUGUGAAAUUAGGGCCCUCUUUGUCUUUCGUGUCUUACAUGUCCAUCCAUUCUUUUAUUCAGACACGAAGUAACGAAAGUCUAUAUAAUAAAGUCCACCGUCCCUUGCAAGUCCUUAGAGGACAAUAAUUGUCUCCCUUUUCCUUUUCUUUUUCAAAAGUGCAUUACAACCACGACUUGUCUUUUGAAGGAAUUACGUUUAGGGUGCUUAUUAAUCAAUUUGUAAGUUUUGACUGCGCUGUUUCCUUCAAUUCUCGCCUAGCAAAAUGCUGAAAGAGAGUAAGAAUAAUGAUGAUGAUGACGGCAAAACAAUCAUGAAAGUGUAAUUUGGUAUUUAACAUCCUUUUAGUCCCAAGCCCGCAAGUGUUAAACUAGUACAACUGCAUGAAAAGUAUGCUUAACAUAUAGCCACAACUGCACAAGUGAUUAUUGCAUAAGUUAAAUUUACUAAAUCAAGGUAAUCACAUUUUAAGAAUCUCUAAAUCCUAUGCUGGAUCUUACUAAUAAUUUCCAUAUAGCUUCUUCACUUUAAUUAAUUAUGUCUAUCACAUUACUGGAAGACUAAAUCUAUGUAUAUUUUCUAUAACUUUCAAUUUACAAAAGAGAGUUCUAAGUUUGUUGUAUUUUGAUAAUUGUCAUUCUCAUCGAAUUUGGAUUUGUGAAAAUAGUCCCAUCUCAUUUUGUUAUUUGUAAUAUUCUGGGAAAGGCCCAUUUGCGUCCCGGUAGCAUUGACACCUGAAUUACCGCUGAAAAGUCAAACAUACGUUUUUUUUUUUUUUUUGUAAAAAUAUAAUAAAAUAAGAUGGUGAUAAACUAUGAUAAAAAGAUUUUUCAAAAAAGCGAAUAAAAAGAUGAGGCACCAGGACCAUCAAAGCUCAUUACUCCAGCCCGGUCCGACCAUGAGAGUAGCCCAGACCACUAGCGAAGCUCAUUAAGCACCUGGCCCAAUUCGCCUCAGCCCAUUAGGUCCACAAAAGCAGCCUAGGCCACACCAGAACCAUCAAAUUCUAAUAAAACCGAGUAAGCCCAAUUCGCAGAAACCCAUAAAGAUUUGAAUUGAGACCGGUCCACCUCAUCGGAACUGACCCCCCUCUUCCCCACUAUCUUUCUCUCUCUAUCGCUCUGAAUGUUGGAAACGAACUCGCGCACGUGCACUGGGGAAGCUCAACGAAGGGAAAUUUGCUGCAUUACAAUUUU